ACCCAUCGUCGGCCGAAGUCAAUUACGGUGAAGAGAUGUGAAGAAAAAAUAAUAAAAUAAUAUAAUAGGUAAAAAUAGUUAUAUAUAAAUAUAUUUAAUUAUAUUACUAAUUACUCUUUUAUUCCGUUGGUAUAUUUAAAAUAUGAUAAAAUUUAAUUAGUUAAGCUUUAAUAUUUUUUUAUUUAAUCUGUACAAUUAAAAUAUAAUAAAAAUUGAUUAAUUAAGUAUUAACAUUUUUAACUUUAUAAUUUUAUUAUUAUAUUACUAUAAUUUAUGUAUAAAAAAUAAUUUAGUUAUUUUAUAUUAAAUUUUAAUUAUAUAAAAAUAUAAUUAUAUUUUUUUAUGUGAGAUCCCUGGUGUUCUGUUGUGAUGGCUUGUCGGCAGCUUUGGAGAGUGUUGGGACAAGUCCGAGUCACGUUGGCGUCAAAUAAACGCAAAACGAGCUCCGUGCGACGCGAGGGCAGCUUUCAGCGAAGAAAAUCUGCAAAAAGCUGAUUUUCUGCUUGCUGUACCGGUACAGCCAUCAUGGUGUACCGGUACACUGCACAGGUUGCGCGCGUACUACUCUCGGGUUGGCUUUCUGUACCAGUACUGGGACCCGUGUACCGGUACACCAGGUUAGGUAAGGGGCUUUUUAGUCUUUCCUUCCCUCGUUGUUUUCACCCACUCCUUCUCCCUCCUAUUUAGGAUAGAGAGAGAGCAGAGAGGAGAGGACUUCAGUACUCUCUCUCUCUUCUCCUUGUGUGCGACCGAGUAUGGUGGUGGAGCUCGGGUGGAGUUCGAUUUUCGCCGACGUCGCGCCGCAGAGCCGUUCGAGGGUACGUGUAACAUACCACAUCCCUCGUAAAUCGUGCCGAGUUCCGUCAAAACGAGCGGAACGCGAAAUUGAACGAGUUACGUGGACCCUAAGUACAUUGGAGUUCAUAAACGGAACAAAAAGGGACCCGGAGAGCAAAUUUGGAAAUCUGGCUAAGUCCCAGAUUUUGUGCUCUCGGGGACCGGUCCCUGAAGGAGAGACUGGUCCCCGUGCGCUUAGCCUGCCAGGAAAUCCUGAGGCAUCCGGUCCCUGGUGGUGAGACCGGUCCUCGGGAGACCGGUCCCUCGCUGCGCAACAGCAGAAAAACUCGAAAAUUUGGCUAAGUCCUGGAAAACCCCCGUUCGGGAACCGGUCCCUGGUCGGGGAGACCGGUCCCCGAAGGCGAAAAAUGCCCAGUCUGGGCAGUUCAAGAGGAAACAAGUGGAGGGGCUUAAGUGCAAUUGUUACAACACUAUAUAUGACUCAUCCCCUCUCUUCCACAGCCAUUUUCACCCUUCUCUCCCAUUUCCUCUCUUUCUCUCUCUAGAACUCUUGCUCUAGGGCUUGGAGAAGAAGAAGAAGAAGCAAGGGAAGGUGGAUUUGGAGGCUUUGGUGGGUUCUACAAGCUCUCCUACAAGAAGGACUUGGAGGAGCUUGGGCUAAGGUGAGUUUUUGGUAGAAAUGAGUCUAGGGCUUGGUUUUAAUCCCUAUGUUUUGGAGCUUUGGGUUGUUUUUGGCCAUGGGAGCCUUCUAUAUGCCUUGAACUCCAUGGAACCCAUGAGAGCUCAAGUGCUCUCAUGGUGGUUGGGUAGGGUUUGUCAUGGAAGCCCUAGGGUUGGUUCCAAGGGUCUAGAAACCUUACUAGGAUGCUUCUUAGAUGAUCCUAAGCUAUUGUUUGCUUAAGGUUGGGAUCGAUUCAUGGGAAAACCCUAAAUGACAAUAUUAGGGCUUGAAUUUGGGGCUUUUGCCCUAGGAUUGUUCGGGGACAAAUUGACCCCGUGGAAACCUAAUUGGGGGUGCCCUAAACACGUUGGGCAACUCCGUUUAACAUUACGAAAAUGUUAGAGUAUAGUUCAUGUACAAAAGGCCUAAUAUGGCACCGUUUUGAUUAUAGGGCGCGGAAGCGGCUUUCGUAAAAUCCGGGAGUCGUCAUAUACUACACCCACACGAUUAUUAGAGGUGGGGGGUGCACGCCGGAAUCGUUGGAUUCCCUUCUAUGUCUGUUUUCUCUAUUCUUGAGCAUAUAUGUUUUAUAUAUAUACAUUCAUGCAUAGUAGGGUAGUUACAUGUGGAACUUGGUUUGACUUCAUUUAUAUGCUUCUAACGUAGUUGAACAUAGAGGAUGAUAGAACCAAAAUGGACAUGUGUGAUUGGACCCUCAAGUUGUGUGAAUGUGAGAUUGGACUUGGACAAUAGAAAACAAGGGUGACAUUGACAUAGAAACAAGAUUGGCAUUGAGAGAUAAACCGUUAAAUAUAGUUUAACCAAAUUAUGGCAUCAUCACGGAUAUGGCCUUGAGAGUGGCAAGAAUGAAUAGGUAGAGACCUACCAUGACAUCGACAUUGUGACCAGUGGCUAUGAAUCCUCAAGUUGGGGAUUAGAUCGAUACUCACAUUACGUCUUGGCUUGAGGGAGGUCGCUCCCCCUCGAGCGGUGCGCUCCGGAGUUGGUCACCACUGGGCGUGGUAAAGUCCCACCAGUUGACGGUCCCUAGGGAGGUUCGAGUCCCCCGUUAUUAAGGGAUUUUGGGUUGUGAGUUAUUGGGGUUAACAGAGUUAACCGGUAAGAUUGGGUAAGAGCCAAAGUUUGAUUAUGAUUGGAGCAUGCAUGCAUUUCCAUUAUCGCAUUGAAAUUAUAUAUCUACUGACUUCUUUCUUGCAGGCAUAGUAUUAGUUGCAUUAGUAGUGGUUACUUUUCCUCCUUUGAAAUACUUAUGCCUGGAUGGACCUAGUGGGUAAGUCGGCGAGGUCGGAUGCCGAGCCCACUGGGAACUUCGUUGUAGUUCUCACACCACUAACCCUACAGGUCCUAGCACGAGCGGGGCGGCGGAGGACCGAGGCAAGGGUUUGGCGCCGUAGGUAGCGGCCACCGGGGACUUUAUGCAUUUUGUAGUCAUUCCCUUUUGUUAUACAUGUAUCAACUUUAUUUUGUUGAUUUAGAAAUGAAAAGUGUAAACAAUCAUGUAUUUGGUGGAUGACUAAAUGUAAAAAGAUAUGAUGGUUGAAUAGAAUGUAAUAGUUUUGUUUACUUGAAUUUGGUUUAAAGGAAAUCAAAUAUCAUGUAUGAUGUAUAUUCAGCUUAGAGCUUUCGCUUCCGUUGUUACUUGCCCUCGCGCAAGCCUUGUAUUAUAUAUGCAAUUCUUUUGUUGAUUGCCUAUUUAUACAUGUUGUUAGAGCCUUGGGCGGACACGGGAGGCUCUGUCCGUUCGGCGUCUGUUGACGUGACCCGAACCCUACCAAAGUGGCGGGGAUUGGGGCGUGACAGUACGGUUGCCGUCAUAGCAUUGCGAGGAGGCCGGGCGAGGGUACGUUUUCACCGUCCUCGACGUCGCGCCGGUGCUAGAGUCGCUAGUGAGGUGGGUAUCGAGUUUUUCUCCGUUGAUAUAUUUUCCGAGCUCAAGUGAUGCUGUUUUGCUGAAAUUCAUCGUCGACUGUUAGUAUUUUAGAUCGUACUCAACGUAGGAGCAUCGGGUUGCGACGAGACUUGGUUCGUUGGAUUCGGGACUUCGAGAGGAAUCCGCGAAGUCCUUAUUUGCUAGAUUUGGUGAAGGUUAGCUUGGUUGAAUCCCUUUUCUACUCUGUUGCUGCGAAAUUCGGACUGAAUUGGUGGAUUUUGAUCGUAGAGCUUGGAGUUAGCUCGAGUGUUAGACUUGGAGGGUUCCCAUUGAUCCAGCAGGGGUCACUUUGGUUCGUGGCCUCGUUCACUGCCAGGAGCUAGCUUCUUGAGGUGGGUUACAUCGAUUUUGACUCCUAAGUUCUAAUCGUCGACAUGUGUAAAUUUCAAUUUUGAUAUAGUCUAUUCUAACUCGAAUUCAUGGAUUAUUUGGUAGAUUGCAAAUCUGAGUUUGAAGCAUAUGGUAAUAAAUUGAGUAGUUUAUACAUGUUGGACUUGGAAUUUGAAUUAGAAGAAAACCUGCGAUUUGAAUCUAUCACUUGUUAAACUGCUUGAUUUAGCUCUGGGAGCCGUUAUAAAAUUGUACUGUCGCUGUAUCCUCGAGACGAGUACUCCAGGUACUUUAGAAUACAUUUACGCUCGUGUUGGUACGCCGAGUGGAUUUUUACAGGGUCGUUUGGGCUGUUUCGGAUUUUUGGGCGCCGUUGGGGUUGACGGUGGGCCCGAUUCGCCGUUUUGGCGUCAGAUUGUGCCGAGGGCACGUUACUUGUUGGUUGUUAGACUAGUUAGGGUUGAUUACUUGGACUUUGGCUUUUCAGAGCCUGAUUGAGCUCGACAGAGAUACGCUGCAUACUCGAUUGGGUAGCGCCCACGACUGCCACUCCGGAGACGGGCUUUGUGCUUUCGCGUUGGUGUCGCUCAUGCCGGUUGGACUUACUCUCCACGGACCAGUUAAUGUGGAGGUAGCUGGAUAGUCUCAACUGGGCAGGGACGGGUGUAUUCACAGUCCCAGGGACAGGUAGGUUUACAGUCCCGAUUGAAUUGGGUCAGAUUUGACAUUUCCUACAAUUGGUUAGUGUAGAGCAUGAUAGUGUAGUGAUUGAUAGCGGUAGAGUUUACUUCCUACUUUUCCUACUAUCCUGGCUUCCCUCUGUAGACUUAGUGGGUGGACCGAUGUUGUUUGGGCGGCACCCACUGAGGACUACUUAUUUUUAUAGUAGUUCUCACGCCCAAUUGUUACCCCUGUUUUGCAGAGCCACAGGUUUCGGCUGCUGCGCCUUCUGCGGAUCAGGAUCGAGGCAAGGGCGUCGCGAGUUAGAGCCCUACCCGACGUGCUGAGCUAGAGGUGCCCCUACUAUAAGUAGAUGUUUUGCUUCGAGUUUAUGUACAUAGUAGACUUAACUCGUCAGCGCGAGUAGCUUUGUAUUUUGGAUUUGGACUAUAUAUAUGAAACUCAGUUUGUUUAGGUUCUGUUUUCUCUAGCAGCUCUCUACUACUGUUCGUAGUAGUGUUCGUUUUACAGGUACAGCUGUCGCUUCGUAUACAGGAAAAAUUUCUUUGUAUACGGCGGAUUUGUCGGCGUGCCCGGAGAACGAGACAUUCGGGGCGUGACAUUUUAUUUAUUUAAAAUAUUUAUUAUUUAUAUAUAAAUUAUAGUUUUACAUUAUACACUUCCUACCAAACAAACAAACUGCAGAACUAAUUAAACUUCACUUCCAUAACUACAAAACAAACAGAAGGAAAAAAAUAGUUUUCAUUGAACUCCACUUCAACCCGAAGUCCAGUUUCGGUGAAACAAACAUGACCUUAAACCUCGUAUCUUUUCCUAUCAACGAGUUCAUCAUCUCUUUACAUAUUUAAUUACAAGUGCAAUUAAGUUUCAAUCACUUCAAGCUGCAAAAUGGUGAUAUCCUGCUACUAUGGCUAGGUGUGGUCGACACUACAUUUGGAUAAUUAUCUAUCACAAUAACUGCGCAUGAUUUUAUUAAGAGUACUUCUGUAUUAAAGUUAUGUAUAUGUUCGUUAAAUAUUAAUUUUUACAGAACGAAAGAUAGAUAUAUAAAGUUUGAACAUUAGCGUGAGUCUUUAAUUGUAUUGUGUAUCUAAUUCACGCUAAUUUUAAUUAAUAUGACAUAUGCAUCCUAGCAUAUGUUAUGAUUCGAAUAAUAUCCGAAUAUAAAUAUGAAUCAUAUCUUAAUCUGGCGGAUUUGGUAAUGAAAAUUUAGAAUCCGACUAACCGCAUCGGUAAAGAAAUAUAGAUGCGAAUAUGAUUUUAUCAAAAAUCCUACCGUAUUUGACCGUUCACCAUUCGAUGGCGAGGUUUUGAGAGCCUAAGGAUACCCCCUCAAUUGAUAUCCAAAUUGCCAACGGGCUUUUCCCUAGUCAAAUUUGGCAUUUAUCUUUCGGAUCUUUUAUUAUUAAAAGAAUUUUUUUAAAUUUUCCCUAGUCAAACUUGUGAAUUUAUUCGCAUUUAUUGGCGCUCAGUGAAUCUAAUAUAAUAUAUACAAGUUGUUAAAUAAAUAUAUUUUUGAAUCACUUUUUAUCCUAUUUUUUUGGUCAAAUUAACGACAAUAAAUUUGUGAGACUGAGAGGGGAGAUUAAUUGUUCAAACUAGUGGAUCGAUCGUGCUUGAAUGAAAAUGUAUAAUAAUAGGUUGCAUCGGGAAAUGUAUAUGGUUUAUUUUUGUCGUGGAUAUUUUAGAAUAGUACUAUGCUACAGUAAUAAUUCAAUUAUCAAAGUACCUAAGGACACGAUUAUCCAACAUUGGUUGCAUGUGGAAAUAUUGGUAUUUUUUUUCAUAAAGGAUAAUUUAAAAUAAUAUUAUGCUACAGUAAUACUACAAUUAUCAAAGUACCUAAUGUGUUACGACAAACGCACAAACGAAAACGAAAUAGCGAAUACAAAAGAAACAAACCACAAGCAAAAAUAAAGAAAAAACAUAGAUAUAUGUGAAAAAUCCUUUGCAGGAAAAAAUCACGGACGAGGAAGAAAAGAACUUCACUAUCAAAACGAAACUAUCUGCUACCUACCACAGACAUUCAUUUUUUCCUUCACAAAUUUAUUUUUCAAUUUGAUCACACCACGAAACUAUCGGCGAGUCGAAAAACCCGGACUUGAAUCGAUUACCAAUUUUGCGUCACAUCUAACAUAAUGAUAUGAUUAUCCAACAUUAGGAAUCUUAGUAGCCAUAUCUACUGUGGGGGAGAUUGAUUAAAUCUUUAUAUUACAUCAGAAGAAGGCCUUUACAUGAGGGGAGAGCCUUCAGACCUUACUCCCAGUAGUGAAGAAGCGUGAUGAGAUGUCGGGAGGCAUUCAAAUGUGGCGUUUCAUAUGUGCUCGGCGAUGCGAAAAACAUCAGGAUGUGGUCAGAUAUUUGGAUUAAUUAAAGAAACCCCUCUGAGUACUGGGUUUCCAGGAGUAUACUCCGGCAUUGCGAAUAAGGAGAUCACAGUUGCACAAUGCUAGAAUGAAAAAGGGUAGAGAUGGCGCUUCAUAACUAGACGCCUAGCUACAUCGAAUAUCAAUAGUCGCCAUUAGAUUAGGUUGCUCAAAAACUUGCUUGCCCAUUAUAGGCCAACUGACAAACCGGAUAUACUAAACUCACGUUGGACCGCCAACCAAACUUUUACCGUUAAGUCCCUUUAUGAAUUCAUCACCAACGCAGGUCAGAGAGCCCCAAUGUAUGAGCAUCUUUGGAGGUUAAAAAUUUCGGUCAAAAUCAAAGUCUUUAUUUGGAUUCUGCUGCGCAAGAGACUGUUAACCGCAGACAGAAUGAUCCACAGAGGGUGCCUGGUGAAUCAGUUUUGCAUUUUUUGUGUGUUCUUUUCAGAAACCUGCGACCACCUGUUCCGGUACUGUAUCUUGGUCAGAUACAUCCGUAUUCGUGCCGAAGGUUCAGAUGCAAGCGAAUCGGAUGCCGGGGAUGUACGGAGGCUAUGGACAGAGACAUCUACCCGGACUCUUGAACAUGUCGCUUCUUUGACCAAUGCCUGGAACGGAGUCCUUUGACCCUUGCAUAUAUGUCCUUUCCUUCAUGCUCGGUUCCCACUUCUUCCUUUUCGUUAUCCACCCCGCUUUUCUUGUUUACUUCGUCUAAUCGGUAAGUGUAGGGUUUUUUAUUUUGGGUUUUCUUUCUUGUUUUUUUUCAGCUUUUUUAGGAGGCCCUAUUUGUCUCCAUCAUGUACGCUUAGUUCAUUUUGCUUAAUGAAUGAAGCAGAUAGCUUGCUACCUAUUUCUCAAAAAAAAAAAGAAAAAAGAAUCUUACUAUUCUUUAACUUUUCCUUCCUCCAUAUAGUUUAGUUGACACCAUUAAUUAAUUAGUUCUUGUUAAAAAUUAUCACGUGGUUAAUUCAAUAUCAUUUUACUUGGAUUAUAGAAAAGAGAUGAGACCAGGAGAUCCGCCGGAGCAAACACGAUACAGUCGUCGUUUUAAGACCCCGUAUAAACAUAGUCUUAAUUUUGUCGAUAUUCCAACAUGAGCAAACGUCGAUUUUAGUAAAAAAGUAGAAUUAUAAGAAAAGCCACAGACCAUAUUGAGCAUAUUGGUUAAGAGUUUGAGAAUUGAUACUUGAGAUUUCGAGUUCAAAAGCUUAUUACAUCAUAUUUCGAGCUCAUGAGUUCAUUUCAUAAAAGAAAAUAAACGAACCAAAAAACUUGUUAUCUUUCUCUCUUUGAAAACCAAGUAAAAAGAAUUUUUAAUAAAAACGCACAUGCAUGGUACGAUAGCUACGUACAGAGGUGUAAUUAAGUGUAGUCACAUUAAAUGAGAUGUAAGAGUCGGUUUGGACGUAUAAAUUAAGUAUGCAUGCAGGCCUUCCUAAUUAAAAAAUUGCAUGAUUUAAUAUUUUAUAUAAACCAUGCGCAUCGCAUGGUCACUUUCUUAUAUAUAUAAAUAUCUUCAACCUACCUCCUCGGCCUCUAUAUAUAUAGCACCUAAACCUAUACUAUCUUUUCCAUCAACGAGUUCAUCAUCUCCUUACAUACAUACAAGUGCAAGUUUCAAUCACUUCAAGCUCCAAAAUGGUGAGAUUCGUGUGAUAUCGAUUGUUAUCCUACACGCCUGGCUCAUGUUUUAAUCACUACAAGUACAAUUAAUACUGUCUAAAUAUGUCUUUCUUUGUGCUUGGCUUAGGCUGGACUCGUCAAGCUUGGUUUGUGGGGUGGAGACGGGGGAAGUCCUCGUGAUAUUGAUGGUUACCCUACACGCCUGUCGAAGAUUGUAGUUCGUAGCGGUCAGGCGAUCGAUUCGCUAUAUUUUGAGUACGUCCAAGAUGGGAAGACAUUUGAGGCUGGCCCAUGGGGUGGUUCUGGAGGAAGGCCCAAUGAGGUAUAAUUUUUUUGGGAAAGAACUUUUUUUGUGUAAAAACGCCGGGGAUGAUUUAUAGAGCUAAAACUAUAAUAGCGCGAUCUGCUAGCAAUAAUAAUUAGUUGGGUUCAAACUAUCGGCCCAAAAUACUUAAACUCAGUUAUUAUUACUAGCGUAUAAGGUCUCAUAUAUAAUAAUCAGAAUCAUCCGACCAUUGGUGUAGCACUUUGUCCCGCAUAUAUAGUGCUUAGCUCUCACACUUCCGACUGAUAUUCGGCUCUGAUACCGAUUAUAACGACAUGACCCGCUAGCAAUAAUAACUCGAUGUGCCCAAACCACCGGCUCAAAUGCCUAAGGUCAAUUAUUAUUACUAGUAUACAAAGCCUCAUAUAUAUACUAAUCAGAAUCAUUUUUUCAUCUGAUAUGGGACUAUUGGGAAGUUACAAAAACAAUUUGAAACAUCAGAAACUCCUAACUGUAAGGCUGAUUUUGCUCAUGUGGACUUCAAUCGAAAAGCCAGGCUGGGCUUGUACACUUAAUAUUUCUCGAAUAAUUGCAGUCCUUGCCAAAUUUUUGAAGGAUAAGCCCAGCAUUAAUCUCUGGUUUGGGCUUGGUGCCAAGUGAGCAACUUCUAAGGCCAAGCCUGGGCUUGUAUUGGACUUCAACCCUAGUCUUUAGACAGCGCCUGAGCUUGGCCCAUGAUCUAACCUGGCUCGAUUUCCGACACUUUUUGCUCUAAAACUUUCGGUAAUGAAAUAUUAAUUUCUCUAAAUCAACGCAUUCUAUUAUUGUUAUUAUUAUUAUUAUUUUGUAGAUCACAUUUGAACCUGGCGAGUACCUGACGGCGAUAAACGGCACCACCAGUCAAUUCAGUGACGUCACCAAUUUGCUGAGGUCGCUAACUUUCGUCUCCAAUGUUCGCAAGUACGGGCCGUUCGGACCGGAGCAAGGAACUCCUUUCUCAGUUCCCAUAGCGAAUGGUCGGGUAGUUGGCUUCUACGGGCGUUCCGGCACACUUGUUGAUGCGAUAGGGAUUUAUCUGAUGCCCAACUAAUGCCGAUAUCUCAUGCUCAUCGUCUUCCUGAAGGACUAGGUGUUUCGAUCAAUGUAAUAAAGUCGCAGAUAGAAUGACCUCGUGCAUUGUUAUAAUUGCGCAAAAUUUCGAGAAAAUAAAAUUCGGUGGGCUACUUAGUUUUUGAAAGAAAGAUGUGUUUGUCGGAAUUUCUCUAUUCUUGCUACUCACUUCUACCUUUUUAUUUGGGGCUUUGUUUCUAGAACAGCUAUUCUACUGAAAGCAACAAUCACUAUAACAGAAUUAGGUUAUAGGGACACAUGUUUUGGAUAUUUUUGUGUAAGUGUAUCAUUUAUGUCAAAACUUAAAAAAAAAUCUACUAAUGCCUAAAUAUAAAGUCCAAUCCAACAAAAAAAUAAAAGAUUACUUUACUCAACCCACCCCACCCAGUCCAUUCGGCCCGAUUACAAACAGAAAAGAAAAAGAACAGAAAAAACGAUUAUCAUUUUCCCUUCGCCCCUCACUCAAUCGACUGAAAUCCUAGACGAAGAUCCCUUUCUCUCGUCCUCCUCCGCCACCGCAGCCAACGAGAUAGAGUUUCAGCGGUUGCUAAAUACUUAAAUAAAUGUUGGUAAAUUAGCAGCACUUUUUUAGAUUAUAGCGACACUCUUUAACUAUCACUAUAUACCUAGCGACCCCACAUAUAGCAAUAUUUUUUAAAAGUGUCGGUAAUUUAGCUAGCAGUACUUUUUUUGACCGAUACCAAUAUUUAAAAAUAUCGCUAUAGACCAUUUUUGUUGUAGUAAAUUAAUGACCAAUUGAUCAAAAAGAAAAAGAGAGAAGCCUGGAUAUUUUCUUGUUCAGGGAAGUAAAGAAAGAUAACCUACAUGUACAUGAGAGAUAUAUCCUUAAUUCAAAGGCUUCUCUUCAUUUCUCAUGAAUGAUUAAACAAUAGGCAUAUAUAAAUAAAACAAAAAUGGUCUAUAUUCGAUUAAUGAUACUUAGAUUGUUCCAAAGAAAGAAGUAAAAUGUCAAACCAAUUAAAGGAGAAUUUGAUUUAUGGUACUUAAAAAUUGUUCCAUUUUCAUCAUUUCCCAAAUAACUUUGUUAAGUUCAACUUAUCAUCUUCCCUUUAGACAUUCUAUUUUAUAAAAUCAAUCUUAAGUUCACUAUAUAUAUAUAUAUAUAUAUAGAGCAGGACUACUGUGCUCUCAGAAGCACGGAGGCCUCGGUGCUCCUGAGCCGUUUUCAAUGAUGGAAUUUUCGAAUUGACGAUCGGCUCCGUUAGAUUUGAGCUAGCGUAUUUGAAGUUUCUAAAAAAUAAUUUUUGCGAUUUUUUUAUAUCAUUUACCUAGUGAUCGAAAAGAUUCAAAAUCCAUAAUUUUUAAUGGUUGAUAUCUGCCGUUUUCAAGUUUCACGAUGUAGAAGUAUUCAAAUCAGAUGAAUUUUGAUACAAAAAUUCUUUAUACUAUCUAUAACAAGAUCAAUAUUUUUGAUCGAAAAUUUUAAUGCUAUAUCACUACUUUUUAUAGGAUUUUUAUUUUCAACCGUUAAAAAUUAUUGAUUUUGAAUCCUUUCGAUUGCUAGGUAAAUGAUAUCGAAAAAUCAUAAAAAUUAUUUUCUAGAAACUUCAAAUACGCUAGAUCAAGUUUAACGGAGCCGAUCGUCGAUUCGGAAACUCCAUCAUCGAAAACGGCUCAGAAGCACGAAGGCCUCCGCGCUCCUGAGAGCACAGCAGUCCUGCUCGAUAUAUAUAUAUAUAUAUAUAUAUAUAUAUAUAGAGAGAGAGAGAGAGAGAGAGAGAGAGAGAGAGAGAGAGAGAGAGAGAGAGAGAGAGAGAGCGCGCGCGCGGCUCCUAUGCUUUCGAAAAUACGGAGACCUUUGAACUUAUAAACGUGCCACAUUGACCGUUUAAAUAGUCAUUUUUGGGACAUUUUAAUCACUUGGUAAAUGAUGUUAAAAAUUAUAAAAUUUGGUUUCUAGAUAGCUGCAAUAGCUUAAAUUAUGCCUAACGAAAACGAUCGUCGAAUCGGAUGUCCUAUCAUUGAAGACAACUUACAAAUAUAGAGUCCUCUAUAUUUUCGAAAGUACAGGAAACGUACCAUAUAUAGAAAAUUUUUUCACUAUUUAGAAUAAGAUCAGACCUCUAAUCUUAAAUUCAAGUUUUUAUCAUCAUUUUUUAGGAGAUUUUUAUUUUCAGCCGUUCAUUUUUAGACUACUCAUUUAAUAGAUAAAUGAUGUCGAAAAUUUAUGAAAUUUAGUUUUCAAACACUUUCAAUAGUGUAGAUUAUGUCCAAUGGAGCCGGUUGUCGAUUUGGAAGCCGCAUCAUUAAAAACAACUUGGUAGCACGAAGGCCUCCGUGCUACCGAUAGUAUAUCGGCCUAGCGCUCUCUCUCUCUCUCUCUCUCUCUCUCUCUCUCUCUCUCUCUCUAUAUAUAUAUAUAUAUAAAAGGAGGAAGAAAUAUGAUAGCAAUCUUAAAAAAUAAUAUUAGUGGGUAGGAUCGUUACACAUUUGGUUUCCAAACCCAUUCGCCGUAGGCCAUACAUCUCCUGGUAAUUUUGGCCAACAAAAGGAGUUUGUAAUCUCGUAUCAGAUGAAAAUAGAAUUAUAAUUACGUAUGUAGAAGACCAUUAAUUGACCAUACUAAUAAUAAAUAAGUUUAAAUAUUUUGAGUCGACGGUUUAAAUUUAACGAAUUAUUAUUGUUAGUCGGGAAUCUUUAAAAAUUUAAAGUGUGUACUAAUGUCCAACAAGCAGAUGAUAUAUAAUAGCUUAUAAUUUUGAUUCCUUCUGGGUGAUUAAAUUGCAUUAUUGAUCACUGUAACUUUGGUGAAAUGUCAUUUAACUCAUCAAAUUAACUUUCAUUUCUCUUUCGACCAACUCAUUGGCCAUUGCUCUUUAAAAUCUAUUUCAAUUGGGUCACUGAAGUUUAUACAUGUUAUCUCAAAGUUAUUAUUAUUCAAUUGUUACACUCUGGCCAAAAGCUGAUUUGAUGAAUUAAUAGUCAUAUAUAUCCUCUUUAAUUACAAUAUGAUUAUGUUUACUAGCAUUGGCUUCGACUGCAUCCGGUUUGGAGGGAAAUCGCAAGAUUUUUCAAUAUGCCUCAAAGAACUCAAAAUCAGUUGUAUUCGGAAUCAAAUCUCUGUUGAAGGCCUGGCGUUGCCAUCUUUCUUAGCUACUUUUCUAUCUAAAUUUUAACUUAAAAGAGUUAAAUCGUCCAUAUAUAGCCAUUUUUUGACUUUGAAAUGAGUUAUCAGCGAACUACAUAUGUAAACCUUAGAGAUCUACAUAAUUCUUUUAUAAAGUAGUGAAUUAUUCUGCUCAGCAUAUCUAUCUGGCCUGUUAUACCACUUUCAAAAAAAUACUAAUUAAUGUUUAUCCUUAACUAUCAGUGACUUAAUGUUGCAUUUUGCUUUUGCUUAAUGUUACUUUUAGCCAAUAAUGUAAAAGUACCAACUAAAAAUUCCUUGCUUAUGCUUUUUCUUCAUCAAGUGACAUCACAUCUUCUCUUCUAACAAGUCUAAAGUGGCCUAACCAACUACUAAAAACUGGCCACACACUCACUAAUUAAACACAUUAUUGUCAUCUUUGGCACCAUUGUUGAUUUGAAGGGCUGUCUUUUAUUUUUCUUGCCUUGAAUAUAAUGAUCCAAUAGACUACCUAGUCUUGAUUUUCCUCUUAUCUUUCUCUGUUGCUAAAUAGGAUACGAAAAAAAAAAAAAAAAUUUGACAUAAAAAGAAAUGGGUUAAUUACACUAUUGGUCCCUAACGCGUUCCUCUUUAUUUCUUGCUAGUUGGUCUGUAACCUUCAAAUUUUGUUUCCAUUAGAUCCACAACGACCCACCAGCUAGCAACAAUAACUCGUUGGGCCAAACCAUCGGCCCAAAAUACUUAAACCCAAUUAUUAUUACUAGCGUGUAGGCCUCAAAUAAACUGAUCGAAAUUAAUAUCACAUUCGAUGUGGGACUAUUGGGGCGUUACAAACUCCUCCAAACCAUAUCACAGUCAGAUAGACCAAACCAGAUCACAGACAAACAGAUCAGGACCAGAAUUACCAUGCGAUGUGAGAUUUUAGAGGUGGCUCCCACCAAAUCUGCCGGUGUAGCACUUUAUCCCGCAUAGCAUUUAGCUCUCACACUUCUGGCUGGUAUUCAGCUCUGAUACCAAAUGCAACGAUCCGACCCGCUAGCAAUAAUAACUUGUUAGGCUAAACCAUCGGACCAAAAUUCUUAAGCCUAGUUAUUAUUAUUAGCGUGUAGGCUUCAUAAAACCUAUCGGAAUCAGCAUCUCAUCCUUUGUGGAAUUAUUGGGGCGUUAUAAGAUCCCAACUACAUCAACAGUAGGAAUAAGAUCAAUCGUAAGCAUAACCAGAAACUGCAGCUAGAGUCUAAGUUUCAGCAACAUGUAAGCAUAACCAGAAAUCGCAAAAGAGUCAUAGCUAGACUCGGAGAUUGGUGACUCCCUAGGAAGUGGGAUGUGAGGAAGACACAGAAGCUUGUGUUUACUUGUGACAACACUAAUGUUAUGGACCUGUGGUAUGUGGAGUGGAUAUUUAGAUAAGGCACGGUGAGUCCACACACAACCAAUUUAAUUACUAAGCCAAAAAAUGAGGAUCUAAUGCGAUAUAGGUAUUUUUUUUUGAGAAAAAGGUAGCAAGCUACCUGCUUCAUUCAUUAAGUGAAAUGAAUUUAGCGUACAAAAUGGAAGCAGCUAGGGCCUCCAGACAGAGCCGGCUACAGCAGAACAAAACAAAACCAAAAGAAAAACGGGGACAGAAAGUAGACAAAGAGGAAGAGAAACGAACAACUCGGGACCGCAAAUUCGACUACGAGAGCGCGAGGGGCUUCAAAGUGUUUCGUUCCAACCUCUGAUCAAAGAGGCGACACGCUGGGAAGCCCAGGACACGUUAUGAGCCUCAUCGCUGAAGCAAAUGCUGUUUCGCUCCGUCCAGACAACCCACCAAAUCGCCACUAAAUGAGUUAAACUUUUCGAUCUUGAUUUGGGCUCGAGGUUCUCAGAGAUCUGUGACCAAAGCCUCCGAACAUCCCCCUCUUCCGAAAAAGCCGGCAAAAUGGGUCCCACUAUAAAACGAAGAUAUCGGACAAAAAUACAGUCAUGGAACAGGUGCUCACAGGUUUCAGAAUGUUCUGCACAGAACUUACACCAUUGAUCCACUGGACACCCUCGGCGAAUCAAUCUAUCCGCUGUGAGUAAUCUCUUUCGAAGUAGAAUCCAGACAAACACUUUAUGCUUGAGCGGGAUAUUUAGUCCCCAAAGGUGAUCAUACAAAGGAACAAUCACUCCUCCAUUAGUGAUAAAAUCGUAAAGGGACUUCACGGAAAAAAUUUGGUUCACGGUCCAUCGCCAUUUUGGUAUGUCCUGCGUAUUCGAUGGACUAUGCCUAGCGAGCAGGCUCUUGAGUAGCGCAGUCUGCUGACGGGUCAGAGGAUCGGUACUUGCAGCCAGGCCUCUGGUUAUGAAACGCCAUCUCCAUCCUCUUUCAUUCCAGCAUUGUGAAACAGUGGCUUCCUGAUUUGCGAUUCUGCAGAAUACUCCCGAAAAUCUGGUACUAAGAGGGGUUUCUUCAAUCCAAAUGUCCGACCACCACCUGAUAUUUUUUCCGUCACCAAGUACGUAAGAAAGACCACAUUUGAACACGUCUUGACAGCUCAUCACACUUCUCCACCACUGGGAGUGCGGUCUGAAGGAUCUUCCCUCAUGUAACGGCCUUCUUCUAGUAUAAUAUAAUACAGUGAUCAACCUCCCCCAUAACAGAUGCUUCUCAUUGAAGAAACGCCACCACCAUUUAGCAAGUAAAGCCUUGUUCAUUGCUUCCAUAUCCUUGAUUCCCAGACCUCCUUCUUUCCUGCUUUUGCAAAUCGUUUUCCACCCAACGAGACAAGAACCCCCUGAAAUUUUAGAGCACCCUUUCCAAAAGAAGAACCUUCUAAGAGCUUCAAUGCGAUUCAAUACCCAGUGUGGCACUUUGAAAAUUGCAAAGUAGAAUAACGGGAGAUUCGACAGAACCGAGUUAACUAGGAUGAGUCUCCCCCCUUGAGAGAGGAGUUUUGCCUUCCAUCCAUCAAUUCGCGUCUCGAUGCGAUUAAUGAUCGGAGUCCAAUCGUCCUUCCGAAGUGAUUUGAUAUGAAGCGGCAACCCUAAGUACCGAAGCGGAAAUUUACCAACUCUACACCCCAAAAUAUCUGCGAGUCUUUUAGCUCUAUUAUCCGAGGUUCCCACCUGGAAAAGUUCAGUCUUGUUCAUAUUAAUCUUGAGCCCAGAGGCCCAUUCAAAUAUCUUCCAGAUGAAACGUAAGUUACGCAUCACAAACUUUUUGGGCUCCGAGAAGAAAAUAGUAUCGUCCGCGUAUUGCAGAAUCACAGUCUGACACUCGAGUGCCGGUCCAAUUCCUUGAAGCAAGUUGUUACCUCUUGCAGUUUUCGUGACCCUAGCCAAACAGUCGGCCACUAGAAUGAAUAGAUAGGGGGAGAGCGGGUCCCCCUGUCUCAGCCCUCUCCUUGUUUUUAUCCAUUGAGUCGGCGAGCCGUUCACUAAAAUAGCGAUUUUGGCAUUGCAAAUGCAUUGUUCGAUCCAGUACCGCCAUUUGUCAUUGAAUCUAAGCCACCGUAGUAUACUUUGCAAGAAUUUCCAGCUAACUUUGUCGUAGGCUUUCUCAAAAUCCACCUUGAUACUGACGCACUCCUUAUUAGUUCUAGCGCACCAGUUGAGUAGUUCAGUUGCAGUGACAAAAGAGUCAGCUAGAAGUCGGUCUUUCAGGAAGGCCGAUUGAGAUGGAGAGAUAAUCGAAGGUAACACAUUCGCUAAUCUGUUCGCGAGCACUUUCGAGACAAUUUUUUGGAUACCAUUAAGGAGGGAGAUUGGUCGGAAAUCGUUAACUUGGCAUGCACCUUCCUUUUUGGGGAUUAAACAAACAUAAGAGUAGUCCGCUGGUGCCGUACAGAGAUCAGAAUCGGAAAGCUCUUUGAAAAUAUCAAAUAUGUUAUCCCAGAAAUGUUGGAAAAAGAUAAGAGGGAAGCCGUCGGGACCAGGUGCCUUAUCACUACCAAGUUGAAAGGUCGCCUUUUUAAUUUCGUCCAAAGUAAAAGAGGUCGAUAUUAGCUCUAAAUCUGAGUCCGAUAAGACGUCCGCUUGGUACAAGUCGGCCCAGUCACCAAAAGAAGUAGGCUCGUGAUCACCACACCCGUACAGACAUUUGAAGGAAUGUGCGAAAAAUGACUUCAUUUGAUCUGCGUUCCUAAUUUGGCCACCGUACUCAUCUUCAAUGUACCGUAUCUCGUUGCUACGCUUCCGACCGUUGGCAACUGCAUGAAAAAACUUAGUGUUACUGUCCCCUUCCUUUAGCCAGUGCUGCUUAGCUCUAGUUUUCCAAAGGAUUUCUUCCUCCUGCAGGAUAAGUUGGAGAUGUGCUUUAAAAUCAACCCGUUUCUCCCGUACCUCCUGUGACAAGGUGCCCCGUUCCUCUAAAAGAUCGAUGCUUCUAAUUUCCUCCUUUAGAGACCUUAUCGUGUUGACUAUACUAUGGAAAUUCGUCUUACACCAUUCUUUUAUUCUGAUCCUACAGUGCCUCAAUUUUGCCGUCAAAGUGAGUAUUGCAAACCUCUUAUCAGAAACUUCGUUCCACCAGAUAGGAACGUUUUGUGAGAAAUCCUCCCUAGUUAGCCAAACUUUCUCGAACCGAAAUCGCCGCGGAGUGGGAUUGCUCCCAGUUGUAAGAAUAAGCGGGGUGUGAUCGGAAGCAAUUCUAGAUAGAGCGGAUACCCUGCAGUGCGGGAAGACUUGGUCCCACUCCGUCGAAACUAGAAAUCUGUCCAGCUUCGCCAGGGUAGGUGAACGUUGCAUAUUAGACCAAGUAAACUUUUGGUUGGAAAUGGGCAGGUCGAUGACUUCGAGAUUAGAGAUGAGAUCCGAGAACAUGAACAUCGCUUUUGAACUCCACCGGUUUCCCGAGCGUUCAUUCUGGUUUCUAGUAAAGUUGAAAUCCCCGCAAAUCACCCAUUUGUUGUUGAAACAGACCGCACCUAGGGCGAGGAGUUCAGAACAGAACUCUUCUUUCCCAUCCCAACUUGGCGGUCCAUAAACAUUUGAAAGGUAGAAGCUCGUGCCGCUGGGGACGUGUUUCAAGUUAAGGGUGAGCGAGUGAUCACGCACCAACACCUCCGAACACAUGAACAUUUUGGAGUUCCAACAAGUGAUUAAACCGCCCGAUGCUCCAAUAGCAGGAAUAAAGUGGCAUCUGUCAAAACUCGAACCACAGCAAGAGCGAAGAAAGGAACGAGACACAGAAUCCACUUUAGAUUCUUGGAUACAGACUACCGAACAUAAGAGUUUAGCGACAGUAGACCUGACACAACGACGCUUACAAGGGUCGUUUAGACCGCGGACAUUCCAAGUAAAAAUAUUAAACAUAAGAGGAGAGACACACAACCAAAAGGCGGCCCAAACUCAACUCAAGCCCACUCCAGGUCAACCCCGCAGCAAGAACUUGUGGAGCUCCUCGGCCUCAACCCCCGUUAGCUUCACACCACAAAGCGCACUUUUCUUCAACACCUUUUUGCUGUUCCGUAGGCACCGAACCGACGUAGAACCGGAGAUCUCACCUUCGAGGAGGGCCGUUUUCCUCAUUUUCGCACGGUCAAGUGCCGAAACCUGCCGAACCGACAUCAGUCUUGCGGAAGAUCUGGUCGCCACCCUCGGAUCGCGCGGUAAAGUCCCCUCCUCACCUGGUGUAAGGUUGGUAGCGGGGGAGAGGGAAAAGAAGUCUCCUUCCGCUGACCCGAUCAACGAACUGACGAUCGGCAAGUUGGCCCUCUCGUAAACCCCCCCACCGAUAUCGCCUGUGCUCUGAUCUACUACCAGCUCUUCAACAACAGACCCGAGCAACGAACCGACAGGCGGCGAGUCGGGCAGUAGGUAGACGCCCCCUCCAAUUACACCAUGGAACGGAACAUCUUCAGACCCUUCGACAACUGACCCGGGCGGGUCGGACCUCUGGAACACGCCCCCUCCAUAAGCCCCUGGGAAUGGUUCAACUUCACUCGGCAAAGGAAAAACUUCAGGCACCCGUGGUGCGAAUCUUGCAGACAUGCUGGGGAAGGUGGGCCCCAAAUCCCAGUCCCGGGAGAUGGACCCGGAAGCGACGGCAGUGGUUACCAGCAAGAAUAGCUCUUCAGGCUUACUGGCGAAGAUGGGCCCCAAAUCCCAAUCCCGGGAGGUGGACCCGAAGGCAAAGGCACCGGAGGCCGGCGAGAGUACCUCCUCCCCACACGACACUCGGGGAGCGAAGCUUGCAGGCUUGCUGGUGUAGACGGGCCCCAGAUCCCGAUCCCGAGAGAUGGAACGAAGAGCGAUGGAACCCAGAGUGACUAUCGCGGUGGCCGGCAAGAGUGCCUCAUCACCGCUCGACUCUUCACCCCACAUCCCGCUGAGCUCCCGGCCUUCUCGACCAGCCCUCGGGCCCGAGCGAAAAAACGAGUGUCCCGAGCGAGAAACAGAGAGGCCCGAGAGACAGACAGUCCAAAGGUGUCCCAGGCGAAAAAUAAUUUCGGAAGGCCCCAAUUGCGGCUGAUCCACCCCGAAAGAAAUCAAUAAAGGCCCCCACCGAACCAGGUACCAGGCCUCUGAUCCGCGUGGGUCUGAAGGGCCCAAUCCCGCAUCAAGGCCAAAAUCCUGCGGCAGCACGCUCGGCCCGAGACCAACCAAAACCUCGUCAACGUCGGCCCACAGCUUGUCCGGCCCCAACCCAGGGCUCGAGGAGGUUGCGCCGAUCUCCGGAAUGGAUGUAGACCGCUUACAGUGAAAGAUGCGCUGAGCCUUCAAUGCGUAUCCAACAGUCUCUGCAACCCGAUGCGAAGCCCUCAAAUCCAUAAUGAGAUCUUUUCCUUUUCCAAGAGCCUUCGAAGCAACACCGCCCGCAAUUAAACUACGCGCCCUCUCCACAUCACUUCUCGCAUUAAUGGAUCGCCUUCCCUCCACAUCACCUCUCUCACAUCUCAUAAUUGCUGCUACAUCAGUCUCCGGCAAAUUCGAAUUCCUGAACGUUGCCCCACCCAUUCCGACGAUCGUCGGUCCUUUCCUGACAUCAGGAUCAGAUAAUAUCGAACUCCCGACCGAUGCCCCGCGCCUUCCGACGAUCGCCGGACCUUCCCUGACCGAUUCCACCUCACCAAUCCGCCUCCUGUCCCUGAUUUCAGACGAAUUCCAAGAUGCGUCGGAGUUAGACGAACCACCAGCGGACGAAUGACGGCCACGGGUCGUGCUGCUCCGUCCGUUCGUUGGGUGGAAUGCCAGGGUCGACGACCUCGCGGCGACCCCAUCUCUCGAGCUGGAUGAGUACCGACAGUGAGUAAUCUCCCACCGUGAUUUCCAGAUUUUUCGGGAUGUCCGAAAGAAAGUUGACAGAAAUGAGGCAUCGAUAUCCCGUAAGAUCCACCAUGCGAGUCGAAAAGUCGUCGGCCCGUAUGAAGCGACCGAACCCGCCAACCAGCGCCGCUACCGUUCUAGAGGACCAACACUCGUAAGGUAAGCUUACAAGUCGAAUCCAUACGUUAUACGUUAGCGAAGCCCUCCGCAGCCCGAAGUACGGAUUCCAUGGAUAACAUUGAAGUCUCAGAUUGUCCAACGAGAGGAUCUCCCUCCGAACUAGCUGGGCUGCCGUCACCCACUCCGGGAGGAAAAUCACAUAGUCGCGUUGACUGAACUUGGCAACAUGAAAGUCCGACGGGAAGCCGCCGAAACGACUCGCAAGCCUGUUAGCUAACGUCUCCUGAGGGAAAUGGCCUAGAUUCCUUGGAGGAAGCACAUCCACCAGAAUUGCGUUGCGGCAGCGAUUCUGCCUGGUGAAAAAAUCUUCUGUUUGUGGGACAAAUGCGCUGAGGUACGAAGGUCUGGCCCGCAUCUCCCUGUAGACCGCCAUCGGCAACCGAUCCAUGCACGAUUUAGCGACGUGACCCGUCUUGUAGCAACGCGCACACCGGAGAGGCUCGCGGCAGCUUGACACCCGGUGGUUCAGACCCAGGCACCUGAAGCACUUGCCCUUGAAGAAAGAUUUGUGCGGGCUUUUGAAUGAAGGAAAAGAGUAGACUCUCUGAGGGCGUCGAAGAUCUCGCGACGGUGUGGGCACGGGAGUGAGGAGCGCCUCCUUGUAGGUCUUGUUUAUACCAGAAGUACCAGAGCCCGUCUCCGAGCUCCUCGUAAAGCAAUUCGUCGACGUGUCGGUGACUCGUGUAGUGGGAGAAGGAUCCUCUAGAUGAACAACAGCAGCUUGAGUUAAUGCAAUCCCUUCCUCAUCAGCCCAAGUCACCUUCUUGUUGGGAGCAGCGCCCGCGACAGAACGAAGUUUGCCAGGGUAGGUGCCUUCAAUAACUCCUCUCUUCUUCCUUCCUUCAUUCACUUCUUUUUCCUUCCUGCCUUCAAUAACUCCACUCUCCUUGUUGUAGGCAGUAUGAGAAAGAGGAGCCACCGAAGUCGAAGGAUCUUGUGUCCCGCGCGAGCCCGUCACAUUUCGCCACAGAAUAUCCCUAGCUUCGUCUCCAAUCUUCUUCCCUGUCUUCAUCCUAUUCUUCUUUCUCUCUCUUUUCCCUUAUUUUAUUUUUUUUGAACCACACGCGAUAUAGGUAUUACUACUACUUUUUAGUUGCCUUUUCAUCCUUUGUACGUGCAAAUACAUUUUGUACUUUCCGACUAGUAUAUAUGCUAUUCUAUGUUUGAGAAAUACGUGUGCGUAAUGCAUGGUUCAUUUCUAGUUCAACUUUUAUACGCGCGGAUUUUCUAUUUCUACGUAAUUCAUGUUUGAGAAAUACUUGUGCUAUUCGCGACUAUCUGUUCAGUAUCUUAAGAGUCUACUGGGUGGACUAUACGAAUGCUUUCGCAAAAUUUAUGAAUUUACGUCCAAAUUAGACCAAAUUCUGAACAUUUAUUCUGAGCAUAACACUUAUCGUUAAGUGAGAUUACUUUAAUAGUGUACCGUGUUUGAGAUGAAAAGAGUACAAGAAUGGACGAGAAAGAAGAAUAUCUUCUAAAACAAAGACGCUAUUACAUAUAUUUAUCCAAAACUCUUCUUUACAAAAUCCUAAUCAGCCUUUACAUUUGAUGAUUCUGACGAUUUGCACUUAGGAUACAUAGAAAAGUGGGAUCGGGUGAAAUCUGGUCAAUAUAAAGCCAAUUGAGUCCUGGUUGAUGCGGUUUCGACCCGAGUACGUACUGUAAAACAAUUAUAACUUGGCAUACGGGUGUCUAUUUUUAGACGUGCAAUCUUAAUUCGAAAAUAACUUUUUAAUUAAGCUAACUUGCGCAUAUUUACAGUAUGCAGGAAUCGAACCCAUGACCUCUGACUCUAAUAACACUUGUCAGAUCGUUAGCGCUAACGAUUAAUCUCGAAAGCUCGAGCUGUUAGAAAUACAAAAUCAAUUCACUUAAAGCGUACAAAUACAACGCCUACGGAUUUUGAUUGUGACUCGACCCAAUCAGCCUAACGCCACUUCGAACAUGACUUGGCCCACCCAACCUCACGCCAUUUCUAAUAUGACUCGGCCCAAUAUGGCCUCCCGCCACAGAACAGAACGCUGGCCCAUUUAAGCCAACACGAUUGUCCCUGAUGCAAGUGGCAAAGGACUUGAUAGUUGGUACCUGAGAUCCCAAGUUCGAAUCCUAGUUGAUUUAUAUUUUCAGCCAAGUUUAUUUCUAAAAAAUAAAUGAAAUGAAUAGCAUGCUACAUUUCUCUCAAAAAAAAAAAAAAUCGAGAUCUACGCAUCAAACAGCAAAUCUGUUUUCAGCCGAGUUUGGCACCUAAAUUCAAUAGUUUAGGCCUCAAAAUUCGCAGUUUUAGAUAUUUUUUAAUUAAUUUUGAGAAUGUUAUUUUGUUUCUUUUAUAAUUUUGAGUUAGACCAGAGUUCUUUGUUAUGUAUGGCUGAUUAGGGUUAGACUUGAGUUAAUUUCAUACUUUGUGCUUAGGUGAGUGCCUCUACAUAAAGGCUAAUAAGGGUCUUCAUUAUAGAAGAGAAUCUUCUAUCUUUCUCAUCUCAAACGCUGUUUAGGCUUGCGUCAAAUGAAUCAAACUUCUUGAUAUUGAUCUAAAGAACAAGUUAAUCAACAUUUACAUGGCAAUUUUUCAUCCACAUCACACUUUUUUUUUACACUCAUGCAUCAAGUUCCAAUUCUAAAAACUUCGUACAAAUAAAAAUUUGAAAUCUAACCGACUUGUCGGAUCGUUGGCGCUAACCAUUAAACCCAAAAACUUGAGCUAUUACAAAUACGCAACCAAUUCACUUAAAUCGUAUAGAUACAAUAUCCAUGGGUCUCGAUUGCUAUUCGGCCCAUCUAGCCUCACGCCAUUUCGAACAUGACUCGGCCAAACAUGGCCUCCCGCCACAAGGUAGGAUGCUGGCUCAUUUAAGCCAACAAUCCCUCCUGUAGCACCUGCACACAUUUGUAGCAUGCAGGAAUCGAACUCGCGACCUCUAGCUUUGAUACCACUUGUCAGAUUGUUGGCGCUAACCAUUAAUCCCAAAAACUCGAGCUAUUAGAAAUACGCAACCAAUUCACUUAAAGCGUAUAGAUACAGCACCUAUGGGUCUCGAUUGCGACUUAGCCCAACCAGCCUCACGCCAUUUCGAACAUGACUCGGCCCACCUAGCAUCACGUCAUUUCGAAUAUGACUCAGCCUCCCGCCACUUCAAACAUGACUCGGCCCAUCUAGCCUCACGCCAUUUCGAACAUAACUCGGCCCAAUAUGACCUCGCGACACAGGGCAGGAUACUAGCCCAUUUAAGCCAACACGACCAUCCCUAACGCAAGUAACUAAGGGCUUGGUGGUUAGUACUCGAGACCCAAGUUUGAAUCCUAGUUUAUUCACAUUUCCAGCUAAGUUUAUUUCUAAAAAAAAUAAACGAAGCGGGUAGCGUGCGACCUUUCUCUCAAACAAAAAUAGUUUUGAAAUCUAUUUUUGGAAUCAUUCAUACACUGUACUCCAAAUACUACACAUACCAACUAAUUGAUUUCAAAGUAAUUGCACUUUGUUUGCUAAUGCAAAUAGUCCCACAAUUGCUUUUGGAGACACUCAUCAUGCUUUAAUAAUUAAUGUGUCACACAUGUACUAAUCAAAGACAUUAAAUUUGGCACACAUGUGCUAGAGCAGAUGCUAUGUCACAAUCUCAAUUCUGAUUGAUUAACACUUUUGUUUCUAUGAAUUUGUUGAAUUGUGUGCUUCUGUUUUUCCUUCUGCUUUUUAAUUUCCUUGCUACCAAAAGAGGUUUGAACCAGCAUUGUUAUUUUCUAUUAUAGUUCAUUGCUUUUAAGCUCAGAUAAUUACAUUUGCGGAUAUCUUUAGUCUCUGUUUGGAUGCAUGAAUUUUUUACUCAGUAUGUUUUCUUAAUUUCAUCAAGAAAUUUGAUGCUUGAUUGAUAAGAAGCUGAUCAAAUGUUUAGAAUUGAAUACUAUAUUUUUCGAGUCAUUUUUUGGAUAAGAUAAUGUUACAAUGAGCACACAAAUUAAUAAAAACGAAAAGCAGUGAUCGCAAAGUAAACAAACUACAACAUAAUAAAAUAAAAAAUAGAACAUAAGGAUUCACGUGAAAAAUUAUUUGCAAUGAAAAAAUUACGGGCGCAGGAGGAAUGAACUUCACUGUACGAAAAAAGAGAGUACAAUAUUGUAAAAGUACAAUAUGCUGUAUCGCUUCAAGAACAAAAAGAAGAAAGAAGUUUCUUAACGGAUUCCAUCACAGACAUCUCCUUUUUCCUUCACAAAAUAUUUUUCAAAAUUUGUUACUCUACGAAAUUGUCAGUGAAUCAGGGGCACAAUUUCGAACUUGAUAACUAAAUUUCGAGAUACAUCUAACAAUCUUGUGGAUGAAAUAUACUAUCCUACUAAAUCAGUAAUAUAUAGCAAAACCUUUGAAUAAGCAAGAAUCAAACUCUUUAUUUACAAUCAACCCUUAAAAUUCUUACACAAGAGUAGGUUAUACAAGAAUAACUUAUUCUAAUAUUCAAACAUGGCCUUAAAUUAAUCAAUAAUAGGUUUCUCAACAUUGCCGACAUUAAAGUUGACUAGCAAUUAAAACAAGGUAGGGCUAAUUAAUUGCACCAUCUUAACCAAUUUUUCAUCUUAGCCCCCAACUUAAUUUUUAAAAAAAAAUCAGAUCCUUAAUCUUUAGAAUUAAUUGCCUAUUAGUUCUAACCUUUACUCCCCAUUCACUUUGAUUACUAACCUCUUAUAACGAAUCCAUGAUCGUUGUAUCAAGCGUGAUUUCACCAACUUUAAUAUCGUCUUCUGCGUCUAAGACCACCUUAACGUACCUCACAUAUAAUGUCUACUACCUUUCCUGGAACGUUUAAUAUAUGUGGCGUCAACUGGGUGUAUCAGCACGCAAACUCUUGUAAAAACUUAAAAAAGUAGGCUAUUUAUUAUUGGAUUAAAAUAGGUUCAACAUUCUGGCCUGUAACAAUAAGCUCAAGAGAUUAAUAAGUUGAGUUUGAUGAGCCUAAUAAGUUGAGUGGGGCUGCAGUCCACAAAAGACCUAAAGACAAGAGGCCCAACAAUAGACCUAACAUCCUAGUGGGUUGAGUCAGGUCGAAAUCUGUGAGCGAUGUGGUUGAACCUUUAAGUGCGAUGUGUGCGUCUUUUCUAUCAGUACGUACUUUUGGGAUAGUUGGCUAGCGCAAAACGAUCCGACAAGUGAUAUCAGAGAUAGAGGUCACGGGUUCGAUUCCUCCUGCAAGCUACAAAUUUGUGUAGAUGUUGGAGAGGAAAUUAUUAACUUAAAAGGGCCAGCAUCUUGCCAUAUGGCAGGAGGCCAGGUUGAGCCGAGUCACGUUUGAAAUGGCGGGAGGCUAGAUUGGGCCGAAUUAUGUUCGAAGUGAUGCAAGGCUGGUUGGGUAGAGUCACAAUCGAGACCCGUGGGCACUAUGUUUAUACGCUUUAAAUGAAUUGGUUGUGUAUUUCUCACAACUCGAGCUUUUAGAAUUAAUGGUUAGCACCAAUGAUCCGACAGAUGCAAUUUAUUCCAUCAAAAUUAAUGAGAAUUCGGAUGUUUGGAAUCUAACUGUAAAAAAAUAUAAAAUUAGAAAUCUAAAGGUAGGGACAAAUUGUGGUAUGUAUAUAGGUUAUUCUAUGCUUGUUCUUUUUUUCUUUUUUUUUUUUUUCUCUCUCAUUAUUAAGAUUGGAACAGCUUGUCUUGUACUUAGGUGGAAGCCAACCAAACUUUGAUGAAGCUUUUACAAUGACAGAUGAGACAUCAUAUUCAAUUAGGUAAAGUUGUAAUUGACAUGUAGGAUUGGAUUAGAUAGUUUAAAAUGAAAAGGAAAUGUUGGAUGCCAGAAAGUAUUUAACAAUAUAGAGAUUUUGGCGGUCACGAUAGAUAGAUAUAUAGCGAAGCCAACAUGAUAGAAAGGGAUUUUCUGAAUCAAAGCCGUUCAUUUAUUUUCAAACUCUCUAGUAUGGUUCAAUAAUUCUGACAAGACUCUUUGGCAUGACUGGACUCAUUUUUCUAUUGCCAAUGCAUUCAACUUGGUAGGCUGAUAUUCUUUUUUGGCAUUAUUUUCUCAUCUUAUCUUAUCAAUCCAAUACCGAAUGUCGGACGAACCCUAAAUUCUUAUUUUGCUAGGCUUCUAGGAUAGCUUAAUUGCUCAACCAAGAUGUGGUGAAGCAUUUAAUAGCAAAAUGCUUUAGAGUUUCUGCUAUGGUUGGAAGUAGAAAUUCUGAAGCAACGCCUACAAUUCUUUCUGAAGCCUUUGAUUCUGUAGAUCUAUUUGGAAAAUCUUUCUUUGAAAAAGCUGCUAAUGCUUCUCCAAACUUCAUCAUCAUUACAUCUUUUGAUAAUACAGAAAAAUUUAACAAUUCUCUAGUGUUUGAACUAAGACAAUGCUAGCCCUACAACCACUUGUUGGUUGUAAUCUUACAACCCUACCAUCUAAGGACUCAUAUUUUUCUACUAAUCUUAUCAUUCUUUUUUUUUUUAUUACUAAAUUCAAAUGAAAUUUUUAAACUCUAGCUAAGAAUGUUAAAUAAUAUGAGACAAUCGUUAUUCUUUAAAAACGUAAGUAUUUUUAAAUUUCAACCAUCCCACCUCCCACCCCAAAAAAAAAAAUAUAUAUAUAUAUAUAUAUAUAUAUAUAUAUAUAUAUAUAUAUAUAUAUAUAUAUAUAUAUAUAUAUUANUAUAUAUAUAUUUGGGCUCGAGAUUUUUUGAUUGAUCCAUGACGUAGGCUUGAAUUAAAUAGAUUAGCAGUCUGGUUUGACUCGAACUCAGGAUCUUCUGUUUUGACACCAUGUUAAAUUAUAUGAAAUAGUCGUUGUGCUGUAAAAGUUUAAAUUAGUGAAAAAUAGUAUUUCUAUAUUUUUACAUUUAACAAAGUAUAAGAAUUACAACCUUCAAAUUAAGAUUGUGAUCCUACAGGUCUCUUUGAAUAGUAGAUUUAGCAUUUCUCUUGAAAUAAAUGUUGACUGAUUACAAACACUACAUCAGCUUGAGAAGAGCACACAUUUGACACCACUGUCUAAGUUACAGUUGGACCUUUCUUAAUAACUUAAGCAGUAGCUUUUUCCUUAUAAAGGGGUUAGAGAGACCUAAAGAAAGGAACGACCCUUGUUACCCAAUGACAAAAGCACAGGAUCUGAAAUGAAAUUGUAUUUAUAUAUAGAGAGAGAGAGUUGAGCUGAAAUGCUAUUGGUACUAAACGGACUCUGUUGCCACUCAUUUUAUUUUCGAUGAUGAAGCGUUUAAAUCGAUGAUCGAAAUGCUAUGAGGCGUUUUCUUGUUUAACGGUAUAAAACUAUCUAAAUCAAUUGAAUUUUGAUUAGAAAAUUUUUCAAACUAUUUAGAACAAGAUUUAUACUAUUGAUCUUGAUUAUAAAAUUUCUAUCAUCACUUUUUAGAGGAUAUUCAUUUUUAGCAGUUCAUUUUUACUCCCACUUGAUGGAUAAGAGAACAAUAUCGAGAAAGCAUGAAAUUUGAUUUUUAGAUACUUCAACCGGUAUAGAUAAUUUUCAACGGUGCCGAUCGUCGAUUUGAAAGCUCCAUCAUUGAAAACAAAUGGGUGGCAAUAAAGCUAGUUUGCUAUCGAUAGCAUUUCAGCUCAACUAUAUAUAUAUAUAUAUAGAGAGAGAGAGAGAGAGAAAGAGAGAGAGAGAACUAGGCUGGAAUACUAUCAAUAGCACUAAGUUAUUUGUGCUAUUAAAUUUUUAGCCAUUGAAUUGAGAAAUAUGCGGUUAAGAUCAACCUGUUUAAUCAUUUCUAACCUUUAGAUUAAUACUAUUACCUUGUGGUAAUCACUCAACACUAGGAAUGAUCACAAUCAUCCCAACCGUACAAUUCUUGAUCCAAAAGUCAAAAAAUCGGAAGUAUCAAAUUAUUUAUACUUCCGAUAGUAUAGUAACUUUACAUUAUAUAUAUAUAUAUACUAUAUAUAAAUGCACGUAUAUUCAAAUUUGAGUCUAUCGACAGACCCAUUUCUCGGCGGAAAAAUUAGCGCCCAUUUUUCUCUUUCCGUACAAAAAAUUUUAAACAUAAGAAUAAAAAAAGAAAUAGAAACCGUAAUGAAUACGUAAGUUUUCUAUAACAAAUUACUGAUGUGAAAAUCCUAAAAAAUAAAUUUUCUUAUUUAAUUUCAAAAGUAAAUUUUCUAUAACAGAUUACGGGUGUGAAAAUUCUAUAAAAGAUAUUUUCCUAUUUUAUUUUAAAAUAUCUUUUUUAGAUAUUAUCUAUUUAAUUUCAAAAUAUAUUUUCUUUUUAAGAUAACGGAUUUUAUUUUUCUAUUUAAUUUCAAAAAUUUAUUUCCUAACAGAUUUUAUUUUUCUAUUUAAUUUCAAAAGUAAAUUUUGCAUUAGAGAUUAUUGUUAAUUAUUUAUCAUUUAAAGCAUAUCUUUCUUAAUAGCGUGAUUUAUUAUUUUAAAUUUUUUAGAUACAUAUUUGGCAAUCAUAUAAAAUAUGGCCUAAAAUUAAAAAAUAAUUUAAAAAUUGUAACUUCUUCUAAUAAUUAUUACGUGCAUUUGCACGUACAUUUUUACUAGUAUAUAUAUAUAUAUAUAAUAUAUAUAUAUAUAGAGAGAGAAGAGAGAGAGAGAAGAGAGGAGAGAGAGAAGAGAGAGAGAAGAGAAGAGAGGCGCGAGCGAGCUAGGCUAGUAUAAUAUUGGUAGUACAGAGGCCUCCGUGUUAAGUUGUUUUCAAUGAUGCGCUUCUAAUCGAUCGAUCGGUUCGUUAAUUUGAUCUACACUAUAAAAUACUUGAAACUAAAUUUCAUAAUUUUUCGACAUCAUUUGGCUAGUGAUCAAAAGGUCUCAAAAAUUGACAAUUUUAAUGGUAGAUGUGAUGCGUUUGUGAAUUUAACGGUGUAAAACAAUCAAAUCUGAUGAAAUUUUUUAUAGAAAAUUUCUUUCAGUAUGUAGAGUAAGAUCAGUUCUCUGAUUUUAAUCGAAGUCUUUAUGAUUAUUUUUACGAGAUUUAUUUUCAAGCCGUUUCACUUUAAACUACUUGUUUAAUAGUAAAUGAUACCGAAAAAUCAAUAAAUUAGUUUCAAAUACUUUCAUAUCGUGUAGAUGCAAGUCUAACCGGAGACGAUCGUCAAUUUGGCCCACAUAAUUGAAAUAUAACUUAAUAGCACGGAGACUUCUGUACUACCGAUAUUAUACCAGCCUAGCUCUAUAAUAUAUAUAUAAUAUAUAUAUAUAAUAUAUAGAGAGAGAGAGAGAGAGAGAGAGAGAGAGAGAGAGAGAAGAGAGAGAGAGAGAGAGUUGAGCUAUGAUAUCUUUACAAGUAUCAUCAUCAUGGUGCUAUUGUUUAAGCCAUUGAUCUACUUUUUAUUAUUAAUAGCCUCUGAUUAAACACUAUUCCACCUACCACCACCUAUCACCACCUACCACCAUCAUCUCAACCUCACAUCUCUCCAUCCAAGGCUAAAACACACAAGUAUCACCCCCAUGAUACUUUUACAAGUAUUCUAGCCCUACUAUAAUAUAUAGUAUAUAAUAAUAAUAAUAGAGAGAGAGAGAGAAUGAGAGAGGAGAAGAGAGAGAGAGAGCCGUUUCGAUGAUGGAGUUUCUGAAUCGACGAUCGACCUCCGUUAAACUUGAUCUAGCAUAUUUGAAGUUUAAGAAAAUAAUUUUUGUGAUUUUUCGAUAUCAUUUACCUAGCAAUCGAAUGGAUUCAAAUCAAUAAUUUUUAACGGCUGAAAAUAAAAAUCUAUAAAAGUGUGAUAUAGCAACUACAAAUUUCGAUCAGAAAUAUUGAUUGUUGUAGAUAGUAUAAAGAAUUUUGUAUCAAAAUUUCAUCUGAUUUGAAUACUUCUACACCGUUAAAUCUUGAAAACGGCAGAUAUCAACCAUUAAAAAAUUAUGGAUUUUGAAUCCUUUCAAUCACUAGAUAAAUGAUAUAAAAAAAUUGCAAAAAUUAUUUUCUAGAAACUUUAAAUGCCUAGAUCAAGUCUAACGGCGCGAUCGUCGAUUCGAAAUUCCCAUCCAUCGAAAACGACUCAGGAGCACAGAGGCCUUCGUGCUCGGAGAGCACAGCCAGCCCUGUUCUCUCUCUCCUCUCUCUCUAUAUAAUAGAUAUAAUAUUUAUAUAUUAUAUAAUAUAUAUAUAAUAUAUAUAUAUAUAUAUAUAUAUAUAUAUAUAUAUGCAUGCAUGGGUCGCCUAUCAAAUGGUCACUUACUCACUUAUCACAUUGCCACCUGGAAACUUUUCUUCUUAUCGUGGGCAUGUCGAUCUCCUCCUGCUUUGAUUUGUAUGCUUAAUUGCCUCAAUUUCUAAGUUUUUAGAUGGCUAUUAUCAUUGGACCAACAAAUUAUUGGUUAAAAGUAUUUAAAUCCCCAUAUAUUAUUAUAACCAAUUAAUAUAUAAUUAAAUACUAUUGUGAAUAUGAAGUUUUAGUGUAUGUUCAUACAUACACGCUCUUCAUCUUUUCCUAAAUCUUAAUCAACUAAGUUUUUUUUUGUUCUUUCCACUACAUGACUCUUUUUUCUAAGUAAAGAAAUUGUCUGAUUCAUCUGAAUAUUAGUGCAAAUCAUCAGCUAAGCUGUGAUAUAAAUAAAAUAAACUUAAUACAUAAACUUUACUAUUAUUUUACAUGAAUAUUUUCCUAAAACUUCAUCUAAUAGAAAAAAAAAAUGAACAUUAAAUUGUCUAGAAUCCUUUAGCUAUAUAUAUAGAGAGAGAGAGAGGAGAGAGAGAGCAGGACUGAUGUGCUCUCAGGUGCAGGAAGCACGGAGGCUUCCGUGCUCCUGAACUGUUUCUGAUGAUAGAAUUUUCGAAUCAACGGAUCGCCAUUUGCAGAGACUUGAUCUAGCUAUUUGAAGUUUUUAAAAAAUAAUUUUUGCGAUUUUUUGAUAUUAUUUACCUAGCAAUCGAAAGGAUUCAAAAUCAUAUUUUAACGGCUAAAAUAAAAAUCUAUAAAAAGUGAUGAUAUAGCAUUAAAAUUUUCGAUCAAAAAUAUUAAUCUUUUGUAGAUAGUAUAAAGAUAUUUUGUAUCAAAUUUCAUCUGAUUUGAAUACUUCUACACUUUUAAACUUGAAAAACGGCAGAUAUCAACCAUUAAAAAAUAUUGAUUUUGAAUCAUUUCGGUUACUAGUAAUGAAUACCAAAAAAUCGCAAAAAUUAUUUCUAGAAACUUUAAAUACUCUAGAUCAAAUCUAACGGAGCCGAUCGUCGAUUCGAAAAUUCCCAUCAUCGAAAACGGUUCAGAAGCACGAAGGCCUCCGUGCUCCUGAGAGGCACACAGCCGCUCUCUCUCUCUAUCUAUAGAGAGAGAGAGAGAGAGAGAGUUGAGCUCUAUGCUUUAAAAACACAUGGACAUUUUUGUUUGUGCCUUUUAAUCAUAAAUCGUCUUAAAAUUCUUACAGCACUAUUAAUGAGGUAUCCUAGAAGACUCUCGUUUACUAGUGCUGCAGCGACUGGAGACGAUCCGAAAUCACAAACUACUAUAUUCAAUAUAGCCAUUAUUAAUGAACCCUAAUCCGAAAACUACAACAAUAGCUAUAUUAAUUCAUUAAUUAUCCAAAAAUAAGAUAAGGCUCAAGGGUAACUCGAAUUAUGUAGCCCACAAGUCCACUAGAGACUUGAGGCCUUAUCUUCAAAAACACAAAUUGGGAUCGAUCAAAUCAUCACCAACCUCUUAAGUGUUAUUCCGUGAUAUAAAACAAUCGUUGCGUACCUAGGCACCGUUUGUAUCGGGGAUAAGGGGCAGGGGAUAAUCGCCUCUAUCCCCGCCUUUACCCAGAACACAAAUUUUUAUCCGAAAAUAGUAGUUUCGGAUACCGUGAACAUAAGCUGGGUAUAACUGAUCCCACAACACCUAUUUUCCUAUAUAUAUUCUAUAUUAUUUUCCUAUCCAUAUAUUCUAUAUCAAACGCUAUUUUCCUUAUUCCAGAAACAGUCAAUUUUCAUCCAAAACCGCUAUUUUCUUAUCUCCAUACUUGUACAUAUCCCAGUAAUGUAGGUUGUUAACAAAUACAGGUUCCAUAAAUGUAUAGAACAGUUAGAAAAUAUUUUGUACGAAGUUAACUAAAGUUUUUUGAGUAGAAAAAAAAAAAAAAAAAAAAAAAAAAAAAAAAAAAAAAAACAAAAAUAUAGUACAAAUUCGACAAAAAAAAGUACUUAAAUUCCAUAAUUAAGCAAAUCUCCGCAAUUUGUAGAGCUAAGAGGUGAACUGCAAAAAUUGAUUCCUCAGCUUCAAAUUUUUAACCAACAUUCCCUUUUGAUUCUCAAUAUAUUUAAUUCAAGUUAUAUAUUCGAGUCCAUUUGAAUGGAAUUUUUUAAAAAUAAGCUAUACUUUAUAUACACUCAAAGAAAAAUGAUAUUAACGAAGGAAUAGUGGCCGUUAUAACUAAGCAUAUUGGUCCGCUAAAAUUUUAAUGACGACAAUUUCCGUCGCCAUCCGUCUUAAUCUUCUCUUCCGCUAAAACUUUAUACGAAGGGCUUUAAUUUCGUCACAAAAAUAUUUAACGACCGAGAUCAAUCCGUGUUAAAUGAUAUAUACACGACCCAUAUUGCUAGUAAUAACACCAUAUUAUUUGGUCGUUUUUUUAUAUAAAAGAUAUGCCAAAUCUUAUUGUUAGUGACGGAUACAACUAAAAUCACGAACUGGUAGUACCUGUCGCUAAAAAAUAUUUUCAGCUAAAUAAACUAAAAUCUAACACGAAAAUUGUCGUCGAUAAAAAAAUAUUAGCAAUACCAUUUAAUGAUUCACACACGCAAACUACCCUCUUCCGCUAUAUAAUAUAAUAUAUAUAUAUAUAUAUAAUAUAAAUUAUAAUAUAUAUAAUAUUUAUAUAUAUACACAACACAUAAGAAGAGAGAGAGCAAUAUAUUAACUCAUCCGUGGCAGAGGGUGAAAAAUAUGAAUAGACAAUUCCAAACUAAUGAGAGAAUAAAUAAGAACCAAUAAUUGUCACAUCCAUAGUUUAAAAAGGUAAAAACUAACAAAGUAUUGGAAUUGUCAUCCAUACUUACAUACAAGUCUAAUCAUACCAACAAACUAAGCAACAUUCUUAAACCAUCAAAGUCCAAAAUAUGAAAAAUCAAAUUAAGAAUAAAGUUUUGAGAGAUUUUGGUUCCAACGAAGACCCAAAAUGAUUCAAAAUACCUUGACGCACGCUAAUCAUCAACGUUGGAUCAGAUUUCAAUCCUUCCAACUUAUCACCAUCAUUACCUACAAAAAGAUAAGCGUAUGUAUUAGACUAGAUGCACGAACGAAUAAUCAUAAUAUGAAAUUCCGAAUUAAUCUAACAUGAUUAUCGUGAAAGAUAGAAGAACUUUAACUAAGUCUAUGAAAUAAAGUAUAUAAAAGAAAUUGGUGACAGAAUGCAUAUUAUAAUAGACUUAUCAAGUUUAUUAAGGUAACUAGAGAAUAAUUAAAAACAAACCUUCAAGGAAAGUGGAGGAGAAAUAUUAUGAUGUGCUGGAGCAAUUUCCAUUAAUUUUGAGUUCCGCUCUCAAAAAUUCCACAUACGCAGUCCUAACAAGUGAUGAUUUUGCCUUCUGAGUUGUCACAGAUUUGGCAUUAGUAUCAGCUCUAGAAGUAGUAAGAAGUUUAAAAUCAGUCGGCUUCACACACACCCCAUACAAACAACAUGUUGACUGACAUUGAAGUUCCAAACCAUAUUUUCAAUGAGCUCUAAUAUUGGAUAGUUCCGUUGCUGGAUUGUGAGCUUCAAGAAUUUCAUUCUUCAAAAUAAAAUUUAAUAUACAAAAUAGUUAUAUAAAAUGUAACAAAUAGAACAAUAUAAUAAAUAGUCAGGCAAAACUUACAUAUUCUUGUUUGUAUUACCCCUUCAAGUUGUCCACCUUUUUUCGAGCUCACAAAAAAAUUGUCGGCUAACUUGGUGACUUACCAAUCUUUGCACUCUAAAACAAAACUUGUUUCAAAUCAAUUAGACUACAACAAAUAACUUCGCGAUUAACUCUAACAACUUUUGAAUAAGUGUAUGCAAUUAGAUGAAGAGGAUAAAAAUAAAAAUAGAUUUAAAUGUAAUAAAUGUAAACAAUACAUACAAUUUAGAAAAAAAUAAGAACUUCAUAAUAAAAAAAAAAGAUGAAGACAAUAAAAAAAGCCAUAUACUAAUUCAGAUAAACUUGAAAAUGAAAUCAAAAAUGUUUUGGAAUGCAACAAAGAAAAAUGGAUGCAAGUAAGUUGUUGGAAAUUACAAUUUGAGCUGCAAAUAGAAAUGCAAGUCCAUAUUUAAAUUUACUUUAUUGCAAAGAUCAAGCUUCUCUUGUUUUCAAUUACUGUCAAAUCAUUAGGUUUAGUUAAACAAGUUAAACCACCACAGACUCUAAUUGAAGGACUACAUUAGUCGAACUGACUCUUAGCUUGACCAUAUUGUGUAAAUAUGAUGAUGGAAGGUGGAAUUGUGUCCAGAAUCUUUGAGAUGUGUAUAGCUUUGGCUUUCAAGAAACAUUCUGAUCUUCAUUGGAACAAGGUAAGAUCUUCGAAGGUGCAAUUAUUUGAUAUAUAAGUAUAUGGGUCUAUCAAAAAAUUGCAUAAUUAGCAUAAUAUAUAAUUACUAAAAUAGGCAAAUGGGUUCCCUUGUGAACAUUAUCUACUCUUAGUUUUCUUUAAAAUAUAUCCCACCUACACAUGUGAUAGGAGAGCAUACCUUAAUAUAUAAUUAAAUUUUCAUGUACUAAGAGCAAUGUUCUUUAAUAAAUUAAUAAAAAGUACGCGACCCAGACAUGACCCUAUUUUCUAGCAAUUCUUCUUUCUAUUCCGAGAAAGAAGCUUAUUAAUAUAAAAAAACUUCUUUAAAUUCUAUCCAUUCUUUUAUAAAACCCCCCCCCUAUUAUUUUCAACUUUAACUGUAUCUUUUCCGUGCACUUUACCUUUUCUCUCUUAAGAGCUCCAAAAAAUAAAACAGAAAAAUAAUUAAUAAUAAAUCAAAAUCAGAAGUAGUAGAGAAGCAACCAAAUAUUGGGCAAUAAGUGUCGGGGCGAGUGUUGGCCGAAAUCACGCACACGCCGAGGUUCGGCGACGGCGCUAGCGAUGUCGGGGAGUUUUGGGGCGACGUCGGCGAGCACGAGAUCAAGCGACACACGGAGGUUUGAGGGCCGGCGGCAAACACCAAGCAGAGGCCGGGAGUGAGCGGAUGAGGCCCGGCGUUUUGGCAGAAGAAGCGGCGAGGCGAAGAGCAAGAAUGUUAAUUAAUUAAUUAGGGCAGCGCUUGUUGGGAGCGGGAGCGACAACUUUAAUCUAAAUAGGGUCAUGCACACAGUCGCGGGGUUAAGGACUGAGAUUUUGACAGUGCAAUUAAGACUCUCUGUCUGACGAUGUUAUGUGUUAUUUAAAUUACAUAAGCACACGUCAAUUUCAGGCAAAACCGAGCUAACAUGAGUUAAGAUUAUGAACCCGGAAGUUCGACUUAAGUGAAUAGUAAACUCCGGUUUUCUCGGAGAAGCCACGAACAAACUUGGCCUGCUGCCGCGUACAGACCUCCGAACAUAAAUGGUCGCAUAACUCGUUUUCGAACCUCUCGACUAUACUGGACAUUGGCGCUGAAGAAUCGGAUUCUGAUGCCAGUUAUCGAGAAAAAGGGAUUUUAUCAAAAAGAGGUCCCGCUCUUUGCUAUUCGUGGCGUUUUAAAGCUCCGCGGCAUCCUGUGCUUGUGACCUGGGGUUAGGUGAGAAGUUUUCUGAACCUACGGUGUAGGGAUCAAUUUAAUUUGAAAUUAAAGUUUUUGAAGUUUAUGCUUGGGUAAUAGUUGCGAUAUAACGGAUUAAAUAGAGAGCGGAUGGUUCGUCGGCGAAUCCGUGACCAAUCUGACGAAACAAAUGGAAGUCUUUGGAUGCCCUCGUUGUGCUGACGCGAUGGUGGACCGUUCGGAAUCGGAGAACGAUUGCCCGAUAUAGGAAAUGUCGGUCUGAGGGGUCAAAGCCGCUAAACGGAUAAACUGCGGAAAGAACCCUAUAUCUUUAUGUGUCAAUUUCACGUGAUAAUCGAAUGUGAGGUCUGGUGCAUAAUUCACCUUGCUGCAGGGGGCUGGAUUGUAAAGUAAAUAGACUUUGGAGGGGUUCGCUCGCAAAGUGACACUUGGCAUAACGGCAUCUAGUGUGUUUCCCAUUAUUCUUUUGGCUGCCAUAAUCACCUGACUAACCUAGCCGCCCGCGUCUCCUCCUGCCCAAUCAGUGCGCACGCCCAGCCGCCGCGAGCAGCUCCGGCCGCCGAAAAAGCACCCCGGUCAUCUCUCGAUUCCCCUCUACCCGGACAAGCCGCGUCUUCGAUCGUUGUGCUCGGGGAACGUCAAAGCCGCGAGCACCAUCUCCCCGCAGGCCGAGACCAAGCUCCGGCGGCCCUUCCCCGCCGUCCCCCGUCGCCCCGCGCGCCGCCGGCCGCCGUCCAGGCUCCCUGCGGCCACCUGCGUCACCCAGCCGAGCGGGUGAUCUCGGUAUCCCGAGCCGCCGACGCCUCCCUCGGCCGCGCCGCCCUCCUGUGGCCCCGCAACCCCGGCAACCGGCGCGCUCGUUCCCCCGUCCCGCGCGCCGCCGGCCGCCGCUGGGACAACCUGCGGCCGCCCAGACCUGUGCGGCCGAGGUUGGGCCCGCUCGUCCCACGUUUCGCCGCCGCCCCCCGAGGGUGCACCGCCUUACCCUCGACUCCGCCGCCGUCGUACGCCGCGUCCCGACCUCCUCCGGCCGCCGCCGCGCCGCCGGGAAGAGCAAACCGAGAGAGAGUGGUGGCGUGGAUCUCUGCCGCCGCGCCACCGUUCCGCCCGCCGCCCGGCCGAUCACAUCCCCGACCGUCGCCGGACCGAGUGCUCCUCCUCCGGCCGGACCGCCCGCUUCCCGGCCGCCGGCGACCAUCCCUAGCUCCCACUGCACUGGUAGGCUGUUUUUACAUUCCAGCACAGUAAUUUAGCGUUCCGGCCACCUUUUCCGGUGAUCCGACGAGUCCCCGACACCCCGGGAGUGAGCACGAUGAUCUAGGGUUCGUGCACAUCGUGCUCACCUCCGCACAGCGGCAAGAUGCCCUGGUUAUGUUAGUAGUCGCGAUCUUCGCGCUGUGCGCGCAGUUUAACAGAUCUUCGCACCGUUCGUACGCGCACCGCAGCAGCCGGCAGUGCUCCGAAAGGUGAGCACGGCCUCCGUCAUGCUGAAAUCUGUCGCGAGUAUGACAGUCUGAUUAAUGACCUCUGUUUUCGUAGACGGACAAUAAAGCCCGAAAAACACAUGAAAUAUGUGAUUUCUUGGAAGCGGGAGGGCUUUUAUCAAUUCUGGUUGUUGCGGUCUGCUGUUGGCAGCAUGGGUAGGCUGUGGGUGACCUCUGGACUGAUUAUCCAAGGCCCCAGACCUUUGAGAAGAAUCGGAAAAUGUAUUUCCGUGCGUCUGUCGGCAAAAUCCGCCGACGGAACGCGGUUUGGUUCGGAUUAUCGACGGUGCUUCGUGAGCUAUUGUGUAGUCGCUGAGCCUUGUUGGCUGGUCACGCAUCAUUACAUUGGGGUUCGGUGAUAUGGGUGAGCGACGUGGUUCCGGUGUCGAAAUAGACACUUCCGGAACCCGAUCGUACAACUAUCCGUGAUAGUUGUGUAGUGUUUGUAUCUUGGUGUUUGCUGCCAAAACAUCCAAAUUGAGUGUUUUGAGAGCAGAUGACUCGUGACACGAGUCGGUGAGUUUCGGGACACUUAUGGUCCCGACGGCGUCCCGGUGUGUUUUCGGGACUUCCGGCGUAUUAGCGACGAUCGGUUCAGGAACCGAUUCUCCGUGGGUUUAUUUGUGGGGUUUUGCUUUUAGGGNNNNNNNNNNNNNNNNNNNNNNNNNGGAGAGAGAUAGGCGACCCGCAUCCCUAGCUCCCACUGCACUGGUAGGCUGUUUUUACAUUCCAGCACAGUAAUUUAAGCGUUCCGGCCACCUUUCCGGUGAUCCGACGAGAUCCCCGACACCGCGGGAGUGAGCACGAUGAUCUAGGGUUCGUGCUGAACAUCGUGCUCACUCCGACACGCGGCAAAGAUGCCCUGGUUAUGUAGUUAGUCGCGAUCUCGCGCUGUGCGCGCAGUUUAACAGAUUUUCGCACCGUUCGUACGCGCACCGCAGCGAGCCGGCAGUGCUCCGAAAGGUGAGGCACGGCCUCCGUCAGGCUGAAAUCUGUCGGCGAGUAUGACAGUCUGAUAAGUGACCUCUGGUUUGCGUAGACCGGACAAUAAAGCCCGAAAAACACAUGAAAUAAGUGAUUUCUUGGAAUCGGGAGGGCUUUUAUGCAAUUCUGGUUGUUGCGGCUGCUGUUGCAGCAUGGUAGGCUGUGGGUGACCUCUGGACUGAUAUCCAAGGCCCAGACCUUGAGAAGAUGCGAAAAUGUAUUUCCGGUGCGUCUGUCGGCAAAAUCCGCCGACGGAACCGGGUUUUGUUCCGGAAUUAUUCGACGGUGCUUCGUGAGCUAUUGUGUAGUCGCUGAGCCUUGUUGGCUGGUCACGCAUCAUUACAUUGUGGUUCGGUGAUUGAGGGUGAGCGACGGGGGUUCCGGUGUCGAAAUAGACACUUCCGGAACCCGGAUUCGUACAACUAUCGUGAUAGUUGUGUAGUGUUGUAUCUCUGGUGUUUGCCUGCCAAAACAUCCAAAUUGGAGUGUUUUGGAGCAGCAGAUGACUCGUGACACGAGUCGGUGGAGUUUGGGACACUUAGUGGGUCCCGACGCGUCCGGUGUGUUUCGGGACUUCCGGCGUAUUACGACGAUCGGUUCAGGAUACCGAUUCUCCGUGGUUUAUUUGUGGGGUUUUGCUUUUAGGGUUUCUUAGCUGAGGGUUAGAUACUAACCCGGUGGCACCCUCUGUAGGUCCGGUUGACAUUCUUUACAGUCAGGAGACAGGCGCGACAGUUUAAGUGGUACUUCUCCGACGUCGUUACAGUGGUGCACGUUCGGUGAUGGUUCCUUACACUUGCUCCUUUGUUAUUAUCCAUGCAUUCAUAUAUGUAGCUUUGUCCCUCUGUUGUUUACUUACACCCACGUCGUUUGAUUAUACUCUACUCGUUGUUUACAGUUAGUAUCCUGAGUAGGAGUAGAAGUUCUCCGCAUCUUCGGUUGACCAUAGUUGGUCUGUUGAGCAUCCGUAUCUGUUUACCUAGUUGGUCUGUCUGCAUUCCUCUACUCAUUAGUUCCAGGUGAUAUCAUGCUUAGGAGUAGAGUUGACUAUUAUUCUGUUUAUAUCUGUGAUUUGGGUUGGGCGGUUCUCCUAUGUUGAUAUCAUAUAUUGAGCUUGCACCUGCAUUUAUAUUUGCAUUUCUCUACUCAGCUAUUUCCAUGUUGAUAUCUGUUUAGGAGUAGAGUGACUUUGUUAUCUUAUAUCUGUGAUUUGGUUGGCGUUCCCAUUGAUAUCUCGACCUAUUCGGUCGAGUUGCUACAGUUCUAUCUUGACAUACGUAGCGAUUAGUGCUGGAUGGCUAUACGGUCGGUGUGCCCUGAGGAGUCUGGAUUGUCGGCUAGUUGCCGAUGGAUGAUCUUUGAGCAUACUAUCAUGAUCGCCACUGGCAGUACGCAUUCUCACGAACAACAGCGGUCUGAUCCACCGCAGAGGGUGUCUUUCCGGAAAAGUGGUUGAUUGCACCGUGAGCAGUGGGCUUUAUUGCGAGGUAUAGCUUCUGACGCCGGGCUUCAUUGCGAGGGUCAGGUACUGGUGUUCGACCAGGGCUUCAUUGCGAGGGUCAGUGUGCAGGUAGCGAGUGUGGCAUGGGCCUGAGGUCUUCGGACCAAAGGGCGUGAGAUUGCGUACUUUUGAGCUUAUCGUCAGUUACAGAUGCAUACAGUAGCUGUGAUGUUAUUUUCAGUACAUCCUUAUCUGUUUAUUGUAGCUACUGUUUUAUUUACCUGCAUCUAUAUUUGUCAGCUUCUUACUUAUCAGCAUCUUUACUUACCAGCACUUAUGUCUAUCUAGUUCUCCGUGUUUGUUGUAUAGCUCUCUUCCUGAUCCGUGAGUAUCUCGCUUCUCGGCUUGCUGGUACCACUGGAGGGCGACAUGUUUACAUGUUCUCACCUCCCCCACCAUUUUUCAGGUUAUCGCAGGGCGAUGAGUAGUGGGACGAGUAUGUGAGGUAGUGUGUGUACGCGGUCGAUAGCUUCCGACCCAGGUUAUUUCGAUUAGCUAUUACCCUUUAUUACUUCUGAUAUAUAUAUAGCUUAGUCGGUUUACAUGGUUACAGUUCUGUUUUAUUAUCUGAUUUUCAAACGGUGUUUGGAAUGAACUAAAGAUUGGUGUUUUCUCGAAAUAAAACAGUUUUCUACCCCUCUGGUAGCUGGUUUUGAAAAGAAUGGUUCCGUGUGGGAACAGUUUAUCAAAUUAAUUUUCUGUGGAUUUUUAUGCAUUUGUAUUUCAAAAUCAGUUUACAGGUAGGAACAUUUUAACUGAUAGAUGUGGAAUGUUUUCAUAACUCAAGUAUGCAUAUCUGGGUGUGUGUAAUGGAAUAUGAAUGUUAUCUCUCUUGUUUCAUCUGGUUGAUGGUUGUGUGUGUAUCUAUACCUUGUUGUACUUGUGCGACGCCGUGCAAAUACAGGGGAGAUUCUGUCCGUGGGAACAGUGGAUUCCCUGUGUUUGUGGCGGAUCUGGCACUCUGGGGUCAGGUUUUCAAAAAAAAAUUAUAGCUAAUUUUCCGCUGUGCUUUGAACAAAUAAAAGGACCCCGGGGCGUGACAGGGGUUCAUGGGUGGGGUGUUGAGAGUGGGUUAAUUAUAUUAGCAAUAUAUUCUUUUGUUUUUAGAUUCUAAAAAAAAAAAACGCAUAUCCAUGAAAAUUUCAUUCUCCCGCCAAUUAUAACAAGUCGGACUAUUAACAACGGCAAAAAAAAUAUUUCAUCGCUGAAGAUUUAGCCCUACUACUAACAAUGACGGAAAAAAUACGUCGCCAGCCAAAUUUUGCUAUUGAAUUCAUCAAAAAUAUUUUGACAAAUUCAUCUAUGAAACACGAUGAAAAAAAUAUUUCAUCUGCGAAAAUUUUUGUCGGUCUAUUAAAACGGCGAAAAAAAUAUUUUAUCGCCUAAAAUUUUAGUCGGUUUAUUAACAACGAAGAAAAAAUAUUUCAUCGCUAAAAUUUUUAGACCUGACGAAAUAUCCUUUUAAUUAACGACGGAUCGAUCUACUAAUAACGACGAAAGAAAAAUUAUUUGUCGCUAAUUAUUGGUUACAAAAUAGCAAUAUAAAAAAUUAUUAUAAGUUUGGUUGCUUUUAGCGACACUUAUUGCGCCCGUCGAUUAAUAUUAGUCGUUAUAGAUUAUUUUCUUGUAGUGUAUAUAUAUAUAUAUAUAUAUAUAUAAUAUAAUAUAUAAUAAUAAUAUAUAUAUAAUAUAUAUAUAUAUAUAGUCCGGCUACGUAUACUAUCAUGAGCACGAGCCUCCCGUGCUACAAUUGUUUUCGAUGAUGCCGGCUUCCAAAUCGACGAUCGCUCCGUUAGACUUGAUCUACACUAUUAAAAGUAUUUGGAAACUAAAUUUCAUAAUUUUCGAUAUCAUUUAUCUAUCAAACAAAUAGUCUAAAUUGAAACGCCGAAAAUAAAAAUUCAUAAAAAAUGAUGAUAAAAAUUUAAAUUCAAGAUCAGAUAAUACUGAUCUUACUUAAAUAGUGAAGAAUUUUCUAUUAAAAUUCUCAUUUGGAUUUGAAUUGUUUUAUACGUUAAACUCACAACACGUCACAUGCCAUUAAAAUGGUCAAUUUUGAGAUCUUUUGAUCACUUGUCAAAUGAUGUCGAAAAAAUAUGAAAUUUAAUUUUCAAUAUUUUUAAUAAGUGUAGAUCAAGUCUACGGAAGCGAUGUCGAUUUGGAAGCGCAUCAUUGAAAACAACUUGGUAGCACGGGAGGUCCGUACUACGAUAGUAUAACAGCUGGACUAUAUAUAUAUAUAUAUAUAUAUAUAUAUAUAUAUAUAUAUAUAAUAUAUAUAUAAUAUAUUAUAUAUUAACUACGAGACGACGACCGUUAAUUGGAAACAAUAUUUCUAAGGCUAUAUAUCAUUUGAUACAACAACUAAAAAAAUUAAAACAAUUAAAAAUAAAUUUGGUUGAGAAGCUUGACAUUAUGUUAUUAAUGAGAUUAACAUAGAUUUGUAAAUUAAAAAAUAAAAUUGGUUAAGGUUCAUGGACAAACCAAAGCACUGUUGUUUCAUUAACUCCUGAUUAGGACAUGUCAUGGACCCUUUUGAAAGAUAUAUUCAUGAGUUUUCUUUAGAAAUCAACAUCCCCUAUGGUAUUCAAUCUACUUAUCAAUAGAGAAAAAUGAAUAUAUACGAGAUUGAAACGCGAAUAACCCAAUCGGACUGUAAGGUUCUGUCGAUUAUGAUAUGAGACGACUUUUUCUCUGAAGCUUUAGCUUCGAGAGUUGUCAAGUUCGCUGUGCACGGUACCAAGUUUUGUUCAUAUCACAGUUUGAGCGUUUCAAUCCUACUUUCUGUUUGUUUAGUCAUAUUUAUGUUCUCGCGUCGAGUUCUCCUUCAGUUUCGUCUAAUCUUUUCAAUCUAGUUUCGUAUGGGUCUCUUUUGGUUUCAUUAAGAUCUAACUUAACUUUAUUCGACCUUUUUUAUCACACACGCUAGCGUAAUCAAAUAUGCGUACAAAUCGACCAUCUUAUAAUACUAUUCUCACAUUGAGUAGAAAAAAAAUUAUCAUGAGUUUUAUACAUUUUAGUUUUCUUAAAUCAAUACAAAUUAUGAUAAUUGCGAAGAUGCCUCUAAAUCAAUACAAAUAUGAUAAUGCGAAGAUGCUGAAUUUGUCUAAAUUAAUUUGUCGGUGACGGGAUUGCUUCAUUCAUUUAUUUAUGAAAUAAAUACCAUGUAAUAAUAUACCUACUUAUUAAACUUAUCACUGUCAAAAAUUUUAAAAAAAUAAUCACGAUCCAGAUUUGCUGCAUAAUAAACUUAUGAUAUAUAGUCAAAGUUUUUUAAAACGCUAGAGAGCUUGUUUCAAUUAUAAGUACAAGAGCCAUAAUAUUGUUUUUAUGAUCAUCUUAUAACAUCUAUAAUCUAUAUCUAUAAUCUAUAACAUUAUGAUUCCAAUGAUUUUGCCACAUUGGCAAGUUUUCCUCACCCUCCACCAUCUUUUUUUUGAAUUAAUCUUACUUUUGGCUUUUCCCCUCCCUUCUCUCUAUUCAAUAUGACCUAUAAUCAUGUAUUUUUUAAUUAUUUGUAACGUUCAUGAGUUUGUCCUCUUCAAUAUUAUUCUUUCUUCUUCCUUAAAUAAUUUCUAACAUGCAAAAUUAAAGAGAAGAUAAAUAGUUACUACUUGCAGAUAUAGAGAAUGGGGAAGAGUAAGGGAGUCCUCCAAGUCCUAUCAGUACAAUCGACUCGACCCAAACCCCCCGGUCAAGAGAAUGCUUCUGGGGUUUCUAUCUAUACCGAUCUCUUCGGAUUUAUGAAAAAAAAAUAAUCGAACGAUUUUUUCAAUGAAGGAAGCUAAUUGGACAACGAUAAUAGACAGAUCGAGAGAUAGGUUUGGGAAACGAAAAUCCUAAACCAAUUUUUCUUUUUUUAUUUUAAUCUCGAAUUCUUACUACAUAUCCAUUUUAGAAUUUAAUUUACUUGCAUUAUUUUUGAUAUGGUGGUUGUACAAUCAAGGAUUUGAUUUUAUAUAUACUAUUUUGAUUAAUUUAGAUGUUAGUUUUGAUUUUAUAAUUGAUCGGGCAGUUCUGGCCUGCAACUUUGACCAUCCCAUGCCCAAAAGGAUGCAAAAUCCUGCAAACUUCCAUGAGAUUUUCAUCGCCAUCGUCGUCAUCAUCGCAAAUUAUCAUCUCAUCUUCAUACGACUUUGUAGUUUUUUUUUUUUUUUGAAUGGUGAUUCUAGGCGAUUGUCGAUUUUCAUAAUCAUAUUUGUUAGUUCAAUUUACAAUUUCCUACCCAAAAAAUAAAAUACACUUGAAUUUUUAUUUUCCAAACUCCUUUAUUCUUGCCUCUCAAUAUUUUUUGUUUUUUCUUUUAUUAUUUAUCCGCCACAUCGCGCGGGUUACUACAUAGUUAUUAUUUACAUACUCAUUUAUUCUGAUAGUCACAAUGUUUAAAUUUAAUAUUGUUUCACUCUCUAAAAGAGUUGACAAUAUUAUCUCUUUUUUAGGUUCUGAGAAAACACCAUAUCAUCAGUGAGGAGAAUAUAAUUUUAUAUCAGUUGUUAGAAACAAUGAUCUGAAAAAAUUUGCUAGGUUAUAUUUAUAGGAGAAGCAACAAUAUAUAUAUUAUAUAUAUAUAUAUAUAUAUAUAUAAUAUAUAUAUAUAUAUAUUAAACUUCAAAUACCAACCAUUGGUUUGCACUUUCACAUUUUAAUACCUUGUGUUUAAAAAAUAUUAAUUUAGUACCCUGUGGUUUUUUUUUUUUUUUUUUUGGUAGCUCUUCCGUUAACAUUUUGUUAAAUUAUAUAUAAAAGACUUCAGAUUUCCCACCUAGAUUUAUCGAAUAUUCACUUUAAUACCUUUUAGUUUUAAUUUUGUCACUAAUUUAACCCAAAAAAAAAAAUCUGACGGAAAAAAAAGAAACCAUAGGGUACUAAAUUGAUACACUCUAAACUAUAGGAUACUAAAGUGAGAAAGUUCGAAACCACUGUUGGCUUAAAUGGGCCUGCAUACUGCCCUAUGGCGAGAGGCCAUAUGGACCGAGUCAUAUUCGAAAUGGUGUGAGGUUGGGUGGGCCAAGUCAUGUUCGAAAUGGCGUGAGGUUGGGUGGGCCGAGUCUUAUUCGAAAUGGCGUGAGGCUGGUUGGGCCGAGUCGCAAUCGAGAUCCGUGAGCGAUGUAUCUGUACCUUUAAGUUAAUUGGUUGCGUAUUUCUAACAGCACGAGCUUUUGGGAUUCAUGGUUAACGCCAACGAUCCGACAAGUGGUAUCAGAGCCAGUAGUCACGGGUCAAUUCCCGCACGCAUCAAAUGUGUUCAGAUGCUAGAGGAGGGAUUGUUGGCUUAAAUAGGCCAGCAUCCUAUACUGUGACGGGAGCCCAUGUUGGGCCGAGUCAUGUUCGAAAUGGCGUAAGGCUGGGUAGACCGAGUGAGUUUUUGGAAUUAAUGGUUCGUGUCAAUAAUUCGACAACCACAUAAAUGGUAUUUAAAGGUUAUCCUAUAUUUAUAGGCAUUGAAAUUAAUUAACGAACUAAUCAUGCAUUUAUAUGAAUGAUGCAAAUGCAGUACUUGGUUUCAUAUCAAAAUAUCUAAACAAAUGAAGUACUUGAAAUUGAUGCAUCAACACUUUUAUUUUUCUUUUUAAAAAAAAUGUCAUUUAAUUGCACAAUAAAUGUGGUUUAAUUAAAGAAGCAUAUUGGAAAAAAAAAAAAAAAGUGAAUUCAAUCUCAAAUCAUAAAAAGCCUUAGAAUUCGAUUGACCAGAUUAGUUAAAAUGUCUUUUUAAUUGUUCUUCAUAUAAUUACUAUGUAAGCCAAAAACAUAAACCUAAUUUAGAACAUGAAAAUGAUGUGAUACGGCGUGAAAUAACAAUAACUACAUUCGGAAAAAUAUAAAAUAAAAUCUACAUUUAAUCAGUGUUAGUAUUGAAAUAUCUUAGAGGUGUAUAUAUUUGUUCUUCUGAUUUUGUGAUCAUAUAUACCACUACAACAUAAUUAGGUUAAAGAGGCAUAUUUUUGAGAUAUUUUUAUGUAAGUGUCUUAUUUUUGCUAAAUUUUUUUAAAUAAUCUACUAAGAAAUAAAUAUAAAACUCAAUCCAAUUAAAAAUAAAAAGUUCUUCUACUCAACCAAUCCUAUCCAGCCCAAUCGGUCCGAUUACAAAUAAAAAAGAAAAAAAAAUUAAUCACCAUCCCCCCUUCUCCUCCUCCGUCGCCGCAGCCGACGAGGUAGGGUUCCGGCAGUUGAAGUUCGGCCGCGAGGAUCUCGCAGGUACCGUAGAGGACUACGAUUGCCAUGCACGUAUCCCUCCACCAUAAGUCGCUGGAUGAGUGGUUGUCAAACAUUAAGGUGGCUCCACAGAUAGCGACCUUACAUAUAGCAAUAUUUUUAAAAAGUAUCGAUAAUUUACCUAGCAGCACUUCUUUUAAUCUAUACCGAUAUUUAAAAAUAUCGCUAUAUAUUAUUUUUAUUGUAAUAACAGUCAUAUUUUACUGAAAAUUAAGAUUCUUUAUUUUUUAAGAUAUAUUUAUCAAUCUUUAAAAGAAAAUGGACUAAAAAUCAAAAUUUCAACCUGAGUAAAACAAAUUUCACAUGAACAUAAAUAGCUCUUAUUUAAAGUACAAUAAAACUAGUGUAGAGUCAAUGAAGGGGUACACUCAACAGUAAAAGGGUACAAAAGAGCAAAACUUGCUAUAAGUAUUAUAGGUAAAAAUGCCUGGAGAUCCCCUUAAAUCUACAAAAUUAAAAAACAAGCCCUCUAUUUUUUUUCUUUACUUAUUAAUAUUUAAAUUAUUUUUGUCACAGAAUCGAAAAUUUUGUUAAAGUUAAUAAAUUUUUUUAAUAUUAGUUCUUAGUUAAUAAUAACACUCCAUAUUAUCAUCAAUUAGAAGAUAACCAGAGCUAUAAAAUUUGGCCGGAUAACUGAUUAAUUGAACAAAAUUCUCAAUUUAAUUAUUUAAAAAACUUAGGAUAGUGUCAAAGUAAAAAAAAAAAAAAAAGAAAAUUAUAGUUAGCGUCUAGUAAAAAAUUGCGAUCUAAAUUUAUAUUUUACGAAAAAUAAUUUCACAUGAAUCACUUUAAAGAUAUUAAAUAACGGAUGUAAGUUUCCAAACUUUAAGUUAUCUGAUUUAUUCCUCCAAAAUUAAUAAUAUGUUCUUAUUUUAGAUAUAUUUUAUUUUUUAUCUUUUACAUUGCAAAUAGAAUUCUCUUCAUCUUUUUUUUCAUUUACCACCAUAAGUGCAUAGAUAAGAAAUUUUUAAUACAAAACAAAAUAAGCAAAAUAAUAAUAAUAAUAAAAUACAAGCCAAAAGUAUCAAAAUUACGGAAACAACCCUACGGUUUGUAGUACCAAGUCCCCCACUCACUUAUCUCCCUAAUAAUAGGCCAAAACUCCCAAGGGCAUUUCCGUCAAUUGACAAUUUAAAGGACCACUCACACUUAAAUAGUAGAUAAAAAUGCAUGGAGAUCCCCUCAACUAUACCCUACUCAGAAACAAGUCCCAUCGACUUCAAUUUUUUUUUUUUUCCACUCACACCUUCUUUAACUUUUGAAAAUUUUGAAUUAAAUAAUUUGUACUCAAAAUUUAUCACAUAUAACAUUUCGAACCACUUCUUAUGAAGUGAAACGGCGUCUAAUAGUUAAUAGAGUAAUUAAAUUCAAUAAAAUUUUUAAAGAAGUCGCAUCACUAGCUAGAGCAGAUCGGGGAGGCCAGAUUUCAAAAUAUCCUAUAAUCGAGAGGGUCUCCAUGCAAUUUUCACGUAAAUAGUGUAGGGAAAUGUGCUAACAUUACUAGUAUUACUACUACACAACUCAAAACCAAAUGCUCUUUGUCUCUUGCUCUCUUUUCUCUCUCCUCUUAGAAGGCGAAACCACCAUCCAAAGCCCCUCCUUUUCCGUCGACCCUCCUGCGGCGCCGCGAAGCGGCGGCCACGGUGGUGGUGUCGGUCGCGGCGAAGGCGGAGCACUUCUUCUCCCUCCUCACGCUCUCCUCGUCCAUGUAAAUUUGCCUGCACCGGCACUCGACGCUGCAAAACGCCCGAUCCCCCCUGCAUGCACGACCGCACGCAUAAACAUACAAAAUAAUAAUAAUAAUAAUAAUAAUAAUAAUAAUAAUAAUAAAUCUAAGGUAUUGUUUGAUUUAAAAAAUAAGCUGUUCUUAGUUAUUUCUGAUAGAAAUAUAACUCUUGAGAUAAGCAAAUAAUAAGUUGUUCUCAGUUAUUUCUGAUAGAAAUAUAACUCUUGAGAUAAGCACGAAUAAAAUUAAUUUUACGUUUGGAUAAAAAUUUGAAUGAUUUUCGAAAACCAAGCGAUAUUAUUUCCCCUCCUUUUCCCAAUGGCCCCUAUAUGAAAAUUUUAGAAAAAAUAGUAAGAAUUUAAAUGCCGUGGCAUAGAUAGUACUAAAAAUUUAUCGACAUGGUACAGCAUAGUGUUGUCGGACCGCACCGAUGAGUGAUAGUCACAAAAAAAAUACAUGUGUACUGAAACAUAAUGAUAUAAAAUAUUUAAUUAAAAAUAAAUAAAUUUUUUUAAUUAUUUAUUAUUUAUAUUCUUUAUCAAAUUUUUUAAAUUUGUUGAGAAAAAUUACUUACUAAUAUUAAAGAAAAGAGUUUUGAGCUGCGCCAUCAUCACGAAAGCUGUAUUGUGUCGGUAUUUUAUUGGCAUAAUACAGCACGAUAAAUACCACUCAUAUCGAUGGGCACUUAAAUAAAUUAUUGAAUAAAAGGAACUAAAAUGUUAUACGAACUAUGAACUAUGAACUAUUUGGAUUCGGCUAUCCAGCUAUCGAAAAUUUAAUUUAACUAUCUAAUCUUUCAACUUAUUUGAUAAAUAAUUAGUUCAAAUUUUAAAGUCAAAAUACCGCUAACUAACUCACAACAAAUAAAUUUAAAAAAAUUAAAUAGUAAAAUUACAAUCUUAAAAAAAAAUAGUUUGAUAGCAACUAUCCAAAAUAUAUAUAUAUAUAUAUAUGCACUUUAAAUUUGUAACGUAAAUUACAUGAAAUGUGCAAUAUGUGAUAUAUUUAGAGAGAUUGAUUGUACCUGUACAUGUAUAUAUCCUGGCCUUGGGAGAGCUUCUUGUUGCAGAGGAAGCAGUGCUCGAGGAAGGGGGAUGUGGGGGCAUAAUGGGAAUAAGGGUGGUGGGAGGAGGAAGGGGAGGAGAGAGAAGAGUUUCUGAUCAUGGUGGGCUUGCUUAUGAUCUGUGGGUUUUUUGGGAAGGGCUCGUGCGCUUCUAAGACUACACUCAGACCAGCCAUGGUGAUUCGAAUAAAACUAUUCUCUCUCUAAAAAUCUCUCUCUCUCUCUCUCUCUCUCUAUGUAUUCAUAGAGAGAGAGAGAGAGGGUGGGUUGGUAUUAAAAGGGGGAGGAGGGGGUGUGUAUGGUGUUCCGCAGGAGCAGGUUAACGUGGCGGCUUCUGAUUGGUUGUUGUGUUUGGGUCUUUUAUUGAGGUGUUUUGUCGUGACGUGGUUACGAUACUCCGCGGUGAGAAUACGCGUGUGCUCACCUCCAACUCUGUAAAUGCAUUUGAGAAGCUCAUAUUUAAUUUCCCAGAGUUAAUUGCAUACAGGCUCCAUGCAAAUACAGUGAAUGUCAAAUAUAUUCCUGCAAUACUCAAUUUAGUAUCCUAGUUUUUUUUUUGAAAAAACUUCAAAAAUCCCCCUUGUGGUUUCACACUUUUUUAUUUUAGUACCCUGUGGUUUAAAGUGUAUCAAUUUAGUACCCUGUAGUUUCUCACUUUAUCACUUUAGUACCAUGUGGUUUAAAGUGUAUCAAGUUAGUACCCUGUAGUUUUGCACUUUAUCACUUUAGUAUCCUGUGGUUCCGCACUUUAUCACUUUAGUAUCUUGUGGUUUAAAAACUACAGGAUACUAAUUUGAUACAAAAUUAAAACCACAGGGUACUAAAAUGAUAAAGUGCAAAACCACAGGGUACUAACUUGAUACACUUUAAACCAUAGGGUACUAAAGUGAUAANUUGAUACACUUUAAACCAUAGGGUACUAAAGUGAAAAAGUGCAAAACUGCAAAACCACCGAAAUGGUAUUUGAAGUUUACUCCAUAUAUAUAUAUUUUUUAUUUUAUAGUUUUACAAAGUUAAACCUUAAUAAUUAUGUAUGUAAAUAAUUUUACAAACCACAAAGUAAAGUGCACAUAAUAUUAAAUGAUAUAGCUUUACAAAAAAUAAAUAUAAAUUUAAUAAAUCCAUAGACCACUAAAGUUUAACUAUUGAAACCAUAGGGUGGCGGUAAAUUCAAAUUUACCUUUAAUUUUAAGGUUUAAUUAUACUUUAAUUAGUAUAAUAUACCUAGGAAAUUUUUUAAUUACUACACUGUAGUAAUUUUUUUAAAGAUACUAUUAAACUAUCCUUUUCUCAUUAAUAUUGUUUCUACUAUGUUUUAGUAUUUUUUAAUUUGCUAUAUUGUGUUAUUUUUUAUUUUUUAAAGACACCACAAAACUAUUAUAUUUUUUUUGCCAAUCUCUAUACACAAUUGUUAAUAGAUCUACUGUUUUAUAUAAAAAAAAAAAAAUUAUUGAAAAUUCCUAUCAGAUUAUUCUCAAUUAUUUCUUUACUUUUUAUAAAUAUAAUCUCCGUUUUAUAGUUUCAUUAAGAAUAGUGAAAAGAUUAAAAAGAAAACGAUAAUUCGGUGAUAUUUUGUAGAAGACCAAACAAAAAAAAAUAUUAGUGCAAUAUAGCAAAUGAAAAAAGGCUCAAAGUGCAAAAUAUUUUAAAAAUUAAUCAACAAAUUCAAAGUUUUACUUAUAUCUAUUUCUUUUUAAUUUACCAUAUAUUUGUGAACAAUUAAUUGAUAUAUUUAAAUCAUACAAUUUCUAAAACUUUGUUUCUGAUUUUUAAACUUUUUUUAAUCAAAUUUUAUUAUUUGUCAAAUGCAUAUAAAUUAAUUAAGCUAAAAUAGGAUCGAAGUAGGAAACAACAUACAAGGAAUCUUUUUAGGCCUAGGACAAUAUUGAAAGAAGAGAAAUUAUCGGUGCACCAAAUGUAUUAUUAAUUCCAUCUUGUGCAUCCAAUUAAUUAAUAUUUGAUGAUAAAUAUUUCACAAUUUAAAAUUUAUCUAAUGAGUAACACCAUCUCUCUCUCUCUAUAUAUAUAUAUAUAUAUAUAUAUAUAUAUAUAUAUAUAUAUAACAAAUAUAUAAAAGGUUUAUAAAAAAAAUGUUAAUUUUGAAAAGGAGUUCAACGAUGAUAAUAUAUCACUCUUUAAAUUACACCUCUUAUUUCGACAGCAUGCUAGCUGAUAAUAAGACUAAUAUUUUUAUUUGCACCAAACUACAAUAGAACUGUAAUUACAUCAAUCUAAACUCGCCCUGAACAAUCGAAUAUAAUCGUUUAAUUACGAGUUAGAUGCUUAAGUAACAAUAGCACCACGUCACGUCGCUAUGUUUCUAUGUCAUUCAAGUUAAUCACUUCUUUUGAAAGAAAUAAACGAAAAAUUUAGAACGGGUAGGAGAUAUAGAUGAUAUGAUUCUACUGUCACAUUUUAGAAUUGAGUUAAUACCAUACAACUUUCUGUAAACAUAUUGAAUAACGAAUAUAUUAUUACAAAGUUUAACUUUUCAUAUUUAUUCGUAUAAAAGUUCAAUGAUAUUCGUAUUUGCCUCUCUGGUUUGUUAUCUUAGAGUUCUAUUUAUUUUUUAACAAAAAAUAAGUAAAAUGAUAUUUUUAUCAUCACAAAUAUGUUUCUCUAAAAAUUUUAAUUGUUAGAGUUAUGUAAAUAUGUCCUCCCAAAAAUUUCGAACGGUCAUCUUUUUUCUUUUGACCAUCACAAAUAAUAUACGAGGGGUACGCACUAAGAGCAAUUUAUCUCAUUUACUAAUCAGGGUUAACUAUUUAUAGUUAAUUAUAUUUUUCUAACGGAUCCUCAUAGCAGGGAUAUAUUUAAAAACGUUAAGGGUGCAUUUGGUUCGCAUUAUAAAAGAUUACUAGGAAUAAAAGAUAUCCGAGAAUCUUAUUUCUAUUUAUUCUAUUACUAAGAAUGCGGAAUUUCUGUGUUUGGUUCACACGGUAAUAUUAAUUAGCCAUGUUUUUAAUAUUACAAAAAAUAUACAAUUAAUUAAUUAAUUUAUUUAUUUAAUUUUAGAUAAUGUUACCAAAAGUUUCAACAUCUUUUUAGAAAAAAGGGAGAGAGAGUAUAAGUUAGAGAGAGAAAGCAUAAUUAAAAAAAUAGAAAGAAAAAUAUAGUCGAAAUUAGAGGGAGUGAAAGAGUUGAAAUUUUAGAAAGAGAGAGAGAGAGAGAGAGAGAGAGAGAGAGAGAAAGCUUAGUUUAGAGAAAGAAAAGAAAGUUGAAUUUUAGAGAGAAAAAUAAAUUUAGAGAGAGAUAUAAGGUUAGAGUGUAAAGAAAAAUAAUAUCAAUUAGCCGGCGGGUAGGAAGAAAGAAAGAGAUUAGACAUAUUAUGAUUACCCCAAUCCAUUAAUAUGAGGAUACCCACCCUCCCUCAAGGAAAUGAGAUUAAUACUUUGGAGUGAAUCUUAUUCCCAAGUGAAUCCGAUAUUACCAACUAGAUUACUUUGUGCGUUUAGCCAAACACCGUCAUAUUUUUUUAUUCCCAUUGAAUUAUUAGGAAUCUUUAAAAGAUAGCGCGAACCAAACGCACCCUAAAAAUUUUUUUGUAAAGAUAAAUAUGAAAAGUUAAAUUUUGUAGCUAUUCGAUAUGUUUACCGGGAGGAACCGUGUGCAAUUACCCCUUCAGGAGGGUCUACGAGAUUGCGGUGCGAUAUGUACGGAUACACCGGGUGCAGGGAAUAAUAUGUCUUCCUCGAGAGAGACAUGUGACAUUGGGGGCACUCGUGUUGCGCCACGUGUCUUCGUUCGUUUCCUUGAUUUAUUUAUUUAUUUAUUUAUUUAUUUUGUUUUGGGUUGUUGUUGUUGUUGUUGUUGUUGUUGUUGUUGUUGUUGUUUUUUGCGACUAGGCCCGUAUACGCCCCUGCAUUAAAAUUCGCACGUACGGAGACACGUAUACGUACAAACCACGCGGCACUAUUUCCCUCUACUGUUCGGACAAAGUGGGACCCACACGCAAUUUAUUUGGCUUUAGUGCACCAUAAAAUGUACCGUACUCUUAACGGGUUAUUUACUAAUUAUGUUAGGACAACCCGUUAAGGGUCCGCAAAAGCAUUUUUUCCUUUUGGGCCAAUUGCAUUCGGGUCUCCGUAAAUAUAAUGAAUUACACAUAUAUCCAUAUAAAAUUUAACUUUCAUAAGUUAUUUUUAAAAAAAUUUUAAUAUUUUCAUAUAUAUUCCUACCGUUAGAAUCCGUUAGAAAAAUUUAGUUAACGAUAGAUUAAAUACUUUACCCAAUUAACUUUUGACAUUUUUACCCCUCUUAUAUUAUAUUGUUAUAACUUUUGAAGUGAUAUAUUUGUGAUGGCAAAAUUGAAAAUAUAAACAGUUUUCUAACGGUUCUCUAACGAUAACAAAUUAGAGGGACACAUCUAAAAACAUUAGGACUUUUACAGAAAUAACUUAUGAAAGUUGAAUUUUACAGAAAUAUAUUUGUAAUUCACUGUAUUUUGGGGAUCUGUAUGCACCUAAUCCUUUCUUUUUUAUGAAAAUUCUCUCUCUUAGUUUUUCACCCGUUUAAUUUUAAGAAACACUAAUAUUUGUGAAAUUUUUCCUUUUUAAAUAUCAUGGCAAAUUAAUAUUUUCUUUUUUUAGAUUUAUUUUAGAAAAACAAAAACGCUAACUUUUUAUAAAAUUUGAAAAAAAAAUCUUAAAAAAUUAGUUUUUUUUUUUAAAAAAAACAAAGAGACAAAAACUGAGAGAGAGGUUUUCCAAGNAAAAAAAAAAACUUUAAAUAUCACCUCUGUGGUAUGAUAUUUUUUUAUUUUAGUACUCCGUAAUUUAAAGUGUAUCAAGUUAGUAACUUGUGAUUUUAUUUUUAUCUUUUUGUCAGUUUAUUUGUUAAUAUUUUGUUAAAUUCUGUACAAAAACUUCAAAUACCCCUUCUAAAUUUAUCGAAUAUUCAUUUUAGUAUCCUUUAGUUUUAUCUUUGUUACUAAUUUAACGAGAAAAAAAUAGUGAAAUUGAUAAUAAAAAGAGAAAAAUAAAACUACAUGAUACCAAAUUGAAACACUUUAAAUCACAAAAUAGCAAAGUGAGAAAGUGCGAAACUACAGGGGUGAUAUUUGAAAUUUUUUCAAAAAAAAAAAGAGAGUGAAAAAAAGGCUCCACUUUGUUUUCGAACCAAACAAUGCCGUAGGUAUAGUUUUAUAAGAUUGUUGUAAAAAUAUACAUAACUUAUCUGAAUUAGGAACUAUUUUGAACAAUAUUUUAAAACUCAAAUUUAAUAGAAAUUCAAAAAUAAUAACUGGGCCAAGAAUCUCUGGUUUAACCAGCGAGUCAACCACUAGUUGAUUAAAUAAUAUCAGAAUGACGUCAUAAAUUUUAAUUAUUAUUUUUAAUUUAUUAUAUUAAAAAUAUAAUUUUACUAUUUUUUUUAGUAAAUUACUUAAUUAUAAAAUAUUGAUUUUUAGGUCAAAUUAAAUGGAGAUAAGUUUUCAAUUUUCACUUUUUAUAAAACUAAUUUGUAAAAAUAGAAAAUAAAAUCAAGUAAUUUUAUUUUAAAUCGUUAGAUUUUAAUAUGAUCUAAUUAAAAAUAUCGGAUCGCUUUGAUUAAAAUCUGAGCGGUUCAUCUGUCAGAUACUCAGAUGGUUGAACUGCCGGUAUUAAUGAAGGAGAGUAUUAGUACUAGCAGUAUUUAAGAUUGGGCAAAUUACACUACUAGUCAUCAAACUUUCGAUUAAUGCAAUGUUAAGAUCCCUAAACUUUCGGUUAGUACUAGCAGUAUUCUAGAACCACUCUCGUCCUAUUACGCUUAACUCUCUUAACCUCUUGGAACCAGGCACCACCCAAAAUAUUUAAGCCGGGUUAAGAGUAUUGGUCUUACUAUAUCAUAGAUAUAAAAUUAUUUGCAUUAUCACAUUAUCGCUCAGACUCGCAAGUAGUAGGCGAUGUGAGACUCGUGUUACUAGCUAUAGAAAGCCGCGUUCUAUCCACAACAGUUAACAGUAUAAGAGCCUCGCUCUCUCCGCUGUAUAAUCCUGUCUCAGCUGAGACAGCUAGUAAUUUACUCUGAUAUCAAAUGUGACACCCCAACCUCGACUCAUCUCACACUUUCGGCUGAUAAUUAGCUCUGAUACCAAAUAUGACACCCCAACUUUCCAGGAGAUCACCCAUCUUAGGACUACUUUCGUCCUAACACGCUCAACUCUCUUAAUCUUAUGGAUUUAGCUACUACUCAAAAUGCUUAAAACGGAUUAAGAGUAUUAGCAAUAUUAUAUUAUAUAUAUAUAGAACAAUCCGGGGCUCACACCCAUCGUAGGAUUACUCUAGUCCUAACGCGUUUAACUAUCUUAAUCCAACCACCGUCCAAUAUGCUAUAGCCAAGUUAAAAAAGAUUAAGUGUGUUAGAAUUAGAGUAGUCGUGCGAUAGAUGACCUUCUGGAAAGUGUGGCGUUACAAUGAACCCCUAGGAAGUGAGGGGUCACACAGUCGGUGUGCGUGAUAGUUUAUUCUUAAUAGUAAAUACAAAGAGGGCUAAAAUAAAUUUUUUUUUGAAAAUAUCGAAAGUUCGAAGAAAAAAAAAAAAAACCCAAGAACUAAUAAGUAAAAGUUGAAGGACUUUUGGGGCAAUUUGUCCCUUGAAGAUUCUAUAGCAUGAGUGGAACCCCUUUGGCCCCUAGUUAUAUUAAUCCAGUGUGCUGUACAAUUGUGAUGGGGACUCUUCAGUGUAAUCAUUGCGCUCGGAAAGAAGACAUUUGAUUGAUUUAUUACGCCACAUCACUAAUAUAUCCGUUACAUUCUAGAAUUUUUCCUCGCGCAGAGCCUACGUGUUGAAUAUUAUAAAUAAAUAUUUGGGACAAUUAUUUAUAUAUUUUUAUUUGUCUCUCUUAAAAAAUUAGUAUUAAAAAUAUUUGCUUAAACUUCUAAAUUCUUUCAGUACCCAUGUAACAGUAAAUUAUUAGGAACAAACGUUAUGUCUGUAAAAUUAUUAUAUUAUCUUUUCUAAUAUAUUCUUUUAUAAUCAUUAAGUUUUUUAUUUAUUCUUAAGUUAAGGACAAAAAGAGUAUUUUAAUUUUUUUUUUCAAAUAUAUCUUUUAAUCGGCACAAAUUUUUUUUAUUUAUAUAUCCUUGUGUUGGGGAUAAAUACUUGCUAGUUAUUUUUCUAAAUAAUAAUUACAUUAUAAAUAAAAUGUAUUAUUUUGAGAAAAUUAUUUACUAGGACUUUUAUAUUAAUGAAGCCUUUUUUGAAGAAUUUAAAUGUCCAUUUGCACGCCCAGUGCCGCACCUGUCAUAUGAAAUAUAAUAGAUAUCAAUGUUGGAUUGUUGGCACUAGUUAUUACUUUCAAAAUUCCGAGCUAUUAAAAUGAUAUAACUAAUUUACUAAAACGCAUAAAAACAGCACUUACGUGUCUCGAUUGUGAUUCUGUCCAACUAAUCUCACGCAACUUCGAAUAUUAUUUGAUUCAACUCGACCACCCAUCAUAAGGUAGGAUGCUGGCCCCUUUUGGCCUACAUUGUUAGAAACUUUAUGAGAAACUAAAUCGUACCUUCUGCCAAGAUUUCGAUUUCUGUACCCGAUUUGUAAGCGGCGAUUCUUGCUCGUGAUUCGUCCUCGUUCGUGAUCUACAAGAAGACGGGGUUUCGAGUCUAAUUCCCUUUUCCCCGAAGAUGGAGCCGUCACAGACAAUUGGAUUAGGGUUAGAGAGGAACUCCCGUAUGUUACAUAUUUAUAUAUAACUUAAUGUAAGGAUGUUAAAUCACGGCCGUCCGUCAAAGACGUGUCCAGAUACAUCCUAACUGUAAAAUCUAAAAUAUCUUUAUAGAUCGACUUAAAUAGAUUGGCCGUAUCUUUAUGGAUCGCCUUAAAUAUAUCAUGUGGGCCACAGCCAACAUACAUUCCUCCCCCCUUCCCUCGAACACCUCCACAAAUUCAUAGCAUACGAGAAUCAAAUCCUUGACCUUUGACUUUGAUACUCUUUAUUGGAUUACCGGCGCAAACCAUUAAUUUUCAAAGUUUGAACUAUUAAAAAAAUACAACUAAUUCAAUUAAAGUAUACAGACACAGCGUCCACGAAUAUUAACUGUGCCUCGACCCAAUCAGUCUCACAUUACUUCGAACAUGACUUGAUCCAAUCUCACAUUCUGCUAUUUGAAACAUGAUUCGAUCUUGUUUGCCCUCACAUCACAAAACUGAAAGCUGAUCCCCUUUAAACCAACAAUACAAGACAGAAUGUUGUUCUCUUUUGAGAGACUGCAUUUGGUUCGGGUAUAAAUAUGAACUGCUUAUUCCAGGGAUAGGGAUAAGUUCAAAUAUAAGAAGGAACUAAACCAAUUUUCCGUUUGGAUAAAAAUUUAGUUGUUCUUAGGAAUAAGUUAAAUAGUAUUUGGAUGAUUAGAUUGGAACAAGAGGAAUAAAAGUUAUAAUUUGAAAUUAAAAUUAUAUUAUCUAAAUAAUUAACAUCAAAAUAUUACUUAAAAGUAAUAAAUUAAUAUUAAUAAUUAUAAAUAAUAAAUUAGUUAAAUAAUAAUAAACUAAAUAAUAAAUUAUAAAUAACAAUAAAUAAUAAAUUAUUAAUAAUUAUAAAUUAGAAAUUAAUUAAUAAUUAAUAAUUAUAAAUAAUAAAUUAAUUAAUUAAUAAUAAAUUAUUAAUAAAUAAAUUAAUUAAAUAAUGUACUAUAAAAAAAUUAAUAAUAAUCGUACAUAAUAAAUUAAUUGAUAAUUAUAAAAAAUAAAUUAUUACUAAUUAUAAAUAAUAAAUAAAUUAAUUAAUAAUAAAAUUAUUAAUUAAUUAAUUAUUAAUAAUUAUAAAAAAUAAUACAUUAAUUAAUAAUAAAUUAAAUAAUUAUAAAUAAUAAAAUUAUUAAUAGCUAUAAAUUACAAAUUAAUUAAUAUUAAAUUAAUUAAUUAUAUAAUUAUUAAAAUAAUAAAAUAAAUAAACUAAUUAAUUAUAAUUACUAAUAAUAAAGUAAAUAGUUAAUUAUUAAAAAUUAAAUAAUUAAUUAAUAAUAAAUAAAUUAAUUAAGAAUAAAUUAAUGCUAAAUUAGUUAAUUAUAAAUUAAUAAAUAAGUAAAUUAAAUAAUUAUUAAUAAUUAUAAAUAAUUAGAAUUUAAUUAAUAAUUAUAAAUGAUAAAUUAAUAAAUUAUUUUAUUAUUUAAGCAAUAAAUAAUGAUUUAAAUAUAAUAAUUAAAUUUAUUAAUUAUUUAAUGCCAUAAUUAAAAUUAUUUUUAGAGUUUAAUUAACCUUAUUCUCACCAGAGAACAAACUUAUUUUCCAGAAAAAAGGUGGGACAUCAGUUUCAGUCUUAUACCUUCUUAUUUUAGAAACUCAAGAUUUACUAUUCUCGAAUACCAAACGCAGCGUUUAGGGACAAAGAAGGGAAUAAGGACUUAUUCCCCACUUUGCGUGUUUCCGAACCAAACACUACCUCAAUGUGGUAAAGUGGUAAAGUGGUUUGUUUGUGUACUUUUCACUAUUCAUUACCAUCUCCUGUGCUAGCUCGGCUAAGCACCAAAUUUUCAUUUACCAUUUUUGAGAUCAUAAGGGCCCCACCAGGCAUUAAUGCUAUAGUUUUUCCCGAGGAAGAUGCUAAAUGUAAAUGGACCAAAAAUUUGAGUCAUUUAAUCCUAAAUAUAUUAAUUUUACUAUCUAAUUUUUUAAUUUAUUUAAUUUCCAUACUACAAAUUAGUACUCGAAUGCAAUACUCCAGUGCAUUCCUGCAUCAAGCCAAACACAAGGGAGAGGAGAUUUGAUUGUGUUCGUUCGUUUAUUAAAUGAAUCGAAUACGUACGGGUGCGCUCGUUAAAAUAUCAAGUUAAAAAAUUUAGUUCGUGCUCGAAUUAUUUAUUAACAAGAUGAAUACGAGAUGACUCGCGAAUAGCAAAUUAGAUUAUCAGCUCUACUACGUACUGGAUGGAAAUUAAGUUGAAAGAAAAUUAAAAAAUUAGAAAAUUAAAAUCUUAAUCUAUAAAAUAUAUAUCUCUUUCCAUUUGGGUUGGUCUAACAUCUAAAUAGUAAACAUUGUGUGCGCAGCUAGAUUAUGUCUAAUGAAAUUGAUUAUCGAUUCGGAUGUCUCAUCAUUAGAAAUAUAGUAAUAUAAUAGAAUAACCUCCGUGCAAACGAUAGUAUAUAUUAAUCGUUCAAUUUAGUCAUAGUUUAUAGCCCCAUCAAUUAUAUAAGAGAGGAAUCAUUGUCAUGCUUCCACUAACAGAUUAAGAAGCCCAUAGAUUGUAUCUAGUCUCCCAUAGAAUGGCCAAAUUAACAAUGGUAUUUGUUAGUUGGAAUUAUAUAAGGCUGAAUUGUUCUGUUGUCCUCAAACUAUGAUGUGACACUCAUAAAAUUAGAAAUAGUCCUCUAUGUAGGGUAUAAUUGGGCUAAAUCAUUUAGCUCGACUAUAGUAUGUUGGACGAUGACUAGACUUAAGAGGUUAAGACGAUUAACUAUGUUAGCGCUAAAGUAAUUACGGAAUGGAAAGUGUAAGAUAAAUCUCGGCUGAACUAGGGUUAUAUAGUGGAUAGAGGGUGACUCUUCGACUAACGACCGUUGUGGAUGGAGCAAGAUUUCCACAAGAUCAGCUAACGCUAACAAGAUGAGUCUCAUAUCAUCUGAUGGUUACGAGUAUGCUUGAGCCUGACGGAGAUGCCAAAGUUUAAAAGGGGGAAGACUGUGACACCCAAAGAUUUGUAAUAUUCCUAUAUAUAGCACAUAUAUAAUAGGGCUACAUCUUUUAGCUUGACUAUAGCAUGUUGGGCGGUGGCUUGAUCACGGAGGUGAAAACGGUUAAGCAUAUUAGUGCUAGAGUGGUUCUAAGAUGGGUGACCUUUUGAGAAGUGGGUGCUAUAUAUGAGCCACAUGACACUUUAAUCAUUGGACUUCAAUUUGUUAUAAUUUUUUGUUUCAAAAUUUUAGAUUAUUGCAAUCAAAUCUUUGAGUGCAAUUUUGUUGACUAAAUGGGGUGUAUCGCUAAUGUAACAAUAAUACAAUAGCAGUGUAAUUGAUGAUGUAGGAAUAAUUAAAAAUACAACAUUAUUUUCGGCUCAAAUUUUUAGAUUAUUGCAAUCUAAUCUGACAGUACAAUUUUGUUGACUAAAUGGUAUGCAUCGCUAAAGCAGCAGUAAUACGACAGCAAUGUAAUUAAUGAUGUGGAAAUAAUUAAAGAUGCAAUAUUACAACAUCAUCCACGACAUAUCAUGCAUCACUCAACUGGCCAAAAAAUAAGAAGAAAUUAAAGUUCGAAAAUCAAAAUGCGCGUGUCUUAUAGUUUGAGGACAAAGGUGCAAUUUAGCAUAUAUAUUCCCUUCAACUAUAGGCCACUUUGAAUCCCUUCAAUCAGUUUUUCUUCUGAUUGUGGAAAUUCUAUUAAAUUUAACCAUUCUAAACACUAUUCAAAAUAUUAGCAAUUGAAGGCCAAGAGAGCUCUUGAUUUCAACAAAUCUCCUAUUCAAUAUUAUAAAAUUACUCAAAUUAAAAUAUUUUUUAAAUUAUAGAGGUGCACAAACAAAAUAGUUUAGGGGCCUAUUUUAAAAUGGACUGUAAUUAAAAAAGGUCUUUGGAUACAUACUAACAAAUUUAUGAUUGGACCUCUCACUUAAUCCCCUCACAUGCAAUUUUUUGCCCCCUUUUUUAUAAAUAGAAAAAGUGGGUUCUCAUGCAAUAUUCAGUGGGCACCUUAGCCAUGAGAAAUGGCUCAAUUACUAUUUUGGUCCUCAAAUUAUACUGCAUAUGAUAUUCUAUUUUUUUUUUUUUUUUAAAGAUAGGUAGCAUGCUAUCCGCUUCAUUUAUUUUAUUUAGAAAUAAACUUAGCUAGAAAUGUGAAUCAAUUAAAAUUCGAAUUUGGGUCUCGGGUACCAACCACCAAGCCCUUUGCCACUUGCAUGCUCUAGGGACAGUCGGUGAUAAUUUGGUUUUUAAAGUUUACUAUAUUAUAAUUUCUGAUUCGAAUUUUAUAAAUUAUUGCAAUAAAGUCAAACAACCAAAUUAGUCAACUAAAUAGUAAUGUUUCGCUAACGUAAAAGUGAUGUAAUAACCUAAUUCUGGUAUAUCAUUUCUACAAUGGUGGUGCAUCAAUAUUUAGACUAUGUUUGUGAUUGCAGGAAAAUUAAUUGAAAUACAUGCAUGCGGUAAAAAAAAAACGAUAAAGAAUAUCUUUUUUAAUUAUUUCUGUACAUUUUUCAUAUGACAAUAGAUUAUGAUAUAUUUUCUACCGAUUUCACUCAAAAAAAAAAAAAGAAACAUGUUUGUAUAUGCUUUUCCCCUAAUUCUAUUUUACUUACGAGAAUUAGAUGGGUCUCAAUAUCAAACUGGCCCUAAUUAGUUAAUUAAAUUGGGUUGGAGAACUUGUUUAUAAUAACUCUCAAAAUUCAAAAAAAAAAAAUCGCAAUAAAUUAAAAAUUUGAGGACCAAAACUUCACAGAGGUCACAGUUUGAGGAUCAAAAGCAUACUAAGUUGGAUUCUGACCAUUAAUUAUCCACUUGGACUAAGAGAAGUGAUCCAAUAAUAUCAUACUACAGUAAAUGUGGAUAUGUAUAUCUACUUUAUUAUUAAUAUAAUAAGUAAACAAAAAAAAGCUAGAUACAUAAAUAGUUUAAUUUUGUGUUGGAUUUUACGUACGAAUCUAAGAAUAUGCAAAGUUUAGAUUAUGAUAUGAGUUAGAUAUGAAGCAAGAAAAAGAAAACUGUAUAUACAUACAAUAUAUGCAAGAUUUGCAUUGAGAUUCUUUAGAUAUGAUUCUUUAUUAAUUCUAAAAUUCUACAAUUAUAGUUUUAUAUUUUUUUAUUAUUAUCUUUGAAAAGGUAGUAUAGUUUUAAUUUUGGCUAAAUUACAGAAAAUCCCCCUAUAAUAACCCGCUUUUUCACUUUCCCCCCUUGACAUUUAAAAACCUACACUUUGCCCCCCUGUAAAAUGAAAAAUGUUCACAAGGGGGUUACGGUGUGUAAAAUGACCAUUUUGCCCCUCGCCAUUGUUGUCUUCUUCCCCAUCUUCUCUCCUUACUCUCCUCCGUCGGCCUCGUGGGGCACCAAACUCACUCCGGCGAGUUUUUCUUCGGGUCGAGCAGGAAGGCCACUCACAACUCCGCCGGCGCCGCCGCUUCCAAACUCGGGCAUCGCCGCACGGGCUUCGUCCCGAUCAUCCCCACCGCGGCCUCCACGACGAGCACGGCACGGCGCGGCGCCGCUGAGGCCCGGCGAAACCCGGCGCGGCGCCGCUGAGGCCCGUCGCGCGGAGCGACGUGCUCGCCUCCGGCACUGCGAAUUACGGCCACGGAAGCAUAAUGCGGGGCGGGGAGGCGGCAGCAGCAAUGGCGGAGGGGUAUUUUCGGCAUGAAAAAUUAUUUUAUAACGGAAUCCUAACGGAACCCUAACGGUAGGGGGUGAAGUGCACAUUUUUGAUUUUACAGGGGGCAAAGUGUAGGUUUUUAAAUGUCAGGGGGAAAAAGUGAAAAAGCGGGUUAUUAUAGGGGGGUUUUCUGUAAUUUAGCCUUUAAUUUUUAUAUGUAUCUCAAUAUCUCUCUCUUUCUCUCUCUCUGUCGCACAAAUAUAUAUACACACCACACAAAUCUCAAAGCAAUAUUAGUCGCAUGUGCAUCCAUUGAGAUACAUUCUCACAGAAUUGCUGCAAUAUUAUUAAGGGUUAAUUUUAUUCAGUUCCUAUAAAUAUAGUAAAUUACAAAUAUAUCUUUAAAAAAUUCAAUUUUCAUAGAUUGUCCCUAUAAAAGUCCUAAUAUUUUUAAAUAUAUCUUUCUGAUUUGUUACUGAUAAAAUAUUAUUUAUUUUAUAAGUGAAAUUAUUUUUUUUGCAUUACAAAUAUGUCCUUCAAAAAAUUUCAACUAUUAAUUAAAGAGUGAUAAAAAGGUCAAUUCAUCUCACUAACUAAUUAGGGUUAAAUAUAUUAUCUAUGGUUAACUAAUUUUUUCUAACGGAUCUGGUCUAACAGCAGGAACAUAUUUGAAAACAUGCAUUAGGACUUUUGUAGGAACAAUAUAUGAAUUAAAGUUGAACUUUGCAGGAAUAUAUUUGCAAUUCAUUCUGUUUGUAGGGACCUAUAUGAAACUAAUCCUAUUAUUAAAAUGUCAAUUGUUUUUACAUUAGUGGCGCAUUAAUAUAUAGUCAACAAAAUAAGAUCAUAGGACUUGAUUAGAACAAUGUAUAAAAUUCUAGUAAGAAAUUAUAAUAAAUUAAAAUUUAAGUAUCAACAAGAGCCCGAUCCUCCAAUAUUUAGUCUAUAUAUACAUAAAUCAUCAUUCUCACUCUUUUUUUUACUACUCAAUAGCUGAAAUAUGGAUUCCACAUAUAAAAACUAAAAUCAAAGGCAAGUCCCAUCCAAAAUUAAGGAUCUGAUUCCACAUAUUAUUUAGAAAAUGAGAAUUUAUGUAGUGCUAUGAAUCUGUUUCUACCAUGGUGGAGAACAUUAUAUAAUGAGGCAUCUUCUCAUUUGUAUUGUUAGUUUUGCUAUUACUUAAAGAAAUAAUUAACCUACAACUUUAGACAACUAAAGUUGGACAAGACAUGUUUCGAACCCAACUUAAUAAUAAAAAAAGCCCUUCUGUUUCUCUUUAAAGAACCUACUUGAUGAAUUAAUCAACUAUUUUCUUUACCAUCUUGAGAAUUUAAAAACAUAAAAGAGUCCCUAGUAUGUUAAUUAGACCCUAACUAAUCCACCCAUUUUAGUACUAAACUAAAUAAUUCUUUUUUAUCAUAUAUAUAUAUAUAUAUAAAAUCAGGCGGAAUAACUAUUAAAGCACCAGCUAUUUGUGCUAUUAGUUUUUUAAGCCUUGGAUUGGAAAUGUGUGGUCAGGAUGAUGUGGACCCUUAGGUUGAUGAGUGGUUUGGUUGAAUAGUAUAAUCUAGCGGUAAAAAUAAUCAAAGGGUUAAAUUUAACGUGGAAAACUCUCGAUACACCAAAUCCUUUGUGCUAUCGAUAGUAUCCCAGCCGGACUCUCUCUCUCUUCUCUCUGUGUGUAUAUAUAUAUAUAAUAUAUAAUAUAUAUAUAUAUAUAUAAGUUGAGCUAGAAUACUAUCGAUACAAACCGUCACUUUUGCCACCCAUUUGUUUUUCGAUGAUGGAGCCUCCAAAUUGAUGAUCGGUACCGUUAAACAUGAUCUAUACAUUUGAAGUAUUUAGAAAUCAAAUUCAUACAUUUUGAUAUUGUUCUCUUAUCCAUCGAGUGGACACAAAAAUGAACGGCUGAAAAUGAAUAUUCUUAAAAAAAUGAUGCUAGGAGUCUUGUAAUCAAGAUCAAGAGUAAGAUCUUGUUUUAAGUGGUUUAAAGAAUUUUUAACAAAAAUUCAAUUGAUUUGGAUAUCUCUACGCCUUAAACGAGAAAACGUCUCAUAUCGACCAUUAAAAUUACAAAUUUUGAAACCCUUUGAUAAUUAGGCAAAUGAUGUCAAAAAGAUUUAAAUUUGCUUUCUAACAACUUCAAGUGGUAAUUCAUGUUCGACGAUGCUGAUCGUCGAUUUGGAAGCUCCAUCAUCGAAACAAAUGGGUGCAAAAGUACUGGUUUGCUAUCGAUAGUAUUUCUAGCUCACUCUCUCUCUCUCUCUCUCUCUCUCUCCCUCUCCUCCUCUCUCCUCUCUCUCUCUCUCUCUCUCUCUCUCUCCUCUCCUCUCUCUAUAUAUAUAUAUAAGUUAAGCUUCAUCUCUCUCUCUCCUCUCUCUCUCUCUAAUAUAUAUAUAUAAUAUAUAUAUAUAUAUAUAUAUAUAUUAGUUAAUAGAAUACUAAUCGAAGCAAAAUCCGGUCACUUCUUUGCCACCAAUUUGUUUUCGAUGAUGAAGCCUCCAAAUUGAUGAUCGGCACCGUUGAACAUGAUCUAUACCAUUUGAAGUAUUUAGAAAUCAAAUUUUAUAUAUUUUUAAAAUCCGUCGGAUUUGAUUUCGGAUAUGAAUUUUCAGUUCAGGUUUUGAAAAAUCCACCCCCAGAUCUGACCAGUUGACAUCUCUAAAAGUAAGAGUGAUUCACUUGCAUGUGGUGCAUCCUCUACGCUGAUUGGGUUCUAAUUCAGUUCAAUCUAAUAAAAACGAGCCCAAAUUUCACUCACAAUUGAGCCCUAAUUUGUUCAUGUAUCAAACAACCAUCAACUGUAAUUUCUGCGCUCAACAAAAAUUAAAGCUAUAAAGAACAAAUUUCACCCUUUUGAUUGCGGAAAACUUUCCAACUCGGCCCAGCUCGGCCCGGCCCGGCCCGACGUGAGUCCGAACCAAGGUCGAUCGGUUUUGGUUAGGUUAGGGUUCGGGGAGAUUUAGGAUCUGUUUGUUUCAUUGAAAGUAAAUUUUGGGUUAAAUUAGAGUUCAAAUGGAUUUGAAUUGAAAUAGAGUUCGGAUGAGAAUUACUUUUUUUUCGCUGUUUGUUUUCAUAAUUGUGAAAGUGAAAUUUCUCCAAUUUUUAUUGUUUGUUUGAUAGGAAGUGAACGAUGUAAAAUUAUAAUUUAUAUAUAAGUAAUAAAUAACAUGAUAAAUAAUAAGUAAUAAUUUAAUAAAUAAAAAAUGUAAAAUUGUAUUCCGAUAUGAUCAAAAAAAUGUAAUCUAAAACAAGUAAAUUAGUUUUUAUAUAUAAAUUAUAAUAAGACAAAAGGUAAAAUCAUAGAGUAAAAAAAAUUAAUGCUCAACUAAUCAAUUUUUAUCAUAAUUUAAAUGUGCAAACUAAACGAAGAGAUUCUAAUACUUAACUAAUCGAUUUCCAUCACAAUAUAGACAUUUAAGGUAAAUAAAAAAAUAAUAAGUAUCAAAUAUAUGUAAUGUAAUUAGCAUUAUCCAUUAUAUUAUUUUUUUAUUUUUUUUCUUUCACCACUCUUCUAAAGUCAUUUAUGCUGUUUUGGAUAACUCGAGUUUUGAGUGUAAUUUUAUUAGGGUGAACUAAACAGAUAAAGCGACUAUUUUCGACCGAAAACGACUUCAUCCUCUCCACUUUCACUCCAAUGAUUCAGUCAAAACUGUUUAAGUUGCAUCUGUUUAUGUAUUGAAGGAAGUAGAGUUAGUACAAGAAUCAAAAAUUAUUAGGGGACCUUCCAUAAUAUUCAUGUUGCUUUAAGAUUCGCACAAGCUCAGCACAUAGAUCAAAGAAGAGCUAGAUUUUAUUUGGAAAAACUACAACAGAUGUGUUUGCUAAAGAGAUUACUCAUCUACAUCCUGUCGAAUUGUUGGCAUAAACAAUUAAUCCCAACAGAUCGAACUAUUAGAAAUACACAUUUAAAGCGUACCGACCGUUCCUAGAGCAGGUGGUAAAGGGCUUGAUGGUUGGUACCCGAAGUCGCAAGUUCGAAUCUUAGUUGAUUCACAUUUCUUGCUAAGUUUACUUCUAAAAUAAAAUAAACGAGGCGGCUAGUGUGCUACCUAUCUCUCUCUCUCUCAAAAAAAGAAAAAAAAAAGAAAAAAAAAAAAGACUCAGCCUAAUCAGUCUCAUGCCACUUAAAGUAUGACUCAGCCCAACCCGCGCCGCUUCUCGCCAUUCGAACAUGACUUGGCUCCAAUCUGGUCUCCCGCUAAAGAGUAAGAUGCUGACCUCUCUGAGCCAGAACAUCUAUUUCGAAUGAGAACAAAAUAAAAAAGUUAGGCAAUGUAGUAAUUGAUACAGUUUUUUUCUUUCUUUCUUUCUCUCUUUCCUUGUUUCUCUCUUUUUAUUUUUUUUUAGUACAAAGUAGAUAAAUAAGAGUUGAUAAUUAAUGAAGAUUUAGGGGGCCAAAUAAAUUAAUUUAAAAUUUUUUUAAACAUCAAACUGAGAAUCAUCCUGCAAUAAAAUAUGCAUUAUGUGAUAUACAAACCUGAACAUACACUACUAUAUACACACACACACACACACACACACACACACACAUCUAUAAUUCAAAUAUUCCAAUGUCAUAGAUCCUAAAAUACAAAUUUGAUUUAACAAAAAAAAAAAACCCACUUAAGCUAGGAAGAGUCCACAUUCUUCCUGGGCCUCAAUUGUUGCGACCGUCGGGCCCACCAAGUCCACGGCCUUUAAGGCCUCGACCUCCCAAUCGGUCCGAAAAACAACGUAGCCCACCAAUAUAGCGCACGCUAUUUGGGCCGCUAAAAGCCCAAGAAUGAGGCCCACGAAGCCCAUACCUAGCCCAAAGGCCAAGGCCCCGGCGACGGGAGCACCGACGCCGUAGAACGCCAUGAGGUUGAUGACGGCGGCCGUGCCGGGCCGGGCCGUCCCGCGGAGCACCCCGCAUCCGGCGGUCUGCGGGCAAUUGGCGAGCUCGCAGAGCCCGACGACCGGCAGGGCGGUGGCGGCAAGCGCAAGCACGUCACGGUCCAUGGUGAACACCCGGGCCCAUGCAUGCCGGCCCAGCACGGCCCACGAUAGGCCUAGGCCGGAGCCCGCGAAAGCGAGGCCUACGGAUACCAAGGCCGCCAAUCGGGCCUUAUCGGGCCGGCCCGCCCCGAGCUCGUUCCCGACACGCGCCGACGCGGCGGCGGCAAGGGUGGUCGGGACAGUGUACAUCAGUGACGUCGUCUGUAUGACGAUGGCGGCGGCAGCGAGCGCGACGUGGGGCCGGCUGAGGUAUCCGGCGGCGAUCGUCAUGAGCUCGUACCACCACCACUCUAGGCAGACCGCGAAGCAGCUCGGCACCGCCAGCCGGAGGAGCGCGGCCCACUCUGCGCCUACUGCCUGCUGCUGCUGCUGCUUCUGCUGCAGCUGCUGCAGCUUCGGGGAUUGCGGUUGCAGCGGAGAGGCGAAAAGAGAGCAAAGAUAAAGAGCUACAAGGAGGUUGAUGCUCGAUAUCGACGUCGCGGCGGCAACGCCGGCGACGUCGAAUGCAGAGCCGAGGAAGAGCGAGAGGGGGACGUGGCCGGCGACCGCGAGGCACGUGCACCACAUGAGCCGGCGGGGCGGGUUUCCCGCGCCCUCGGUGCGGAGAUAGAUGCGCACCGGGGAAAGAAAGGCGGCGGCGAGGAGGUCAGGGAGGGCGAAACGGAUGAACCGUGCCGCGACAGCUGCGACGGCAGGGUCCUGGCGGAGUGCGAGGAGGAGAGGGUGGAGUGACACCCAGAGGACGGAAAUUGGAAUGGCGGCAGCGAGGAGGAGGGCGAAUGCGCGGCGGAGGGCGCGGGCGGCGAGGGCGGGGUUGCCGGAGCCGAAGGCCUGGGCGCAGAUGGGCUCGAUGCCGAGGGCGAGGCCAGAGAGGACGGAGUAGCCGGUGACGUUCGCAAAGCCGACGGCCAACGCCCCGCCCGCGAGCUCGACGCGGCCGAGCCGGCCCAGGCACAUCACUGAGACCAUGCUCUUGCAGUAGCCCAGUAAGUUGAUGGCUGUUACGGGGGCUCCUAUUUCCUUCAUUUUCACAAUCUCCUCUAACACCUGUAACAACAACAACAUCUUAUUAUUAUUAUUACUAUUAUUGUUGUUGUUGUUAUUAGAAUUAUUAUUAAGAAACUUAUUUUUGAUUCUUGUUGCAGCAAAAAAACAGAAGAAAAAGAAAAAAAGUUGAGACUUUAAUAAAGGAGGAGAAUGUUAGGAGUAAGUACCUCAGCAAGUGUAGUGUGCUUUUGAGUUUGGUCUCCCACAACCAUAUCUUAGAGAGAGAAAGAGAGAGAUAGUGGUGGGAUUGUUGUGGGUGCAUGAUGAGAGGGAGAGAAAUGGGAGGGGAGGUGUAUAUAUAUUGGGGAUUGAACAUGGGGUUGGGAACUUGGUUUUCUUUUUUUUCUUUUUUUUUCUUUUUUUUUUUUUUUUUUAGGUGGGGACUAAAUUUGGUGGGGACGGGCAGUCUCCAAGGCAAGAUCAUUUCAUUUAUUGUUUAGAGAGUUUUAAAAUUUGCGUCAUAUAAGUUAAUUUUAUACGGCUCCCGGCAAAUAUAGUAAAUGAUAAAUAUAUUUUUAUAAAGUUCAAAUUUCAUAUGUUAUUUUUAUAAAAGUUCUAAUAUUUUAAAUAUGUCCUUUUAAUUUGUUAUCGUUAGAGAACUGUUUAUAUUUUCAAUUUUGUCAUCACAAAUAUAUUCCUCUAAAGGCAUGGACAUAUUUGUAAACAUCAGGACUUUUAUAGGAACAACAUAUGAAAAUUAAAUUUUAUAAGAAUAUAUUUGUUAUUCACUUUGUUUGCAAGGACUUAUAUAAAAUUAACCCUAAAAUAAACACAGAACGGUUUUUGUUUGAUCUAGAGAGCCCACUUUAUGAGAGUAUUUUGUGUAUAAUUAACUCUGUCCACAAAAUUAGUGUGACACCCACUUUUCAGGGCAUCAUCCAUUGUAGGACUAUUCUAGUCCUGGCAUGCUUAGGGCUAAAACUUUGGGUUAAUUACACCAAUGGUCCCUAACCUUUACACUAUUUUUCAAUUUGGUCUCCAACCUUUUUUUGUGUAAAUAAGUUCCUAAUCUCUUAAUUUCAUUUCAAUUAAGUCCCAGCCUUUAGAUAGCUGUUAAAAUUGACGAAAAAUGUCACGUCAGCACCAUGUCAGUGCCAUGGAAGGGUCAUGUCAGCGCCACGGAGAUGUCGUGUCAGCGCCACGGUGGCACUGUGUCAGCAGAUUGAAAAAAAAAAAAGGUUGGGAAUCAAAUUAAAAAACGGUGCAAAGGUUGAGAACCAACUGUGUAAUUAAUCCAUUAAAUUUAUAAAUUCAAAAAAAAAAUUACUUUAAGAUGUAAAUUUUGAUUUUGGAUUCAAAAUUAAAUUGGAAUUCAAAUUCCGAUUUUGUAUUUAAUUUUAAAUUUUAAAUUUUAAAUUCAAAUUCACAUUUGGAAUUCUAAAUUCUAAUUUAAUUUCAAACUUCGAUUUGAAAUUUCAAAUUCAAAAUGUGAAUUUGAAUUCGAAGUUUAAAUUCAAAUUUAGAAUUGAAAUCAAAUCUUAAAUUCAAAUUUAAAACUUAAAAUCAAAAUUUUGAAUAUAAUUUUAAAUUUAAAUUCAGAUUUUAAAUUUAAAUUUUGGUUUCAAAACUUUCAUUUUAAAUGUAAAUUGAAAUAUCAAAAUCAAAGUCAAAAUUUUAAGUUUGAAUUCAAAAUUUAGAUUCAAUUAAAAGUUUAAAUUUAAAAUUUGAAUUUCAAUUCAAAAUUUUAAUUCAAUUUAAAUUCAAAUUCAAAAUUCUAAUUUCUCAUUAGUUUAAAAUUUUAAUUUUAAUAUUAUUUUUGAAUUUAAAUUUAAUAUUUUGAACUUUUAUGUUUAGGGACUAAAAUGAAAAAAGUGCAAAGUUUAGGGACCUAAUUAACAUGCAAAAGGUUGCCAAAAUGACGCUGACGUGGCGAUUCCGUUAAUUUUAACAGUUUUUUUAACGGUUAGGACGUAAUUGUAAUAAAAUCAAGAGAUUAGAGACUCAAUUUCAAAAAAAAAGGUUGGAGACUCAAGUGAGUUUUAAGUAAACUGAUUUAGUCAAACGAGUUUGAUAUGUAGCACCCAAUUUUUUGUGUGAUGCCCCACUUUUUAAGAGAUCAUGUAUAAUUUUAGUACGUUUAACCAUUUUAAUCUAUUGGGUCUAAAUAUCACCCAAAAUAUUAUAAUCAGAUUAAGACAUUUUACUUGCAUUGUAUUUUUUAGAAAAAACUUCAAAUAUUACUCAUGUGGUUUUGCACAUUAGCACUUUAGUAUCCUGUGGUUUAAAAUGUAUCAAUUUAGUAACUUUGUGGUUUCAUUUUUCUUUUUUUAUUAUCACUUUACUAAUUUUUUUUGUUAAAUCAAUGACAAAGUUAAAACUAGAGAGUACUAAAGUGAAUAUUUGAUAAACCUAGGUAGGGUGUCUGAAGUCUUUUGUAUAUGAUUUAACGAGAUGUUUACGGAGGAGCCGACGAAAAGAGAAAAAUGAAAUCACAGGGUACUAAAUUAAUAUACUUUAAACAAUGAAGUACUAAAGCGAGAAAGUGCGAAACCACGGAGGUGGUAUUUGAAGUUAACACUUUUUUUUAUAUAUGACUAUUUUAAAUUCUAAAAAUGUCAUAUUCUUUCGCCCUUUACAUCCUAACAUUCUUAUUUGGCUCGAGUGACUUAGCCUUCUAUUCUGACUUUAACUUAUUCGAAGUUUAUCUUAUACUUUUGACUGAUGAUUUGUUCUGAUACCAAUUAUGAAAACGUCCUGCAUCUCAGGGAAUCAUCUGUUCUAGAACUAUUCUAACUCUAACACGCUUAAUCCUUAUAACUUUUUAUAUCUAGCCACGGUUUAAAAUAUUAUAAUCAAAUAAAGAGGUUUAAUUUAAUCCUAUUAUAUUUUAUAUAUAAAACUAUUUUAAAUUCUAGGAUCGUCACACUUUGUAUGUGAGUCAAAGUAAAAUCUAGUCGAAUUUAGUCGACUCAACUUGAGUUUCGAGUUUCGAGUUAGCGACUUUUAGUGCGAGUAUAUAGUGACUAAAUGCAGGGGAUUAACAAAGAGCAAAAGAGAGAAUGGAAGGUCCCUCAAAUAUCUCACAUGUAAGGGGGAGGUGAAUUGAAUUUCAAAUUAUUGCGAUUUAUUAAUUAAUGCAUGGUACUUUAAAAACAAAAAUUAUCUCCAACAAAUAAAUCACUUCGUCACAUUUGCUCCAAUUUCGCUAAAAGAAAAAUAAUGUAGCAGCUAAUUCAGUUGUCAUUAUAUCAUCAUCACCAAAAGAUGGCGAUGAUAAGAUAGAGCUCAUUGUUAUGGAAAAUAAUUCUAUAGAGGUAUGUGUCCGAAUGAGAGUUUUUUAAUAAUUUAUUGAAGCUAAAUGAAUUGGAGACACCUGAACUUUCAUCUAUUUAAAAAUAGGCAAGAAUACUUUAAAUUUUUUUUUAUUUUCUACCUAAACUUUUAAUGUUUUACAAUUAACCAUCUAACUUUUUAUCCUCUUAAUUUAAAGUGACUAAUUUUAGCUUAAUAUCCCAUUACAAGAAGUUUGCUAGAGAUAUGGAUAUCAGCAAGCAAGAAAGCGAAAGUUUGGAUGGUUCUGGUGGAUGCAAAUGAACCUGGGUUGGUGGAGCUCAUGUAGGGAUCCACCACGAUUGAGAUGGCAAGUGAGAACUAAAAUUAUAGAAAAAUAUAACCAGUUCCGAAUCGGUCCCGAGCCGCCGAGUGAAUAGAGUGGGAAGUAGGAGACCCCUAUCUUCUUUUGAUCCGCACCAUCUGCCAAAAUAUGUCAAAAAUCUGCUCUCAGCCCGAUCCGUCCCAAAUGAUGUAGUAAGUGCGAGCCAAAAAUAGCAUUGAAAUUAACUCAUUCGGACCCGAUGAUAAAUAAAAUGGGAGGUAGGGGACUCCUCUCGUCCCUAAAUCCGCUCUGUUUGUAUCCCUAAAGUAAAGAGUAUUCCUAUACUUUUUAUUUUUUGAUUUCGUUAAUUCAUUCUUCCUAUACGGCCCAGAUUUUUUUUUUUUUUUUUCUUUUGUGGCCUAUAAGAGCAGGUUAUUUGGAGAUGGGGUACUGAUUACUAGGUACUCUGAAGAGAAAUAUUUUGGUCUUUUAAAAUAGGGGUAAUUAAGUAAUUGUGCCUCCGCUCUCUCUUUCUCCAUUAUUUCUCUCCUCUCUCCGUGUCCCCUUUCUUUCUCUAUUUUUCCUCUCCAUUCUACUAUUAGGAUUUAGUUAUAUUUGUAGUUGAAUCCUAAUUGGAUUAUAAUUAAUAUUUAAAUCUGUUUGAGAUAAAUUAAGAUUUAAUAUGAAUCUAACAUAUUAGGAUAAAUAUUGAAAUUUAUUGGAGAUAAAUCAAAUAUAGAUUUAAAUGUUAUUUGGAGUAGGAAUCCUAAUUGGAUUAGGAUUCAGGUACGUUUUGAUAUAAGCUUCAUAAAUAGCUCCAUUGGUGGAGAGCUUAAAGAGUUGUACGGUGAAGUUGAGACUCUUGAGGAGGGUACGAUGAAAUGUCUUGAAGCCAUUAGUGGGCCGUACCAAAGAGAAGCUUGGCCAUGAGUUGUAUGCACCUAGUACACGGGUGGAUGUGAGAGAGAUAAGAGAGUUGUCAUUUAGUUGUCUUUUAGGUUUAUAAAAAACGAGAGAAGGGUAGGAGAGAUUCAAAAAGAGGGUUCGGGAUUGUAGCUACUCUAUACAGAAGAGGAGUCAUUUGUAAUCUUCUCUUAUUUAAUGAAUCUUAUUUUACACGCAAAUUUUCUUUUUUGGUUUUUCUCUCUUCUGUGAUUGUAUCAAUUUUUGCUGAGGAGACAGGUUUAUGGUAAAAAUCUGAUUCGACGCUUCCGUUGCGGAAUCACAACAAUUAGUAUUUGAUCAACAACAGUUGGUAUCGGAGCGGGUUGCAGAUUCACAAAAUCUAGUACCGGGGCGAGUACCGGAUUCCCAACAAUUGGUAUUAGAGUUUAAGGCUACCGAUCUGCGGGAGAGAUCGACGAAGAUUGCUACAAAAUUCAAAAUCGAGAAGUUCGACGACAAGAAUAAUUUCAGAUUGUAGUAGAUUAAAGUACAGACGAUCCUCGUACAACAAGAGUUUAAUGAGACGUUGAACGGGAAGGAGGCGAAGCCGGCGGAGGUCACGAAUGCGACAUAGAUGAAGAUAGAACAGAAGGCGUUGAGCACGCUUCAUCUGUCAUUAGCAGAUGAGGUUCUUUACAACGUAGCCAGCGAGACGACACCAGCGAAGUUGUGGAAGAAAUUAAAAGAUCUGUAUAUGACCAAAUUCUUGAGGAACAGGUUGUAUCUGAAGCAGUGACUGUUUACGCUGCGGAUGUAGGAAGCGGCGAGCCUUCAUGAGCAUCUUAACGAGUUCAAUAAGGUGGUGGCCCAGUUGACUAGCAUCGGAGUCAAUCUGGAUGGUAAGGAUAAGGUGCUGAUUUUACUAUCUUCACUACCGGCGACAUAUGAGUAUCUGGUGAUCACAUUGCUUUAUAGCAAGGAGACCAUAAGCGUGGAGGUGGUCAUGGCGGCAUUUCUCUUGAACGAGAUACGGAAGAUGACUCAGGAGUUCAGCACGCAAAGUCAGGAUGUAAGGCUGGUGGUGAGAGCGAAAAAAGAGGCGACAACAUCGGCGACCGGAUAUCGACAGAAGAAGCCGCUAUCUGAGGUCGAGUGCUUUUACUGUCAUAGGAAAUGGCAUAUUAAGCGCAAUUGUCGAAAACUUCAGGAUAAUCUGAAGGAGUUAAAGCGACAGAAGGAGAAAACUAUUGUGAAACAGGAUGAGACGGUAUCAGCGACGGCGUAGGCGACAGAGUCGAAGACGAUCGAUUCUGAUGUGCUGUAUGCGGCGACCGGAUGUGCUAAAAUUUCGGAUGACUCGUGGGUGCUUGAUUCGGCGUGUUCUUUUCACGUAUACCAGGAAAAGGAGUCUUUUGUCAUCUAUAAAGCGAUCAAGGGUGGAAAAGCUCUGAUGGGGAACGGAACAGCUUGCACACUUUUAGAAAUCGGCACGGUGAAGAUCCGAAUGCACGAUAGGGUCGUGAGGAUGCUGACAAGUGUGCGACAUGUUCCUAAUUUGAAGCGAAAUUUGAUCUCGUUAGGGACAUUGGACUCGAAGGGUUGCGAUUUUUCAGCUUCAGAUGGAGCUAUGAGGGUCCGAAAGAGAGAUCAGGUCGUGUGCGAGGCAAACAAACGCGGUAACUUAUACGUUCUGAACGGGAGUACAGUCGAAACGGGAGCGAAAAUGGUUUAGGUUCCAAAAGUUUACGGAGGUGCAGUCGCUCGAGGCAGAACGACGAAUGCGGCGACAUAGAGUGGAGACAAGCUCAAGAUGGAGCUUGCAUGGUGAGCUCGACGCAAGGGUUGAAAACUAUAAAUCCAACUAAGGUGGAGAAUGUUAGGAUUUGGUUAGAUUUGUAAUUGAAUCCUAUUAGGAUUAAUAUUUAAAUCUGUUAAAGAUAAAUUAAGAUUUAAAUAUUAAUUAGAGUAUGAAUCUAACUAGAUUAGGAUAAAUAUUUAAAUAUAUUAGAGAUAAAUCAAAUAUAGAUUUAAAUAUUAUUUGGAGUAGGAAUUUUAGUUGGAUUAGGAUUCGGGUAUAUUUUGAUGUAAACUUUAUAAAUAGCUCCAUUGGUGGAGAGCUUGAGGAGGGUAUAGUGAGGUGUCUUGAAGCCAUUGGUGGACCGUACCAAAGAGAAGGUUGGCCAUGAGUUGCAUGCACCUAGUGCAUGAGUGCAAGUGAGAGAGAAAGAGAGUUGUCUUUUAGGUUUAUAAAAGACGAGAGAAGAAUAAGAGAGAUUCACAAAGAGGGCUCGGGAUUGUAGCCACUCAGAAGAGAAGUCAGGUGUAAUCUUCUUUUAUUUAAUGAAUCGUAUUUUACCCGCAUUUUUUUUUUAGUUUUUCUCUCUUUUGUAAUUGUAUCAGUUUUUGCUGUGGAGACGGAUUUAAGAUAAAAACCCGAUUCGUUGCGGAAUCACAACAAUUGGUACCGCAUCAACAACAGUCGGUAUCAGAGCGGUUUACGGAUUCACAAAAUCCGAUACCGAGGCGAGUACCGGAUUCCCAACAUCUACAUAAUCACUGCCUCUCCAUUUCCCCAUUUUCUCAUUUCCUCUCUCUUUUCUCUCCGUUUAACCAAAAAUUAAAAAAAUAAAAUAAAAUAAAAAAAUCUCUGGAGGACAAUCCAAAUAGCAUUCUAAAAGGUGAUACAAUAUUGGGGCACCUCUGCAGCGUCGGCGCAGUCAAGGCCUUCUAGAGGAUUCUUUACGAGGGCUCCGGUCCGGUGGAGGCUUCAAAAUUAAUGUCUAAAUUAAUAAAGCUCUAAAAUUCCUUUUAUAUAUGAGCAAUGCUCUUAUGCACCGAACAAAUCUCAAUCAUUACGAUAGACCUAUAAAAAGAGGGUUGGCACUUGAGGGUAUAGGUACUGGUCACCACUUUAAUAAGGGCAAAAUUUUUUUUUAUUACAUGGAGUUUGCAAUAAGGGCAUUUUGGUAAAUUUUCAUCCUCGUAACAUGUCAUUUUUGUAAAUUUAGAAUAUUCCACCUUCCUUCAUUCUUAUCCUCUAAUAUUCCAUCGUUGUAUUAUUAUCUUUCCUAAAUUAAACCUCAUGUCUUUAAACCAUAGUUAGUUAAUUCGAGUACGAUAAAAAUUCGAUACGGAUAAAAUACGAAUAAAAUUCGUAACUUAAUUUUUAAGUUCGUUGAAAAAUACGGUUUAAAAAUUAGAUUCGCCAAUAAUUUGUAUACGCGAUUUAUACGAAAAUUUUACGUUUAUCAUUUAAAAAUUCGGAAUAAAAAUUCGUUUAUUUAAUUGAAAUUUUUUUAGAUUUAUGCUAUUAUCAUGCAUAAAUAAUUAUAAUUCUUAUAAAAUAUAAAAAUAAAAUUGGAUAUAUAUAUAUAUAUAUAUAUAUAUAUAUAUAUAUAUACACACACACACAAAAACAAUCAUGAGAAAAUAAAACUAUCGGAUUCAUUAAUUCCCACACUAUCACAAAUCCUCAAAGGGGAAUGAAGAGAUAGAACUAGUUAUAUAGAACGGUUAUGUAUUUGAUUUAUUUUUUGCAACUUAUUCUAGUUUAAUUAUAAAGUAAUUUUAGCUGGGUUUGCUGAACCAUUGACAAAUUCUACAUCCUUUUAUUAGUAACACCUACUGUGCAAGCUUACCUGUUUGGAUGAAAGGAAACAUAAUAACAGUGACAAAGAAUNCAUUGGAUCUACUCCUUGAUUACUAAUAGCCCUUGGAUCAAACACUAUUCCACCUACCACCACCGACCAUCAUCAUCUCAACCUCAUAUCUCUCUAUCCAAUGGCUAAAAUCUCAAAAGCACCACUCACAUAAUACUUUUACAAGUAUUCUAGCUUAACUCUAUAUAUAUAUAGAGCGAGAGGUCCACCGUGGACCUCUCACUCCACACAGUCCACGAGGCUGAGUGCAGCCUUAUGGACCGCAAUAUUUUCCUACACGUAGGCCGCAAUUUCUUCUUCCUCUAAUAUUUUUAAACUUUUUAAAUUAAUUGUUUUUGCUAUCGAACGAACAAUUUAAAUUAAUUUUAAAAAUAAAAGCCUUUAAUUUAAAUAAAAAAUAAAAGUUAUAUUUAUAAAUACAGCAUAAUUUAUAAUUUAAAUUAAAUUAUAUAUAUUUGAAAUUUCGUGUCAUUUUAAUAUAUCAAAUUAAACAAUUUGAAUUGAAAUAUACUAUUCAUUUAAACAUAAAUUUUUUCAUUCUGAAAUAAAAAUAAAAAUUAAAUUUGAAUUUAAUGACACAAUUAUAAAGUUUAAGCUCAAAUUGAAUUUUAAAUUCAAUUUAUAAAGGUUAUUACUUAUCAAAUUAGCACUAUCUAAUUUGGAAAGUAACAAAAUUAAACAAGGAAACAAAUAUUUGUAUAAAGUUGAUCAAAUUUGGUAAUUAGUUUGUAUUUUUUUCCCAUAUUAUCCUUACAAAUGGUAACCUGUUGAGCAGGUAACCACUAUGCAAAAGUCAAUCUUUUCCCUUAAAAUAUGAACGAUUAGAUUUAUUUUAUAUGGUGUAUUGAAGCAUUCCUCUAUAUAAUAUAUAUAUAUAUAUAUAUGAGAGAGAGAGAGAGAGAGAGAGAGAGAGAGAGAAGAGAGAGAGAGGAGAGAGAGAGAGCUAGCUGAUAUACUAUCGGUAGCACGUAUAUAUAUAUAUAUAUAUAUAUAUAUAGAGAGAGAGAGAGAGAGAGAGAGAGAGAGAGAGAGAGAGAGAGAGAGAGAGAGAGAGCUAGGCUGAUAUACUAUCGGUAGCACGAAGAUUUCCGUGCUACCAAGUUGUUUUCAAUGAUACGGCUUUUAAAUCGACAAUCGGCUUUGUUGGACUUGAUCUACACUAUUAAAAAUAUUUGGAAACUAAAUUUCAUAAUUUUUCGACAUCAUUUGACUAAUAAUAAAAAAGCUUCAAAAUUGACAAUUUUAAUGGUAGAUGUGAUGCGUUUGUGAAUUUAAUGAUGUAAAACAAUCCAAAUCUGAUGAAAGUUUUAUAGAAAAUUCUUUUUACUAUUUAGAGUAAGAUCAAUACUUCUGAUCUUAAAUUCAAGUCUUUUAUCAUUAUUUUUUAAGAGAUUUUUAUUUUCAGCUGUUCAUUUUAGACUACUUGUUUGAUAGGUAGAUGAUGCUGAAAAAUUAUGAAAUUUAGUUUUCAAACAUUUUCAAUAGUGUGGAUUAAGUCUAACGGAGCCGAUCGUCGAUUUAGAAGCCGCAUCAUUGAAAAUACAAAGAGGAUCGUACUCAUAAGAGUAUAGUAGCCGGACUCGAUAACUUGUUGGUCGUGAGCUAGCUCAAUAUUAUUCUUUAUUAAUCAAUAAUUAAGAUAUUUUAUUAUAAUUUAUAGAAUUAAGCAUCGAAUCAAAUCUCAAAUAAUUAAAUAAUUUGGUGAGUUGCUCAAAAAAGUAAACCUAACUUUGUCGUAGGAAUGGGUUUGUCUCAACACAACCCCACACUCACAAAUAGGCUGGGGCGAAGAAGCAAAAAGGGUUUCAAACAAAUUCAAACAGGGUAUUAUAUAGGAUGGGUCCGCAUGCGACCGUGAUCACCUUAAUGGCCCUAACAUGUCCCCCAUAAUUUGUUAUUAUGUGUACGUACCUUCAUUAAUUGGAGCGCCACAUGUGCAUGGUGAUAGAGCCCCCACCUAUUUAAACCCUAUUAGGUUAAUUAGGGAAUUAUUUAUGUGUAAAUAAACACAUAAAUAAAUAAAAAGUAAAAAAAGAUAAUGGAGUUACCUAAACGCACAGCAUGAUCCACCAAUGUGGGGAAGGCACGUAGCAUGCAUGCGAGUUACAACACGUACUCCACUCAUAUUCCACCAUUUUAUAAUUAUUAUUAUUUAAUUUAAUUAUUAGGUAAAAUAUAAAAAACUUACCUAAACUAUACAUGAUCAUUCUAAUCUGACAACACAACCUUUCAAUUUAUUUGAAUACUUUGUGGUCAUUCCGAUACAAAUUUAAAGCGAAUAGUUUACUUAAAUAAACUUAUAGUUACAUUUGAUAAAUUAAGUGGUCUAGAUUUUUCACUAGGGCUUCAAAAACAUAAGAUUUUUCAAGCUAGAAAUUAAACAACAAGCCCCAUUUUCUGUUUUUGCUACAACAAGAAGAGCGUACGAGAGCGAGUUUUAUGAAUUUGUUAUCGUUAUAACUAAAAAUAAUUAUUAUUCUAUUCUUUAGUGGCUGUACUCAAAUAACACUUUAAAUAUUCUUCGAAUAAUUCUUUCUUUUGAUACUUACAUAUGCAACGCAUCACACAUAUAUAUAACUAGCUAGCUAGUCGUCACGUUUAACAAACUUUAGGUACAUAUAUAAAAAAGAAUAUUCAUGCUUAACUUUAGGCCUGAGCCUAACCCUAACCCUAGCAUCGAUCACGUGCAUGCUACUAACGCUAUUAAUAGCUAUAGCUCAUUUCUUAUCAUAUCACCUUUUAAAUAAUAACGUGGUAUCAGAUUCAGUCCUACUGCUACACAUGUAAGUUCUCUUUAAGUAACCGAUCCUCUAUUGGUACUGCACGUAUACAGUAUGAUUUAAUCAUCUGAUAUUCAUCAUGCAUGAACAUGAAUGGACGCGCACGCAAAGUGUCCCAGAAAGUUGGAGCAGGGCUACAUCUACAUAUUAGGGUUAUUAAUUAAUGAAGGAUAAUAUGAGAGGAGAGUGUGUGUGGGGUUAACUUAUUUGGGGAUAAGAAAGGUAAGGGGGAUAGGGGGGGAAUAAGUUACAAUCCUAUCAGAGGAGGCACGUGAAACAGUAACAAAAGAGGGAAUAGAGAACCCCUUUCUUCCACGCAGGGGAAUUGGAGAGGGGCCACCAUUUUUUUUUUUUUUUUAACUGAUCCUUAAAAAAUUUAGGGGUAAUUUUGUACAGUUUUUUCUAAACAUAUCGAAUAACAAAUAUAUUCCUACAAAAUUUAAUUUUUCAUAUUUAUUCUUACAAAAGUCCAGUAAAAAUUCAUAUUUGUUCCUUUGUUUUGUUAUCGUAGUUUAUUUUUAAAAAAAAGAUAAGUGAAAUGACAUUCUUGCCAUCACAAAUUUGUCCUCCAAAAGCUCCAACUGUUAGAAUUAUAUAAAAAUCUCCUCCAAAAAAUUUUCAACAGUACCGGUCAUCUUCUUACUUUCUACCAUCACAAAUAAUAUAAGAGGGGUAAAAAGGUCAAUUGACCUGAUUCACUAACCAGGGUUAAGUAUUUUACCUAUGGUUAACUAUAUUUUUCUAACGGAUUCUAACAGCAGGAGUUUAUUUGAAAACGUUAGAACUUUUGCAUGGAUAAAUAUGAAAAGUUGAACUUUGUAGGGAUAUAUCUGCUAUUCGAUACGUUUACAGAGAGCGACAUGUAAUUAACCCAAAAAUUUAUAAUUUGCCAAAGAAAUCUAUCAAAAUUUUAAUUGGCAAAUUAAUUUUAUUUGGUUCAACUCAGCGGCAUGGUGGAAAAAGAAAGUGAAAAAUGGUGAAUAGAACUUUAAAACCGGUGAAUCAUAUAUUCACCAUCUUUAGAAAACUUCCGAUUGUUACUAUAGUUUGUGAAAUUUUUAUGUAGGUUGUUAGAAUUGUACAUAUGGGUUGUAGGGAUUUUUAUUUGAUUGUUAUGUUUGUUUUGCCGAUUUUUAGAAAUUUUGUGAGUUUGUUAAAAUUAUAUAUAUAUUAGUUGUUGGGGGAAGGAAACGGUGAAUUAUUUACUGUUUUCUUUGUGAAGAGAAAAUGAUAAAUAAUUUAUCAUUUUUUAAAUUUUAUCAAAAGCGAUAAAUUAUUCACCGAUUUUUAGUUUUUGCUCUAGGAGCAAAUAUUUUGUGCCUAUUUAACCCUGUAGCUGGCCUUAUCGUCUCAAUUUUGUAGCCUAAUUUGUUAAAAACUAAUAUCUAUGAAGAAGAUAACAAGUGAUAAGAAAAGAAGCUCCCAAGUUCCAUUUCCCUAAAAUGUGCAAUAAUAAUCCGUGGUGGAUCUAAAAUUUUUUCCCGUAUGGUCAAUAUAUAAGAGAAAAAAUAUAUAAAAAAAAAGUAAACUAGUCAUUAGUAUUCUUUCUGCAUAGGUUUUUUUUUAAUUAGAAUCUUUUUUAAUUUUUUGCUACUCUAAGAAAAGAAAAAGAAAUUAGCGGGUCAUCAAACCCGUUAUAAUAUUCUUGUCUAAUACGAAAAUUUUAUUGGACCCCACUUUGAGACUACUUGGGCUCAAAAGUACGGUCAAUUUAUACAAGAAAGAAAAGCACAAUAGAAUAUUCUGCAACAUCAUCAAUGGGGACUACUACGAUAUAUAUGCACCGGCCUCUGAUAAUAAAUCAUUGGGCCUAAACUAAAAAUCCAAAAUGCUUAAAUCCAGUUAUUAAAGUUCGUGUUUCCUUAUGUUUCUAAUCAUAAAUUAUUUUCCAAUCGAUGUGGAAUUAUUGCGGUGUUACAAAUUAAGUUAUUUUGCUACUGUUGGCACCAACAUGCAUGCAUGUUGGGCCAACAAUUAAUUUAUGGUCUCCUCUAUUAAUUGCUCUUUCCAUGCACUCUUGCCUCUAGGUUGAACUCCAAAAAGUGUAACAUUUUGAAAAGGAAAGUACAAUAAUGGUAUCAAGCAACUCAAAGCCUAAUAUAUUAAGCAUUCAAUUGCUAGGGAGUGUAUAGGGGUCAGGUCAUCAAAAUGUCCUACAAUUAACAUACAAAUUAAUAAUUCUUAGAGCUUUUCUAUAUUCAUGGUUUAUUUUUGUUAUCUUUUCAUCCUAUUUAUCACAUAUUUUUGCAUUCUCUAUAUUUAAUAUUUUUUUUUUCUCUUUUCGAGAGAGAAAGGUGCUAGUAAACUACUCACUUCAUUCGUUUUUCAAAAAAAAACUCAGAUAGAAAUAUAAAGUUAUUAGACUUCGAGCGUGGUGUUGCGGGAACUAACCAUCAAACUCUUAGCUAACUUAUGUCAACUGUUGACUAAAAAAGGCCAGCAUCCUACAGAUGCCGGAUUGGACUGAGUCACGUUCGAAAUAGCGAGAGAUCUGAUUGGACCAAGUCAUAUUCGAAGUGGCGGGAGGCUUAUUGGGCUGAGUCACAAUCGAGAUCCAUAAGCACUGUAUCUGCACACUUUUAGCAAACUAGUUGUAUCUUUCUAAUAGCUCGAAAAUUUAAACUAACAGUCAGCACCAACGAUCCGACAAACCGCGUAUAAUACGUUCGUACAAUUGUGUACCACCUUACACAGCAAACUGGUUGUACCUUUCUUUGUGCCGUAGCGAGUGCGACGAAAAUCAGAAUAUAAAUUCGAUUUAUAUUUGACUCUGAAUCCCAUUUCAGCAGAUAAGGUAACAAAAAUUUAGCUUCCAUUACAUAUCCGCAAUAUGGAAACAAAUAUGAUUUUGUCGGAAAUCCGACCGUAUUCAACUGUUUUCACCCCUAUUUACAACACUAUCGAACAUAAAUAACUUCAAAACUUUAAAAUAUCUAAUAUACUCUUGAUUGACCAAAAUACCUUUCUUAAUUUUCAAAAAUUCCUUCAAAUAUCCCUAAACCCCUAAAGUUUACUAUUCAGAAUUACGGUUUAGAAAGGAUUUUGAUAAUUUCAGAAUAAAUUUAAAAAUUUUAAAUAGUAGUCAAGGGUAGAUAAGCAAGCCCCUAAAUAUUAUAUGAUGGUACUAUAUAUAUAUUGUUUUCCACCGUUUAAUCUAUUCUUUUGACUAAUUCCACCCGUUAAUUAGAUCAUGUUAUUUUCUCAAUCACCCACUAAACCCUAGGCUACCGUUUGGUUCGGAGUUAAGGAAAAACUAGUUAUUCCAGGGAUAUGGUUAAGUUUAGAGUUAAGGUGGAUUUAGAGUAUUUUUGUGUUUGGUUGGAGGUUGGAGUUAGUCCAAGAUAGUGAAAAAUAGUGUUUGGUUGGAGUAGGUGAGAUAAAAAGGAUAGUGGGUUAUUAUGAAUAGAAAAUAGUGUUUGUUUGGAGUUUGGUGGGGUUAGGUGGGGUUAGCUAAUCCGGGAUAACCCAUUUGAGGUGGGGUUAGCUAACCCCACCCAUUUUUAGAAGUGUUUGGAAAUAAAAUAGGGGUUAAGGGGUUAUUCUACCCCUUAACCCCCAACCAAACAAUAGCCAUUAUUCCGACUUUACAAAUCUUUAUCCAAAUGUCGAAAAUCUGUAAGUAUCAAAAACUUGGUGCUUUUUUAAAAGUAUAGGAGGUCAAUCUAUAUAUAUAUAUAUAGAGAGAGAGAGAGAGGGAGAGAGAGAGAGAGGGAGAGAGAGAGAGAGAGAGAGAGAGCUCUAUGUGACUUGUCCUCUAAGUUGAACCAAGUAAUUAGUUUCCAAUUUCAGUUAGAUGGGCUCUCUUUGGUAAAAUCUAAAAGAGCUCAAACAUGGCAUGUGGGGUGAGGUGAAAGGGUGGUGUAAGGACUUAUUCUUUCCUCAGGAGUUUGACAAGUAACCAACCAACACAUGAAGCCUACUUUGAAAUUAGUUGUAAGUAAAAGAAGGAAAAGAACAACUAUAAGAACAAGUAUAAAAAGACACCCUUAACUAUAGGUUAUUUUGAUAUGAGAGAUGCGACCUGCACACUUAUAUAUAUUGUGUAAAUUUUACACCUUAUGUGACAUCCCAGGUUAGGGAAUAGUCUCACAUUGAAUAGCCAAGAAUAUAGUGUAGGAUAGGCUGGGUAGCCUAAACUUGAUAGUCGGGCUUAAGCAUUCGGGCUGAUAGAUUUGGCCCAAGGUUAUUAGUACUAUAUUAAUUCCGCAGUUAAGGAGCUGUUUGGUUACAUCUUGUUGCAACUUGUACUACAUGCAGAUGUAAAUUCGACGUUGCUGUAGUUAGAACUGCAUGAGGAUUCACUUCUCAACUACAUAUAGCUUUGCAAAUCCAAUGUUUGGUUAGAUGUAGUACACGACAGCUUAGUCAUCUAAAAGCUCAUAUUUACUCAAUAGCCUUCAUACCAAAAGCUUAAAAGGGGUUUUUAACUCCUUGCAUAGGUGAGUGUAAGAUUUACGUCCUAAAUGGAUAGUAUUUUUUUACUUUGAAAUAGAAACCCGGAUAUCAUUUUUUAAAAAAAAUUAAUUUCCAUUGACAUCUUUCAACUUUCAUUUAUUUUGUUUGAGGUAUUUUACUUUGUUGAAUCAAAGAUUUUGUAACAUCAAGUCCUCCUCAGUAUUAAUUGCUCACCUUUCCAGCUAAAAUAGGGAGUCAUGAAAUUUGAUGAAGUACUAAUUGAUUUCAAAGUAUAAAAGUCUAUUUCAAAGGUCUAUUUCAAACUGACCUAUAGUUGAGAGGGUCUCUUAACAACUUCACCUAAAAAAAGUACAAAAAUAGAGAAAGAAUAGACUGAUAAUGAGAGCCAAGCAUACAUGUACAUCCCAUGAAUUUGAUGAAACAUGUGAUGAGAGUGGUAAAUGUGGGAAUAUGGAUAGCCACAAGUUCCCCCCUCUUCAUGGUGACCUCUCCUUUUAUUCAUUUACUUUCUAGGGUUAUAACAUUUGUUUCUUUUGCUCUAUUAAGGAGGAGAUCAAAUUUGGUAACAAGGAACUACUCUUUCAUCAUAGAAAGCAAUGUGGUUACCUCUUCAAAAGAAAGGUACCUAAUAUUGUGUAAAAAAGCAAAUAAUGAGAUACAAGGAAUUAAUAGGUCACGAUAUUGCACGUGGCCUUUAUCGCAGAGAUUAUGAGCCUAUUUGACCAAGCUGUAAAGCGAACACUGUAUUAUACCGAAUGUCUAGAUCAAUGUAUAUAGCUUUUUCUGUUGUUGCAGAAUCAAAAGCAUGCACUUUCGAGUAGAUGCUUCAUUUUUCUUUUUUCUUUUUUUUUUCUUAUGUGUUUCUACACCAAAUGCCCCGUUGACAACAACAGCAAAAUGUGGAUCGUAAGUGUUAACCAACUAUCUCAAAAAUAUAUAAUGAUAGGAAGGAUGUACUUAUUGUACUUCAGAACUCAAUCACAGCGUUUACGGGCUUCGACCUGACUCAACUCAUGUGCACGUUGAGUCUAUUGUUGAGCUUCUUGUUGUUGAUCUAUUGUGGACUAGGGCCCCACUCAACUUACUGGACUCAACCCAACUAAACUUAUUACUCUCCUGGAUAUAUUCUCACGAAGCAGAAAAUUAGACCUAUUUUAGCUAAUAAUAAAUAGCCAGCACAGAAAUGGAGCCAAACAUGGCUUGCAUGUGCAUAGCACCCUCUUUGCCUGGUGCUAAUUAGUGAAGAACUUCUCUACGACUCAACAAUCGCGAAUCUAACAUUUAAACUUGAAAAUAAUUUUUUUUUAAAAAGCAAGAUAAAAGUAUUUAGGGUUUUUGUCGAAAUUAAAGCUACACUUACACAAUAAAAGCUUGGAUUGAUGUUUGUUAAAAUAAAAGCAAUUUCACUUCUGCGACAAGAUCGAUCGAUCCUUUCCGGUACUCUUACAAGCACAUAAAGAGAAGCAAUGCCACUGAUUGUCCUUCCUUGUGCAUGAACUAACAAUUUGCUUGUCCUUCUUUGGAGGUACCAUAAGGCCGAAACCAAACACUGGCAGAGAAAAAUAAGAUUGCAAUGUUAUACCAUAUUAAUAUUAAAUCGUACCUUUUGUUAUGAUUUUCGAUUUUCAAAAAAUGGAUUAUAGACGGUGGUUCUUCCUUGUGAUUACUCCUUAUUCACGAUCUGUAAAAGAGUGGAAUGUUUCCAAUUCAUUUUCUUUCCUUCGGAGAUCGAGCUGUUAUAGAAAAUUAGGGUUAGUGUUUGGCGGGGACACCCAGGGACAAAGCCAGAAAUUAAAAUUCGGGGGGACCAAAAUUUAGAUUUGAUAGGAAAAAAAUUCGAUCUCGGAUAGGAAGAAAAAAAUUUGUCAGAUUCACUGAUAACGACAAUAUGCUAAAAAAAAAGCAAGACCGUAAGAGUUGAAGGGAAAGGACCGAAAAAUUCGACACAAAUUUGAGACACAAAUUUUGUUAAAAAAACUAAUUUGGCCCCCUAAACUUAAAAUUUAUAAUAUUUUAAUUUUUAUUAUAAAGGAUUUUUAUAUAAUUUUAAAAAAUUUAGGAGGGGCAUGGUCACUGUGGGCCCCUCAAUAGCUCCGUCCCGGGGACACCCGUUAUAUAUAUAUAUAUAUAUAUAUAUAUAUAUAUAUAUAUAUAUAUAUAUAUAUAAUCUAAUUUAAGGAUGUUCAAUCAGAUCCGUCCAUCAAAAAUGCGCCCAAAUACAUCUUUUCCAUUAGGUCGAAUGUAUCUUUAUGGAUUGUCUUUAAUAAACCACGUGAGCCACAUCCAACAUAAAAAGCCAAAGAAAGAUUAAAUUGUCACGAAUUUUCUCGAGUUGGUAAAGCUUAGCUAACAUGUCUUUGUUAGUCUGACGUAAAAGCAUGUUAUCGAGCACCAGAUUAUAAUCAAUCAAAGCAUUGAUCACUUACAUCACUAAAAUAGGAAAAAUCGCAAAAAUUGAAGCCCUAAUUAACUUAGGUAGCUAACAGUGUUUCAGCUAUUUUACAAAAUAAAUCAGGUUAAUACAAUACCGAAUGUUAAGAUUUAAGACAUAUACUUAAUUUAGCGAGUAAUAUAUAUGUAGUAGGUUUUUUCUAAUUGGAAAAAAAUACGACAAGAAGCAGUAAUACUGUGUGAGUACAGUCGUAACAUUUGGCAUAAGAACAUCAUUCGAUCUUUGUUUUACGUACUUCUUGUUUGCGUUGUUUACGUUUUCACUUAUAUCAAAAAUUAUGGCAACUUCAAAUGAACGAGAAGAACAUAGAAUGUAUGUGAAAGGACAUUUCACCCGCCAAGAGAGAAUAGAUGUAACGUCAUACAAAUGACACUUCCCGAGAAAAAUAGUAUACAAAUCGAACAGAAUUUUCAAACUUGCACGCAUUAAGGAACAAACCCUCUUUUAACAGGGACAUAUCUGACUAGAUUUAAUGAAUCUAGCUGUCAAUAUUAAAACAGGAUUUGUUAAUCCCAUCGCCAUAAAUAGUUUAGCUCAGGAACUUCUGGAUGAAGUUAUGGAUAUGAUCAGUAACUUGUUGUGCCCUCUCCUGCUGGAUGAAGUGCCCAACUCCCUCCAGAACAACUACUUCCUCAAGUGAGGGAACAUCACUUUUGAACCCACCAUUGUGUAGGUAAUCUUGUAUGCCUGGGUAGUGGUAUGUUGGAUCAAGGUCUCCAACAAUGAACUUGGUUGGCACUUGUAUUUUUGCCCCAGUCCAUGGGGCUGUGAGUUCCCAGUUCCUGCAUGCACAUCAAAGUAACAAAUAUGUCCAGAUGUUCGCACUUUGGUACUAAACGGUUGCUGAUCAAAUAUAAAUUAUCAAAAACACCAUUCUCUGACAGCUUAAGCUUUUGAAAUAAAUGGUUGUUUCAUUUAAUUUAAUGUAGUAUUUUUUUGAGAGAUAGAUAGCACGCUACCCGCUUUGUUUAUUUCAUUUAGAAAUAAACUUAGCUGAAAAUGUGAAUCAACUAGGAUUCGAACUUGGGUCUCGGGUACCAACCACCAAGCCCUUUAUCACUUACUCUAGGGACGGUCGUUAAUUUAACGUAGCAUUAGAGUCAGAAUAUUUUGAAUUCAAAUCCCACCAGACUUCUAUUGGAAAACACAACUGAUGCUAACUAAAUAAAACAAUUUGGCUCGAUUUAUAUGAUUUUCAGUUCGGUUUGGUUAUAAAAAUAGCUACAAUUCAAUUUCGGUUUCGGAUCAGUUUUAGCACUUCUCUUAACUGAAUCGACUCGAACCGAAAAUUGAAUAGUAAUUUUACUUGCACUUUUUAUCUAAAAGCAUAUAUUGAAAUUCUAUAUUUAUGAUCAAAUCUUGAUUACAUAUCAACACACUUUUCAAAAUUCUAUGUUUAUGAUCAAAUAUUUUUUGUGCGUAACUUUCGCAACGAUUCGAUUUUGCAAUUAAUUCAUAAGAAAAGUAGAAGCUCUAAAAACUAGUUGUGAGACUAAACCAAACUGCAUUAAUUCAGUUUGAUUUGGAUCGGUUGUGGAUCUUUUCAAACCAAAAAAUUCGAUCCGGUUGGAGAAUAAGAAAAAGUGCUAGAACUUUUUGAAUAGCUCUACCUGAAAAGAACUUCUGACAAACAAGCAACUCGAAGUAGUUGUGUUUGAUCCAAAGCUUAGAAAAAUGCUUGUUUUGUGUUACGAAUAAUAGUUAGUUAAUUCAGAUUCGGCAAAAAUUCGGUACGGGUAUAAUUCGGAUAAAAUUCGUCUUCUAAUUUUUAAAUUCGUUCAAAAAUACGGCUAAAAAACGGAUUCAUCAAUUAUUCGGAUACGUGAUUUAUACGGAUAUUAUACGUUUACCAAUUAAAAAUUCGGGACAAAAAAAUUCGGCUAUUAAAUUAAAUUUUUUUUUCUCAAAAUUUAUGCUAUUAGCAUAAAUAUUCAUAUUUUUAAAAAAUAUAAGAAUAAAUAACUAUAAAAUUAAGCUAAUUAAGUAAAAAUUGGGAAAGAGUUUUUUUUUUUUUUUUUUUUUGGUCUUAGGCGAGGUGUUUGGAAAGGUUUUUUUUGUUUUUUUUUUGUAUUUAACUGUUUUGGCCUUUUGGGCCAGCCGGCCCCCGCGCGCGUGUAGGACAGCAGGAGCGCGCGGGAGCGCGUGCGGGAGUGCGCGGGCAGGCAGGCGCAGGCAGGCGCGGGCAGGCGCGGGCGGUGAGGGCAGGCGUGGGCGCAUCCGGUUUUUUGGGCCGAAUAAUUCGGCUACGCGUAUUAUACGCGUACACGUUUUUUUAAUCAAAAAAAUCCAUUUUUUUUCCGAAUUUUUCGCAAAAAUACGAAUUCGACCGUUUAAUUCGUUUUUUCAAAAAUUCGCGAAUUAACUAACAUAGGUUACGAUUGCUGCGAAUCCGGUCCGUUGGAUCGCGGCCCUUGCAUGCUACCACGCGGUUGAGCAGACCAUGAAAUUUGCGGCCUACAUAGGCUUGCAAAUGCAAGCCACAAAGGCCUCUACUUUCGUAGCCCAUAAGCAAAAAAGCGGGGAUAAACAUGCCCUAAGGGGCCUUUUGUUCUGUCGAAGAUGAAGUUCAAGUUAAAAUAGACUUUGUAGUAGUGAAAUUAGAAUUCACGUAACAAUUAACUGUUCGCUAUUUAUUAUUGAAUAAAAUAAGUCUAAUAAUUUGUCAUGACAAUGAAUUCAGAAGACUAAUAAGUUGGGGUCGAGCCCAAUUAGUUGAACGAGGCUGCGGUCCACAACAAAUCUAAUAGCAAGAGACCCAAUAAUAGACUUAACGUUCAUAUGGAUUGAACCAAAUCGAAGCUCGUAAACAUUGUGGUUGAGUCCUUAAGUGCGAUGGAUACAUUCUUUCUAUUGGAACGUACUUUUGGGAUAGUUGUUAGCGCUUAUGAUCCAUAUUAAUUACUUUACUUAUGUUGUUUGUCUGUAUAUAUAGAUAUGAAACUGAAGUUCCUCCAAUUCUAUUAUUUGUUUGGCAGAAGUAAUUGCAUAAAGCUAGAGGAAGGAGAGAUAGGUUAAUAUUUUAUUUUUUUUCUAGGUUAAUAUUUUAUUUUUAUUCCUUUCUUUUUUCUCCGUUAUUGACUUCGACCUUGGAUGGGUCAAAGUCAAUGAUAUAUAUGCUAUUUUGGAGAGUUUGAGUUUUGACCGAAGGUAAAAUUAUAGGAACUCAAACAAUUAAUUCAAAUGCUACGGCUAUAAAAUUAAAAACUAUAUAUACAUAUGUAUAUAUAUAUGGUUAUAAUUAAAGCGGUUCUCUUACGGUUGAUAUUUUAGGUAACAUGAUAGCAAAGCAAAUUCCAUGACCCCUCCGUUACAUGAAUUUAUAUAUUCGAGUCCUACAUCUACCAUUUAAUGAGCUAAAUCCUAUUAGAUCGAUAUUUUGGGUACAAAUAAGUAAUAAUUAAUGGUGUUCUUUAAAUUGUAUUUAUGAGACUUUCAUAUCUGAGAAUUGAACUUACAGGUUCAAGCAGCGAUAGUAGUUCAAACCCCCCGUAAAGCCGGUCUCCUCGAACUUGCUCGCGUAGUAGUCGAAGUCGUCUUCUGAGAGCCAAGAAGGUAACGAAAUCUCGUUAUCGGUCGAACCGAACCCUUCUUCGGAUAGAGAAGAAGGCUUGGGAGUCAUGAACAGCCUCUUGAGGAUGUUCCUGGUGCCGAUGGCCGCGAAUUCGGCUUCAGCUUUUCCAGGUUCCUGAGAACACAUUUACAAAAGCUUAUAUGUUAAUAUACAUAGUAGUUUCUUAGCAUUUUGUGUUGAAGGUUCACAUGUAAAUAGUUUCGCAUCGGAUAAUUAAUAAGAUAAUAAAUAAGUGAUAUAUACUAGUGGGUUUCAGACCUAAAAGGUUUAAGCUUAUAAAUUGAAUGAUUUUAUUAGAUAUGUCACAUUCUUAGGCUCAUAUAGAACUAUUCUGAGCCGAGAACUCCCGCUUACGUUUCGUUCUUGACAAACUAUGGAUGGAGUUUUGCCGUACCACUAACAAAUUUUGAUUGAAUUUUAAGGAUUCUCGAAAGCCAAAAAGAUGAAUUGUAACUACAUUUUGAAUGAAAUUAUUUAUAUAAAUUUUAAAUGACUCUAUUAAUAUUGAUCAGAAGAAUCUUUGUGAAUUGUAAGCGCUAACCAACUAUCUCAAAACUACUUUCUAAUAGGAAGGGUGCGCGCAUCAUAUUUAAGAGCUCAACCAUAACGUUUACGGACUUCGAUCUGACUCAACCUACUUAGAAGUUAGGUUUACUGUUGGAUCUAUUACUGUUAGGUCUAUUGUGGACGGAAACCCAACUUAACUUAUUGAGCUCAUCCAAUCCAACUUAUUAGGCUCUUGGCUUUUUGUCACGGGAUAAUAAGUAAAACUUAUUUUAGCCAAUAAUAAAUAGCUAACAAGCUAUAGUACACCCAAAUUAUGCUUUCAACACACUCAAAUUUCACCGACCGUCCCUAGAACAAGUGGCAAAUGGCUUGAUGGUUGGUACCCGAGAUCCAUGAUCGAAUCCUAGUUGAUUCACAUUUUCAACUAAGUUUAUUUCUAAAUGAAAUAGACGAAACGGAUAGCGUGCUACCUAUCUCUCAAAAAAAAAAAAAAAAAACACUCAAAUUUCCCUAGCACACACAGCAUCUCCAUUCUAAUGAGUUAAUUGUUCCUUAGCGGCUUAAAUUUUUAGAAAAAAUUGAUUAGUUUAUGUACAUGUCCGAGUCGCCCCUUUUACAAUAAGAAAUUGAAAAGAAAAAACGCAACAAUAUUAUAAAACUAAAAAUGAUCAUACAGCUCUCUGUACACAUAUCGAAUAGCAAAUAUAUUCCCACAAAUUUUAACAUUUUAUAUAUAUUUAUACAAAAAUUUAGUAAUAUUCAUAUUUGCCCCUUUGGUUUGCUACCGUUAGAGUACUAUCUAUUUUUUUAAUAAAAAAUAAAUAAAGUAAUAUUUUUACUAUCACAAAUAUGUCACUUCGAAAACCCCACCUAUUAGAAUUAUACAGAAACAAAAAAAUGCUAAUUUAUUUCAUUCACUAAUCAGAAUUAAGUAUUUUAGCUAUAAUUAACUAUAUAUUUCUAACGGAUCCUAACAACGGGGGUAUAUUUGAAAACGUGAGAAUUUUAGCAGGAAUAAAUAUAAAAAGUUAAAUUUUGAAGAAAUAUAUCUAUUCGAUAUAUUUAUAAAGAGCUGUAUACAAUUAACCCUAUAUUAUACAUUUGAAGCACUAAAAUAUGUAUAUUCGUAAAAUAAAGGAAAAACUUCAAAUACCACCCACGUGGUUUCGUACUUUCUCACUUUAAUAUCAUGUGGUUUAAAGUGUAUUACUUUCGUAUCCUGUGGUUUUAUUUUUCUCUUUUUAUUAGCCCCUCCACUAAUUUUUUUUCGUGAAAUCAGUAACAAAGUUAAAACAAAAAGGUAUUAAAGUGAAUAUUUGAUAAACUAUAGGUGAGGUAUCUGAAGUAUUUUGUAUAUGAUUUAACGAAAAGUUAACGGAGGGACCGACGAAAAGAGAAAAAUAAAAUCACAGGAUACUAAAUUGAUACAAUUUAAACUAUAGGGUAUUAAAGUGAGAAAAUACAAAACUACAGAAGUGAUAUUUGAAGUUUACCCUAAAAUAAAUUAACCUGGAAUCGGCAGAUGUAGUAGCUAUCUCCGUACAGGUUUCUGAAAUGCUGGACCGGGUUCACGGCGGGGUCCCGUGGACUAAACGCCACGCUCAUGUUCACCAACGCCUUCACCCUCUCCGGCCUAAACAUGCACAUGUUCCACGCAACCAAAGCUCCCCAUCCAUGGCCCACCACAAACACCUAAUUUCAGAAUUAAUUUAAUUUAAUCAUGCAGUUAAAAUUUAAAAAAGCAAAAUUAGGUAACAUUUAUUAAUAUAUAUAUAUAUAUAUAUUAUAAAAUUAAUUCGAGGGAUUCGGAUCGGGAACAGACAAAAUCUAUAUCAGAAUCCAAACCCGUCAAAUUUUGCUUCUUUUAUAUCUGUAUUCGAAACUGUACCUAUUUAGCAUUGGAUAAACAUGCUUCGUUCGGAUUCGAGUUCAGAUAAAAUUUUAGAUAUUCAUAUCCAUCGACAUCUCUAGGCACGGGGGGUACCUGGGGAAGGCCGAGGGCGUCGAGGAGGCCGAGGAGGUCGCCGACCGCGUGGAAGACCGAGUAGGAGCUGAUCGAGGGCGGAGCGGCGGAGCAGCCGUAUCCACGGAGGUCGGGGGCGACGGCCCGAUACCCGCGGGCGGCGAGGCCGACGAUCUGGUGCCGCCACGAGUACCAGAGCUCCGGAAAGCCAUGCAGGAGCAGCACUGCCGCCGCCGCCGCCGCAUCGUUGCCGCCCUUCUCGGCGACGUGCAUGGCGAUGCCGUUGAUCUCGACCGUCCGAUGAACGAUCCCUUCCAUCUGUGAUCUGUGCAGCUGCAGGCUCAGCUUGUUUGUCCACUGAUUGUUGCAGAUUCCACUUAAUUUUCGUUUUCUGGGAACUUAUAUAUAAUGUGAUGUGCCUUAAUUACCUUACAGCAAGUAGCAAAAAACUUUAUUUUUUUUUAGAAAAAUUUCAAAUACCACCUCUGUAUUUUCGUACUUUUUCACUUUAGUACCUUAUGGCAUAAAGUGUAUCACGUUUAUACCCUAUGGUUCCAUUUUUUUCAUUUUGUUAUCCCCCUCUAAAUUUUUUCAUUAAAUCAGUGAUAAAGUUAAAACUAAAAGGUACUAAAGUGAAUAUUCGAUAAACUAUAGUUUGGAUAUCUGAAAUUUUUUAUAUAUGAUUUAACGAAAAGUUAACGGAGGGACCGACAAUAGGUUGGCCUUCGAAUUCCUUUUCGUCCUUAUUUUAUGAGAGAAAAAUAUUUUAAUGUAUUUAUAUUUAUUUUAUAAGAAAAAAGAUAUUUUAAUGUAUUUCUAUUAUUUGCAAAGGGAUUGUCAGGAUAAAUUAUAAUAAGUAGACAAAUUAGUAACAGAACCCUGGGUGGAGGGGAAAUAAAUGCAUCAAUUUAAAAUUUUGAGAGGAUAAAUGUAAAUUUCUGAAAAUUAGGAAAGAAAGCGAAAUGGCAAAUAUUUAUAAAAAAAUUUCUAAAAUUUUAACCUUUACUUAUUAAUUGAUUUUGAAAAGAUUUAUUAUAUUCCAAUUUGACGCACGAAAUUAUUUUUUAAAGAAAAAUAUUUGUUAAUCCCUAGGCUUCACGGACACUAAUACGGGACACGAGACACGACACGACUUGGAUACCGCGACUCGACAACUUUUAAUAAAUUAGGACACAGGCACGACAUGAAUGCUGCUAAUAAAAUAUAAUAUUAUUAAUAUAAUAAUAUAUUUUUAUUAUGUAUAAAAUAUUAAUUUUGAUAAAAUAUUAUUAUAUUUCUCGUACGAGUGGAAGUUAAUAAAAUUUUCAUUAACGGUUUAUAUAUUUUAAGAAAAAAAUUCUCCACCAUACAUAAUUUAUUUAUAUUGUUAAAAAAUUUUGUACACAUUCAUAAAAAAACUAAAAUAUUUAUCAUUAUCAUCUUACAUAGUAAAGUAGCCGGACACUAAAAUAGUAUAGUAGCCGGACCCUAUAUAUAGGCCAUGACUACUAUACUAUUAUGAGUAUUGAAGCCCUCGUACUCAUAAGUUGUUUUCAAUGAUGGAGUUUUCGAAUUGACGAUCCACCCCGUUAAAUAUGAUCUAGAGUAUUUGAAACUUCUAGAAAAUAAAUUUCGUAAAUUUUCGAAAUCAUAAUAAAAUCCAUCAAGUGGGCAUAAAAUGAACAGUCAAAAUCGAACGACGUCCUAAAAAAGGAUGAUCGGAUCCUUCAAUUCAAGAUCGGAGUUAUUGAUCUUUAUCUAUAUAGUGAAUAAAAUUUUCUAUCAAAAACUCAACAAAUUUCGAUUUUUUUACACCGUUAAACUAGCAAGUAUUCCAUACCGGCCGUUAAAAAAUGUCAAAUUUGUGACCUCUUGAUCAUAAAGUAAAUGAUGUCGAAAAAUUAUAAAAUUUGAUUUCUAGAAAUUUUAAAUGUUGUAAAUAACGUUUAAUGGUGUGGAUCGUCGAUUCGGAAGCUCUAUCAUCGAAGACAACUUAUGAGUACGAGGGCGAUCGUACUCAUAAUAGUAUAGUAGCCGGACCAUAUAU
rnacentral:lncRNA from 1 species